UUCCGUCUCCGAUUAGAGGGUGGAGCCGUGACGAUCGGAGGCAGCUUGGUGUUGGAGCUUGCAACGGAAGGAGCCCGCGGCGGGGGAGUGUAGACGGAAGGCGACGGAGGGACACGUGGAGGUAUAAAAUUGGAGGACGAGUGUUCACUCGGAGUGUGGAGAAACACGGCGGGAGUCUGAUCCGAUACGGCGAGAGGCUCGCCGGCGGCGAAAGAGGAGAGAGCAGAUCCAGUGAGGCGGAGCGAUCUGCAGUAAUCGGCGUGAGCCGCGGCGAGCUGGUGACGUGCGCGAACUGAUUCCGUCAUUAGACGGCGGCGAUCUUUGCACCGGCGAACGGUGUCUUCGUUGUCGAGCUUGGACGCUGCGCAGCCCAUGAUGUUUGUUUGGCUUUGGAUUCUUAAACGGGGCGGCGCGUGAAGUCACGGCCAAUGGUGUGCCAUUUUGGAUAGAGAGAAUCACGGAAAAUAAAUGUUGGGAGGGGGAGAGAAAGUUCUUCUUAGCUGUUUCUUUUUCCACUUGAUCGGAUUUUGGACUGUACCUUUCCUCUAUUUGUUGUCUACUCUUUUUAAUUAAUAAAGAUGAAUAAAGAAAAACUUUAUAUACAUUUCCUCUUUUUCUCCACUGAGUACUGAUAAUGAAUCAGUGACUGUCAUUUACCUGGACUAAGUCUUACUUUGUUAUUUUCCACCCAAUUAUUAAUCGUUGCUUAGUUAUCAAUAAUUAAAACUAUGUAUUCACAUAUUUACUCUAUUUUUUUUUCUCUCUUUGCUUUUGUUAAAAAUUUUGAAUAUUUAUCUGUGAAAAAUAUUCAUUUUUUAUGCUUCAGAUUAUUUCGAUUUUCAAAUUAUUUUACAUAUAAAAUUUGAUAAUUGUAGUUUCUGUUAGUUAUUUAAAUGAAAUUAGCGUGUCGGUUGAUGAUUUAGUUAAUGGCAUAUGAUGCUUUGUGUCGCUUUAUCGUGGUUUUUGGGUAGAUAGUGGAUUAUAAUUGGAAAGAAAAAAGUUGGGCUAUUAGUCAGAGAAUAGUAGUAUAUUAUUUAGGAAAUGUUUUGAGAUUUUAGGGAAUCAUUAAUCCUUGGCUAAAACGGCAGGGUGUUUACUCUAGGAGGUUACAAACGGUAAAGAGUCUUUUCUGUUCACACCAAAAGAAAGAAAAAGGAAGAAAGAGAACAAAAAGCCACAUGCAUUUCCCUUUUCUUUCGACCUUUGUUCGAAGAGGCUCCAUCAGCAAUAAGGUGGAAAGUUAACAACGUGAGGCUCAACUUUUUGGUAUUCGUAGAAACAGUUUUCUCUCGUUUUUUCUAAAGCUAAAAAGCCCCCCAGGGAUGGGCAUCUAAUUCUUCUUCUCUGUUUGUUAGAUGCUUGAUUGCUUUCAUAAAUGUUAUCUUUAUAUUAUUACACUAAUUCAUGUUUGUAUACAGUUAUUAGAUCAACAACAAUAUAGAAUUUACCAUGAAUCAGGAUAAAGAUACCUGUAAAAGAAGAUGCAUAAGAGUUGAUUGAUCAAUCAAGAAAAUUAAAGUGUUGAUAACUUGAUGGGUAUUGUUUUGGGUGGAGACGUCAACACUUUGUGAAAGUGACCAAACAGUUUUAUUUUUCCCUUUGAAAGAACACAUAACUUUUGUAUUAUCUUUUUGUUUGUUGUAAUCUUCUGAUUCCGAAUAUUCCUAGUUGUUUAGAUUUGAGAGCUUCAUAUAUAGUGUACUUUAUACAUUGUGCUUUGGAUGCUUGAUGCAUCCGAGUUUUAUGCCGGUUUGUUUUAUAGUUAUAGAAUAUGGUAAAUGUUCUACAAUAUGCCAUCUUGAUUUGUAUAUUAAUGAAUUUUUGUUUGUUUGGUGAUUUAUAGAUUAAUGGAUUCUAUUCUACUUUUUAAUCAAGUUUUCUGUUGAAAGGAAUCAAUUCUAAACAUAGUUGUAAAAAAUAAAUCAUAAAUUUUUAAUAGAUUAUAUUCAGUCUUUAUGGUGUGUCCCUUUCCUCUCCCGAGCAGCCAUGUGGUGUGUUGACUGUUGUCUUUCCUCUUGUAUACUACAAAUUGGUCUAUCAGAUGGGCCUAAGAAUGGCUUUCUUUAAUCAAUGGUUCGUUUAGAUUCUUCCUUGGGCUACUAGGAUGUGGUGCCAAAAACCCUAAACCUUGAGAAUCACGUUUUUGUUGGUUCGUCUACGAAUUGUAAACUCUUUAAGAUUUAUAUCACGAUGGAUCAGUUUUACUCCGAUGGUGGAUUAUUGAUAGAUAAAUCGGCUUAUUCGUAUUCUGAUUUUGCAAUCUCUUUAUUUCAUGAAGCCCAUUAAUCGGCCCAUUAAUACAGCUGGUGAAGUUUAACAGAAUUUUAAAAAGACGGUUAUCCAGUAAAGUCUUAUGAGGAUGGAGAUUUACAGAGCACUGAGCUCGUAGUAGUAAUAAGAAGAAGACGAAGCAUCAGCUUCACGAGCGAGAAACUUAACUGCUUCCAUGGCUUCCGCUCGAGAGAAAACGCCUUAACCUUCUCCAACAAAGCCACCGUCAAAGCAAAUUCUCUCUUCUUCAGAUCCAUGCUUGCAUGCUCCUUCACGCCAUAGAGACCAACGUUCAAAUCUUCACGAAACUAUUAUCUGUUUCCGCGUCAGCUGUUGGGAUUAGCCACGCACGUAAGUUGUUCGACGAAAGACCUCAGAGAGAAAGACAGUUUCCUCUCUAACUCCAUGAUCAAGGCCUAUCUCGAAACUCGCCACUAUCCUCACUCUUUUUCUCUAUACAGAGAUCUUAAGAAGGACACGUGUUUCCGACAACUUUACUUUCACGACACUGACAAAGGCCUGCACUUUGAGUAUGUGUGUUGUUGACCAAGGUCUACAGUUGCAUAGCCAAAUUUGGAGAUAUGGGUUUUGCGCAGAUAUAUGUACGCUAAGUUUGGGAAGAUGAGAUUCGUAACGAAUGUUUUCGAGGAAAUGCCUCGAAGAAGUGAGGUUUCUUGGACAGCUCUAAUUUGCUAGUACGCUAGGUGUGGGGAGGUGGAAGUAGCGAGCAAGCUCUCUGAUGAGAUGCUUGAAGCUAAGAACAUUGUGAUAUACAAGGCGAUGAUGGAUGGUUGUGUUAAAUCUGGUGACAUGACCUCUGCUAGAAGAUUGUUUGAUGAGAUGAGUAACAUAACUGUGAUCACUUGGACCACUAUGAUCCAUGGUUACUGCAACAACAAAGAGGUAGAUUCCGCUAGGGAGUUGUUUGAUGCUAUGCCGGAAAGGAACUUUGUCUCUUCGAACACAAUGAUGAGUGGAUACUGUCAGAACAAACAAACUCAAGAAGCUAUAAGAUUGUUUCAAGAAAUGCAGGCUACCACGUCGCUGGAUCCUGACGACGUGGCUAUUCUGAGUUUGCUACCAGCUAUUUCUGACACUGGCGCUCUCGUCCUCGGUGAAUGGUGUCACCGUUUUGUGCAGAGGAGGAAGCUGGAUAAGAAGGUGAAGGUUUGCACAGGCGUUCUCGACAUGUACACGAAAUGCGGGGAGGUAGAGGAGGCGAGAAGAAUGUUCGAUGAGAUGAGAGAGAAAGAAGUAGCGUCUUGGAGCGCUUUGAUAAAUGGGUAUGCUUUGAAUGGGAACGCACGUGUAGCUUUGGAUCUGUUCUUGACAAUGGUGAGAGAAGUAAAGCCAGAUGAGGUCACGAUGCUAGCUGUUCUCUCAGCUUGUAACCAUGGGGGAUUAGUGGAGGAAGGAAGAAAAUGGAUCCACAUGAAGAGUUUGGUCUGAUUGCUAAGAUUGAGCAUUAUGGCUGUAUGGUUGAUCUACUAGGCAGGACAUGAGAACUAAAAGAAGCAGAAGAUAUGAUUACAAACAUGCCUUUUGAGUCGAACAGUAUCCUAUGAAGGAGUCAAGUGAAGUGUUUCUUAUCAGUUUUGAGACACGUUUGUUUGUGCAUCUCAGUAUACUUGUAAAGAGAGGUCCUCGAGGUUUCGGGAAUCACUUUUCCUCUUCUCUAACAAUGUUUGGAAAGGAAAACCAUAUAUCUUGCCUUGAUCAGAGCUUGUUACAGUGUGUGAAAACGUUGCAGAAUCUCUCAAAAAGUCCUAUACUUUUUAAUGAUAUAAGUGUAUGUAUGUCACAAGAAAUGAACAGAGCAAAAAGGGAUGAAGAAGAAGACAGACAAAACACCACCUUACCACUCCUUUGGACCUGUGAUUACAGACAAACGUAAAAUGAGAUAAGAGAAACACAUGCCUCAUAUAUUGUAGAAGCCGGAAAACCGGACCGAUGUAAACGAUAUAAUAAAAGCGAAGUUAAGGAAAUAGACGAAUAUAUAAAAAAACGAAUACAUAUGCAGACUAAAUGCAGACUCGAUAGACUCUAAAGAAAAAAACUAUACUUAUUCUAAUCAUGAUUAGACUAGACAGACUUAUCGAGAGUGUUUGUGAAAAUUCACUGUGUUUGAGUUGGUGGCAUUUUUAAGCCUUGAACCACUCAUAGUUAAUAUCUGUCGGAUUUACUUUACCAGAAGGUGAACAUGAUGUCUUGAACCAACCGGUGUUUUAUGUAAACCGAGACAACAUGCAUAACGCAGCUUCAUUUUCUCGUAGAACUUAGUUCUCUAUUGUGUUCAUUGUGGCCCUGAACUAUUCCUGGUUUUCAUGAGUGAACUUAGAGAAUAUAGCCUUGCAUUCAUUCUCCUAGAAACGGCCCCAUUUCACACUCAUUAGGUGAUUGACCAUGAAAAGUAUUGAGUAAUACCCCGCUUAGAAGCUAUGGAAUCAUUAAAAGCUUAUGCUUAUCCUUCACACAUUUGUUAGCACUUUUAUCAUCUUAGGAGCUGGGAAGAGACUACUUUGUCUCAAGUGCUUUGGUUAGAUUCUGCUUGAUUUUGUUUUCCCUUUGAACCUACGUCUUGGGAUCUCCAGUCAUGAUAGGUAGGGUUGCAAUCACGCAUCCUCAUUCGUUAUAGGCUUUAAACCCAUUCCUUUUGAUGAUUUAGCAACAACAUCUCGUGGCAAACCUUUAGUAAAUGGAUCCGCUAGGUUGUCAGCCGAUUUGAUGUAGUCUACUGUGAUUACACCAGUUGAGAUAAGUUGUCUAAUGGUUUUAUGUCGUCUUCUGAUGUGACGAGAUUUACCAUUGUAGAGAUUAUUUUGAGCCCGAGCUAUUGCUGAUUGACUAUCACAAUGUAUGCGUAUGGCUGGCACAGGUUUCUCCCACAUAGGAAUAUCUUCCAAAAAAUUUCUAAGCCAUUCAGCUUCUUCUGCUGCUUUGUCUAAGGCUAUGAACUCAGAUUCCAUGGUAGAUCUGGCUAACACUGUUUGUUUGGUAGAUUUCCAUGAUAUUGCUGCUCCUCCUAGUGUAAAGACAUAUCCGCUCGUGGAUUUUGAGUUUUUGGAAUCUGAUAUCCAGUUAGCAUCACUGUAUCCUUCUAAAACUGCUGGUUCUUUACCAUAGUGAAGCCCAAAAUUUUUGGUGUAGCGCAAGUAAUUGAGUACCCUCGUUAUAGCUUUCCAGUGUGUAUGACCUGGAUUACUUGUAUAUCGACUAAGUACGUUUACUGCAUGCGCUAGAUCUGGUCUAGUACAAUUGGUCAAGUACAUGAGACUUCCAAUCACACGUGCAUACUCGUUUUGUGAAAUCGCUUCACCUGAAUUCUUUGUCAAGUGCAUUUGGGGAUCUAACGGAGUUUUUGCCGUACUCUUAGAGUACUUUUCAAAUCUCUCAAAUAUUGUUUCAGCAUAAUGAGAUUGGGUUAAAAUAACUCCGUUUGAAUUUCUUGUGACUUUAACCCCGAGAAUUACAUCUACUAAUCCCAAGUCUUUCAUCUCAAAUGUCCCUUUGAGCAUGUUCUUUGUUUGAUUGAUAAUAUCUUUAUUGCUUCCAAUAAUGAGCAUAUCAUCUACAUAUAGACAUAGCAAAACAUACGCAUUUUUGGUGGUUUUGUAGUAUAUGCAUUUGUCACAUUCAUUUAUUUUGAACCCAUUUGACAUCAUUGUAUUGUCAAAUUUUUCGUGCCAUAGUUUAGGAGCUUGUUUAACCCCAUAAAGUGACUUUACAAGUCGACAUACUUUGUCUUCUUGUCCGGGAAUGACAAAACCUUCAGGUUGUUUCAUGUAAAUUUCCUCUUCUAAAUCACCAUUUAGAAAAUCAGUUUUUACAUCCAUUUGAUGGAUUUCUAGGUCUCUUAAGGCUGUGAUUGCUAUCAUCAGUCUUAUUGAUGUUAUUCUCGUCACUGGAGAAUAUGUAUCAAAAUAGUCAAGGCCUUCCUUUUGUCGGAAUCCUUGAACUACAAGCCUAGACUUGUAUUUUCCACCAGGUUUUCGUGUCAUUAUCCAUUUAUUCCCUAAUGCUUUGCAGCCAGGUGGUAAAUCCGUUAUGUAAUAAGUAUAAUUUUGCAUGAUCGAAUCAAAUUCACUCCUGACCGCUUCGUUCCAGAAUGGAGCUUCUGGUGAAGCCAUGGCUUCUGCCAAAGUUUUUGGAACAUUUUCUACUAAAAAUGCCAUUAGGAAAUCUUCUCCAAAAGAUUUUUCUUUUCGAGCUCUUUUGCUCCUUCGAGGUUCAUCUUUUUCUUCAUUUUCUGAAAUAUCAUUUAUAGAAAUCUCGACGUUUGUCUCAGUUUCUGAGUUUUUGUCAUUGUCUCUUUCUUCUCGAGUUCGUUUUGAACCUUGUUUUUCCUUAUAUGGAAAAAUAUUUUCGAAGAAAGAUGCAUUUCUUGAUUCCAUGACUGUAUUUUCAUGAAUGUCUGAUAUUUCAGAUUUAUGUACCAGAAAUCGAUAAGCAUUACUGUUAUGUGCAUAUCCGAUGAAGAUGCAAUCCACUGUUUUAGGUCCAAUAGUGACCUUCUUUGGUGGCGGUACUGCAACUUUUGCUAGGCACCCCCACACUUUGAGGUAUUUAUACGAAGGUAAAUUACCUUUCCAUAAUUCAUAUGGAGUUUUGCCAGUUACUUUGUGUGGAAUUUUGUUGAGGAUAUAAUUAGUGGUAAGCAAUGCUUCCCCCCACAUGUUCUGGGGUAACCCAGAUUCCUGCAACAUUGCAUUCAUCAUCUCUUUUAGAGUUCGAUUUUUGCGUUCAGCAACUCUGUUAGAUUCUGGUGAGUAAGGAGCUGUAGUUUGAUGGAUUAUUCCAUGUUCUUUACAGAAUGCAUUGAAUGGACCAUCAUACUCGCCUCCUCUGUCGCUUCUAACUACUUUAAUAGUUGUUUUAAGCUGAUUUUCGACCUCGAGUUUAAAUUCUUUAAAUUUUUCUAAGGUUUCGUCUUUGCUAUGUAAUAAAUAUACAUAACAAUAUUUUGUGCAGUCAUCUAUGAAGGUCACAAAGUACUUUUUACCACCUCUAGUUUGUAAGUAUUUUAAAUCACAUAAAUCUGUGUGAAUUAAAUCUAGAGGUUUAUUAGUUCUUUCAACACGAGGUGAUGGCGUUUUCGUGAGCUUAGCCUGUACGCAUACUUCACAUUUUUGUUUACUUGUUUUGCAUUUAGGAAUUAGAUUUAAAUUCAUUAAUCUUUGUAUAGAUUUGUAGUUUACAUGGUCUAAUCUUUCAUGCCAUAUAUUAAAAGACUCAACCAAAUAAGCAACUGGCUCUUUCUUAUUCAUUGAAACUUUUGAAGCUACAACUUUCGGAGAGAAUGUCAUUACAUUCAACUUGACAAGUCCACCCUUAACAUACCCUCUUCCCAAAUACAUCCCAUUUUUCCUAAUCACGAGCUUGUCCGCCUCAAAAUUUGUGGCGAAUCCAUUCUUGCUGAGCAAGGUUCCCGAGACCAGGUUCUUCCUCAUGUCAGGCACAUGCUUCACAUUCGUCAGAGUGACCUCAUGUCCAGAUAUCAUCUUCAAAAUCACAUUGCCGCGUCCUUCAAUCUUGGAGACUGCAGUGUUUCCCAUCUUGAGCUUCUCCUCAGUCAUGCUUUUCUGAUAGGUGCUGAACAUCGCCCUAUCGGUGCAAAUGUGGGUGGUUGCACCAGUGUCAUACCACCAUUCCUUGGGGUUGUUGCUUUCAACCAUGUUGGCUUCAGUCACCACAGCAACGAGAUCCUCCUCUGUGAGAUUUGCCUGAGCCUUCUCAUCCUUGAUCUUUUUGCGACACUCAACAGUCUUGUGCCCCACUUUGUGGCAGUAGUGACAUUUCCCCCUGAACUUCUCCACAUUCGCAUUCCCAUUGAUUUCAAUGCCUUUGUUCUUAAAGUUUUUUCCAGAAGCCUUCAGGGCUGCAUCAGUUUUGGAAGGCUUGGCAGGAGAAUGGGCGUGUGCCUUUCCUUUGCCUUUGUGCUCAGCCAUGUUGACACUGUGCUCCUUAGCAGUGACCUUGUCAGCAAUUCGGUUUCUGGAUUCCAUCUGAAGCCUCAUGAUGAGCUCCUCGAGCCCCAUCUUCUUCUUCUUGUGCUUCAAGUAGUUCUUGAAAUCCGCAAGCUUGGAGGAAGCUUUUCAAUGAAGCUGAGAGUUGUGAAUGUCUCGCAGAUGGACAUUCCUUCAGCAGCGAUUUCAUGGCAAAUGAGCUGAAGCGCUUCCACCUGAUCCAUGAUGGGUUUUGAAUCCACCAUUUUGAAGUCGUGGAACUUUGAGACCACAUACUUCUGGCAGCCAGCGUCCUCACCUCUGUACUUCUUGUCCAGUGAUCUCCAUAGCUCUUUCGCCGUGGGGAUCUCACAGUAGACACAAUACAAUGGGUCAAUGAGACGACCCAAGAUGUAACCUUUACAGAUGAAGUCGGAAUGCACCCAUAUGUCAACUGUUGCAAGACUGUGGACAUCAUCAAUCCCGUACGGAAUCAGGGGCUUGUCCUCCUGGAUGAACUUGUCCAGUUUCAUCGUUGUCAGGAAGAACAUCAUCUUCUUCUGCCACGUUUUGAAGCCUUUGCCAUCAAACUUGUCUGGCAUCAGCCCUUGAGUGAACAAGCUAGGUACAGCCGGAGGAGUUUGAACUGCCACCGGACCACUUGCAGUUGCUGAUCCUGAACCCGUCUGAUAAAGACCAGCACCGAAUAGGCUACGGCGAGUGGUUUCAUCAGCAGCAUUUCCCGCAGGGAGGAUAGUGCUCGUUGUUGCUGCAGCGGUUGUCACGCCAGUUGCAUCAGUUGCUGCAGCGUUGAGUGGAGUCUGAAUGACAUCUGUGGUGUCAAUGGGGGUGUUGUUAUCGUUUGUCAUUUUUCUGUAGAGAAAACAUGAAAAAACGGAUUAGUACUCCAUUCAACAAAUAACAUAUUAUUUUAAAGAAAAUAAUAGUAUAAAAUCGAUGUUCAUUUUUGGUAUUUGAACCAAAUCAUAUCGAUAUAAGUCUGGAAAAAAUGUUUUGCAAACUCGCUUAAAAGCGUUCGCAGAAACCAUUUUUAUAGACUUAGAAUGUUUCACAAACUCGCUUAAGAAAACGGUUACUAAAACGAUUCAUGUAUAUAAAGUUUGAAGAAUGUAUCAACGUUUUGCGAAAAUGCUAGAAAGCAAUCCGCAAAGCGUAAUGAAAUAACCAGAAACGUUUCGCGGAAGUGCUCUAAGGAAAAUCGCAAACACAUUUAGGCAGAAACGUUUCGCGGAUAAGCGUAUAGCUAAUCGCAAACAUCGUUGUGAGAUAAGAACAAAACGUUUCGCGGAAAUGCUAGAAAGCAAAUCGCAAACACGGUUCCAAAACCCGUUUCUAUUAAUCGUUUAUCAACCCGAUUAAAGCUUUAAACAUAAAGCGAUUUUGAGUUAAGAUUGUAGAAGCCGGAAAACCGGACCGAUGUAAACGAUAUAAUAAAAGCGAAGUUAAGGAAAUAGACGAAUAUAUAAAAAAACGAAUACGAGGACGAUAAGAAACCGUAUUCGCAAAUAGACAUGGAGGCGAGAUAUGAUCUCUUUCCUUAACUCAAAAUAUUCGCUCCGUUAGUAAGAUGGGACUGUACGAAUAUAGAGUCCCAGGAUACAACCAUGGCAGACGAAUCACGCCUCACUCGUGAUCGCCCUAUCGAACUAUAAACUCUACGAAACACUCUCGCAAUAUAGACUUACGCAGAGGGAUUUUUUGCUGUUGGAUUUCGAUCAGGGAAAAAAAAAUUCUAAAAUGAAGGAAGAGGAGAGACGAUAUUUUAAAGAGCCGGAGAAGAUCCACUUCCCGCAACAGCUGCUGCACGUUUUUUAUUUUUUACACAAACUACUUGUCGUUUUAAAUAAAAUUGUAUGCUGUUUUUUCCCGAAAUAACUGGCAAAACAUUGAGCUUAACUUGGUCCAAAAAGAAUAGUUCUUGUCGGGCCUUUGGCCCGACACCCAAGCCCAGCCCGGCCGGCUGGACGGCGGCGGCGGCGCGCGUGGGGAGCUCUCUCUUCCUCUGAGCUGUUUAACCUCUCAUGUCAUGAAGACAUAUAUAUACUCCUCAAAAUCAACUUUCCCAACCAAUGUGGGAUGUUGUUAACUUCAUUUCAUUAAAGCCAACAAGGCUUUUUGUAAAAACCCAUAGGCCCAUUUCAUUUUCACAUUUUGCCAUAUAUUAUUUGAGCCAUUAGGCUUAAUAAUUAGGCCCAACAUAUAUCACACACAAGAGUAUAGUCUUGGUUUCAUAAAGCCAUCUUGAGUGCUUGGCUUUGGCUUACUUCUGUGUGUUUCGCUGUCACUUUCUAAAAAAAAAACUUUAUUAUAUGGAAGAUUCUGCCAGGUGAUGCUCGAGGUUACGAAGGAUAAUUUUGGCAAAGAUCCUAGCUUCACGAGGCAUGUUUGCAGCAGCAGCAAAAAAAAAAAAAAAAAAAAAAAAUUUUUGCCGNNNNNNNNNNNNNNNNNNNNNNNNNNNNNNNNNGAAAAAAAAAAAAAAAAAAAAAAAAAAAAAAAAAAAAUGUUUGCAGCAACAGCUGCAGAACGUAGUACACGUGCUUCUCCUCCAUUCUGCAUGAGGCUUGCGUGAUGUAUUGCAUGACGACCACCAGAUAGUGUAAACUGAAUCAGAGAGCAAAACACAAAUGCGUCAGUUAUGUCUCUCAACUAGUAUUGGCCUUUCAUCACAUUUUACAUACCUGAAGAAGCGCAAAGGCAGCACAUGACUUAAGUACAGAAGAAGGGUUGCGUAACAUAGUUAAAAAAAUCUACCAAUCUUAGCACCACUGCAUCUCAAGUAGAGAUGUCAAUUCGGCGGGUUGGGCGGGUUUGGGUGUGUCCGAAUGGGCUUCAUUUUUUUGCUGGAUAUUUUUGGUCCAAGCCCAAAUAGUACCAUGUUCAAAUUGGACCAUAACCAAAUAAGACCAUUAUUUGUUGGGCUAUCUAUGGACGGUCCAUACGCCCACUUAGUGUAAAUAAUAUAAUUUCGAGUUUUGAAGAUGUAAAACACAAGUUUUCACACAAGUUCAUGUUUUAAGCUUAAACUAGAUUUUGACCCGUGCUUUCAAAGCGCGGGUUUAUUUAUUUAUUUUUUUUAAUUGACAAAUAUUUAGUAAAUGUCAUAUUUCAUAUAUUUGUGUUUUAUUUUAUAAAAGACUUAAAUUUAUUAUCUUUCUUUAUCGUGUUUCAUUUUAAAUGACUAUUUAUGUUUAAAAAAUUAAACUGUAUUUAUUUAAUGAAUUAAGUUGGUAUAACUCUAAUAAAUUAAUUUUAUUAUGUGGUUAAUAUUUUUAAUAAAAAAAUUAUAUACUUUUAAUAAAGAUUUAUACUUUUCAAUGAAAAAAUCAAUUUUUUAUGAAUGCUUAAAUUAUAUUAAGAAAAGAAAAAAAAAAUUAAGAAUGGUUGAAAAAAAAUUAUUCGAACUUGGACUCAAUGGCCCAAAGGAAAAAAAAUGUUAGAAUUAGAUCUAAUUUCUUAAUCGGCCCAAAUGGCCCAAGAGAGAUCUGAUGUGGACAGUGGGCUGGAUCCGAAAAAAAUGGCCCAGUAUAGAUGUGUUAUUAAUAUUACUUGAUUGCCCUUAAUGAAACAUACAAUGUUAGUAAAAAAGGGCAGACUAAGGUAAAAAUGACUAUAGGAUUCUGUUUUAAUAGUAUAGAUAUGUCAUAGACUUAACAUUCAUGUUUUAAACUUAUGUUUUAAAGAUGAAAAGUUGAAAACACACAACAAGUUCACACAGACAAGUUCACACAAACCAAACACACAACAAGUUCACACAAACAAGCUUAAAUAUGUCAUAGACUUAACAUUCAUGUUUUAAACUUAUGCAUUCUUCCUCUUCUUCUUCUUUCUUCCACCUUCUUCUUCUUCUUCUUCUUCUUCUUCUUCUUCUUCUUCUUCUUCUUCUUCAAUGUCACCUUCCUUCUCUUCUUCUUCAUCUUCGGAAUCACCUAACACAUCAACAAGAAGUCAAGAGUCAAGACCAUAUCAUGAUCACUACUAUUCUUCCUAGUUCCUACUUUAACCGAAUAUCUAGCUAAGCUAACAUCGGUUCAAGAUCACAAGAUCACAAGGCAUUUCACAAGGCAUUUCACAAGACAUUUCACAUAGCCGAAACAAGUGGCAUUUCACAUAACCGAAACAAGUAAAAGAUGAUCACUACUAUUCUUCCUAGUUCCUAGUUCAAGAAACAAGUAAAAGAUGAGAUGAGAUGACUUACUCAUCGGUUCAAACCCACGGAUCCAGUUCCUUGUACAGAUGAGAGCUUGUACAUUGGAUGGUAGUAGUCGGCUUCUGUACUUGGUAAGGACCCGACUUCCAGCACUAAAAGAUGACUCUGAAGAAACAGUUGUAAUGGGAAUGCAAAGCACAUCAAACGCCAUACAAGACAAUUCCUUAAACCGGGCUUUAUUGUUUUUCCAGUAUUUUAAGACAUCUAGUUUCGGAAAGGUAGCCAUGUCCAUGGGCGGUUCAGCCAAGUAGAUAUCUAAAACUGUUUUCCAUUCUUCUGCAUUUUGAGUAAUGAAUGCAUAAAACCCCUGCAUUAUAAACAUGAAAAAGUGAUUAAGAGCUAUCCAAAGUAGCAAACCACUAACUAAUGAUUGACUACUUACACCAUAACCAGCUGGUAAGCUAUUCUCCAAUGUGGUUUCUGAAGUUGUUGCUGUCGUGGUCUUAGUAGUCUUCUUAUACACUCGAAACAGCUUCUCUAUCUUCUUACGGAUACGAUCUACUUUAGACUUGCUUGUUGAUGGGUUUAGAGUGCUAUAACAGUAUUCUAAGCACUUGAACUUCAACCUUGGAUCCAAGACAGCAGCAAUUGCAAGUAUGUCACUGUAAUCCUCCCAAUAUUUAUCGAAUUUUAGCUUCAUGAUCUUCACCAUUUCACGUAUUGCCUCAUCCUCUGAAGCCGCAUGAUAUAUCAACCAAGUUUCUAUUUUCCACACAUGCAUAAAGUAUAGGUUGGCAGUAGGGUAUGAAGAGCCUGAAACCAGCUUUGUCAUCUCAGCAAAUGGAGACAAAAACUCAUUGAUGAGUGCUGCUCUUGACCAUUCCAAUUCUGAAGGAAAAAACUUGUAGCUUGGCUCAACUUCAGAGAGAUUACGCAAUGCAUCUUUAACCUUAAUAGCUCUAGACAACAUCGAGUAGGUCGAGUUCCACCUCGUGACCACAUCCAAAAUAAGACCAGCAUUGUUCUUAUUCUGAAUGCCAACAGUUUCCACACAAGCUUCAAACAUCUUCUCCCUAGACUCUGAACCUUUUACAAACUUCACACUGUCCCUAAUCUUCUCUAGAGCUUCACCAAUCACUGACAAUCCAUCUUGAACAAUCAAGUUCAAGAUGUGUGCCGCAUCUUACAUGCAUAAAUUCACCAUCACACACCAAAUUUCUGUGAAGCUGUCUCUUUAUAAAUCCUUGCAUGUUAUCAUUUGAAGUAGCGUUGUCCACCGUUAUAGUAAACACCUUCUUAUCCAAGCCCCAUUCCUUCAAUAUCUCCAUUAACUUCAUUGCAAUGCUUGAACCAGUGUGAGGUGGAGGAAACGCACAAAAUGACACGAAUAACACGAAUCAGUAGCUAAUAAUCAAAACGGUCUUGACAAAACCAUAACACAAACCCAUAACAUAACACGAAAUCUAACCUUAGGCUUCAGAGAUGAUGAAAGCGAAGAAGAAUCGAAGAAGAAUCGAAGAAGGAGAAGGAGAAUCGAAGAAAUCGCCAAAGGAGAAUCGAAAUCGCCAAAGGAGAAUCGGAGAAAUCGAUGAAACCGAAGAUUUGCGUUUUCCCCCAAUUUUCUAAACCCUAGCCAUUUAAGUCUAUUGGGCCGUCUGUUGUCCAAGUGGUAAAGCCCAGCUUAGACCAUGGAUGUAAUUGGGCUAGCCCGUUUGGACAACAUUUAAUUCUGGUCCAAUAUGGAUCUGACCAUUUCGGGCCAUAUUGAUUUGGACACGGGCUGCCCAUUAAUAGCCGACCCAUUUGACAUCUCUAAUCUCAAGUGACCAGCUUCUUGUAUCCGGGCUCUCUCUGUCACUUGUGCCAACAUAGUAAAGGUAGAUGAAACAGCUGCAGCUACAAAGACUUGAGGAUCCAUGAAAGUUAUAACAAAAGCUUCAAUGUGUUUAAGAGCCAUUCUUCUUGCCCCAUCUAAGCUUAUGCUUUUUGACGUGCUCUUUGAUGAAGAAGUUCCUCUCAUCACAACGUAUUCAAACAUCAUGUUUCCGCCAUUUGAUAAAUAUUAAAAGUCAAAACUGAAAUUAGAUGUUUAUAUUAAUCUAAGUUAUAUAUGUUAGGAUUUAAACCUUUGCCUAGUGCUUUAAACUUAGAUUGAAAUCAAUAUCAAAAGCUCUUCCUCUUUAUUCACUAUCAAUGAGUAACUUUACAAGAACAAAAUAGAAAUCACAAGCUUCUCUUUAGAACCAAAACCAUAACUAUUGAUUCUCUUGAUCUCUCUCUAUUUGCCUCGCUCUCGUAUCUUUGUUUCGGAUCAUUCUAAAGCCAUGACCACCUCUUCUAUUUAUAACAUCAUCAGCCUCUUAACUUUCCUAUUUCUUGUUGUCUUGGUUCGUCUUUGACCGACAUAACAAAACAAGAAACUAACUUCACGUUUCCUUUUUGUUUAUGCAGGAUUCUUGCUGGGCUGGAGUGGGCCAAGACAGAAUUGGGCUUUUUUUCUCUACAAUCUCUACCUAAAGCCCAUAUUCUUGCCUUCUCUCUCUUGUCACCUCCUUCGAUGAUACCGUAGACGCUUUCAAGCUUCCAUCUCCUUCCACCUUUGAUCUGAAACUCCAUAUGUGACAACUUCGCUGUUGAGUCAUUGUCGCCAUGGUCCUUGUCCUUAUCUUUGCAGUGAGCCAUGAACACGAAACUAAAAACGGCUAUCUUCACUCAUCUCCCUUUUUUCGCCUAGAAUCUCUUGGGACGGUGAUGAUGUCUCACCGACGAAUCAUUCCGUCUCCGGCGAGUCCCGUUUCUUCACCCUAUCUAUCUCACUUUGAUUCCUUACACUGGAUUGCGAUGAAGACGUGCAUCGUCAAGGGAGAUGAAGAUAACCUCUGAACAGAACCUGUCUCAUCCGGUGAACUGUUAAUUGCGUUUCUCCAACCAGCGUCACAUCUACCCUUGUCUUUAAUCCCUCCAUGGUACUUCUCUGCAACUCCGACAUGCUCCACGCCAAUGACGUCCCUGUAGUGAUCAAAACCACUGAUGACAUUUAAUCGGUUAUCCGAUUCCUCUGUCCAAGAGUUCUUCAACUUCUCAAAUCAUCAACUCAACCUCCUGUAAAAUCGCAUCAUCUGAUAGUAACACCAGCUUGUUCUUCAUCGUGAGAUGCCUGUAAUCUCCAAGAAGCUCGCGAUUUCUUCGUGGUGAGUGACGAAUCUCUAACUGCUGGUGGUGAUCGAUUUAAUCUGUCUUGUCGAUGAUACUACAGCUUUCCGGUAAGAUCAUAUGAGUUGUGACUCUGCUUUGAAAACUUUCACUUAUUUCCUUGAGAAUUUAUAAGCACUAAUCCCUUUUGAUUUUUGACAGUCCUUCAUGCGUUUCCGGUGACCCUUUGGAGACUCCUCUGUUACUACGACCUGUCUCCCUUCAACUUCCUGGUAAGGUAAUUUACGUCUCUUUAACCUGAUUAAGAUGAUGCCUGUGAUGUUAUUAUACUUGUCUGGUGAUCUGCUUCGAUUUCCCUGGUUGCGAUACUCGUCUCCCUUCAACUCUCCUUGGUGUUUAUCCUCCACCACAGCAGCUGUUUAAGGCGUUCUCUCCUCUCCGGUGAUCUAUUUCUUCUUUCCCCGACCUAGAUACUCGUCUCCAUUCAGCUUCUCUUGCUGUUUAAGACGUUUUCUCAGGUCAUCCUUAGACUUUAAACUUCUUCAUCCGACUACAUAAUACCUUUGAGUGAAUUGUUCUUGUGUUUCAGCUGCUCCACCUCGAGCUGAAACCCUUUGCCUCGCAUCCAUACUCACAGGUAACUCUUUAAACUCCACCUUGAGUUUCCAUUAUCAAUAUAAACCUGAAACUUACUUGUUUCUCCUCCUCUAUCUCUGCGAGCUUGAGACAGCGUUGAUAAUGGAGUUACCUAGAGCGUCUUUCUUCUUAGGCGAUUAUGGAACAGCAGCGAACCUGAAGCUCCUUUCCAGGUACUGCUUUUCUUUGUAAACCAUCUUGAUUAUUGGUAUGGAUCUUAGAUAGUGUUGCAUCUCCUGUAACUCUCUCUCCGAAGAUACCAUCCUCCAAUAUUUUUGAAACUUUUCCCUCAGCUUCAUUCCCAAGUUCCAUAUCCACGUUCUCCUAAGCCUCCUUUAAACACUUUUGAUCCUUGCUUUCUGAUUCUUCUUUCAUAUUAAGCUUUUCCGGUGCAGCCAAAACGUGUGCUAAGAGAUCACCAUCCAUAUGUCUUGCUUUUUUUUCAAACAAAAAAUCGUCCCUUGAAGAUUCUGUUGUCUGAGAUUCUUUAUUGCUACCCUUAGACUAAAUUUCUUCUGUCAAGAAAGAGUCUCCACCUUGAACUGAUGAGUCUCUUGUUUGAAACCCGUGUGGAGUUGGUCCCCGUAUCAGACUUGUUGUGAACGUCACCUUCUUUAACUUCUUCUUUCUGAUUUCUUUCUCCACUCUAGGCAUGUUCUUCUUACUCUUAGCAAUUGUGCCUUGUAGAUAAUAAACUCCAUCGUGAUAUUUUCCUGUUAUCACCUUCAUGUUAUCUUUGUAGAAGUGCACCUUGAAAUUGCUUCCUUUAUACUUACAACCUGAUUUCUCUAGCAUCCCAUAGGAAAUUAAAUUUCUAGUCACCUCCGGUAUGUAUCUAACACCUCUGAGUAUCACUUCAGAGCCAUCUGAAUUCUGAAAUUUUAUUUUCCCAAUUCCUUUGAUCUCACAUUGAGUGUUAUUUGCCAUUAACACUGAACCACCAUUGAACUCCUUGAGAUCAAACAUAACCUCCCUGGCUGAUGUACUAUGAUAAGAACAUCCAGAAUCCAUGAUCCAUUCUUGCUUAGUGUCUUGCAUACUAGCUGUUAACACUAACGGUUGCUUCGGCUCUGUCGCAAUGUUUACAGAUUCUUUAUGUCUCCUCUUAGGACAUUCUCUCUUCUAGUGUCCUUCUUCUCCACAUAUAAAACAACUUGUUUUUCUUUUAUCGAACCUUUGUCUUGACUUAGAUCUACCCCUGCCGUUAGAUUUUCCUCUAUAACCUUUUUCUCUGAUCUGCCCCUUGAUUCCUCCACGUACAAACCCUCUGCAUCAGACCUGGAUUUAUUCAGCAAUCCCUUCUCCUUUAGUUUAACUUCUUUGGAGUAUGCUGAAUUAAUCACGUCAUUCAUGGUAAGAGUUUCUUUUGCCGUUCCGUACUUGAGCGUGUCAACUAGUGAAUCAAAUUGCUGGGGUAAGCUAGAUAGAACUUGAAUAGCCUGGUCUUCAUCGCUGAUGUUGAUGUUAAGACUUGCAAGAUCUGAAACUAGCUUAAAAUAAAUAUCUAGGUUUUCCUCGAUGCUCUUGUGAUCAUCCAUCUUGAAGCUCGCAAACCUCUGCUUCAUGUAGAUCCUAUUAGGAAGUGUCUUCGUUUGGUAAUCUCUUUCCAAAGCCUUCCAAACUCCUAACACAGUCGUUUCCUUCAUCACCUUUCGCAGAACCAAAUUUCCUAGGCUCAUGCAUAUAAUAUUCUUUGCCUUUUUGUCCUUCAACAAAUUUACUUUGCCUUCUGGAAGUUCUUUGUCUUUCUCCGUGUCUGUAUCAGACAGCGUGACCGUAACUUCCUGAAUCGUAGAAUCUAACCCUAGAAGCUCCAACUGCAUUAGCAUCUUGUACUUCCAUAACCCGAAAUCACCUUUUCCAUCAAAUAUCUCAACCUUGAACUUUCCAGACAUUGAUUCCAUAUCUCCUCCUAGCACUUGCAAUCAAACCUGGAUUGCUCUGAUACCACUUGUUAGGAUUUAAACAUUUGCCUAGUGCUUUAAACUUAGAUUGAAAUCAAUAUCAAAAGCUCUUCCUCUUUAUUCACUAUCAAUGAGUAACUUUACAAGAACAAAAUAGAAAUCACAAGCUUCUCUUUAGAACCAAAACCUUAACUAUUGAUUCUCUUGAUCUCUCUCUAUUUGCCUCGCUCUCGUAUAUUUGUUUCGGAUCAUUCUAAAGCCAUGACCACCUCUUCUAUUUAUAACAUCAUCAGCCUCUUAACUUUCCUAUUUCUUGUUGUCUUGGUUCGUCUUUGACCGACAUAACAAAACAAGAAACUAACUUCACGUUUCCUUUUUGUUUAUGCAGGAUUCUUGCUGGGCUGGAGUGGGCCAAGACAGAAUUGGGCUUUUCUCUCUACAAUCUCCACCUAAAGCCCACAUUCUUGCCUUCUCUCUCUUGUCACCUCCUUCGAUGAUACCGUAGACGCUUUCAAGCUUCCAUAUCCUUCCACCAUGGUAAGAGUUUCUUUUGCCGUUCUGUACUUGAGCGUGUCAACUAGUGAAUCAAAUUGCUGGGGCAAGCUAGAUAGAAAUUGAAUAGCCUGGUCUUCAUCGCUGAUGUUGAUGGUAAGAAUUUCAAGAUCUGAAACUAGCUUAAAAUAAAUAUCUAGGUUUUCCUCGAUGCUCUUGUGAUCAUCCAUCUUGAAGCUCGCAAAUUUCUGCUUCAUGUAGAUCCUAUAAGGAAGUGUCUUGGUUUGGUAAUCUCUUUCCAAAGCCUUCCAAACUCCUAACGCAGUCGUUUCCUUCAUCACCUCACGCAGAACCAAAUUUCCUAAGCUCAUGCGUACAAUAUUCUUUGCCUUUUUGUCCUUCAACAAAUCUACUUUGACUUCUGGAAGUUCUUUUGUCCUUUUUGGCCAAGACAGAAUUGAGUUUUUCUCUCUGCAAUAUAAAUUACCUUCCAUCAAACAUGUAUGGCAAAGCUAAUGCAGCCAUGAACCGAGCCAUUUUUUAGAUGGAAGAUGAACACAAGUGAACAAGAGCUGGAACAAGAUGAACCAACACAUUGAUGAAAAUUUGAUCAGAAAGCUCAAAUGGUUUAAGCCACAAGGCUUAAAGACACAAGAAAAAUGCUUACCUCGGCCUCCGACCGUGUAAGUGCAAUUAGAGGUGGAACACCACCUUCACGUCCAAUCGCAAUGCUGAUGAACAUUCAAAGAAACAGUGGCAGAAAUAUUGUUAUUAAGGAAUUGGUUUAAAAGUAUCAGUGUUGUUGCUCCAUUACCAACAACAAAACAAAAAUUAUAAGUCAACGUUAAAAAAUCAUUGUUUUCAUUACCAAAAGAAAAUAUAUGAUCUAAUUUUAAUAAUCAUGUUAUUGACAAGCUUUUUAUAAUUUGUUACUUUGUAUCGUUAAUUAGGUUAAGUUUUUCUUAUAUUUUUUUGGUUUAACAUUAAGGGAUUGGACUUGAUAAAUCCUUUUUUGUUUUUGUUGUGUAUCUAUUUUGAUAACAAAUCAUCAAAGCUUUGAAAGAUACUGUUUUUAGGGUACUGAAAUUAGAAAGGAAUGAUGUAUAAUAUAUGUUUGACACUUCACAUACAUGUAUGUUGGGCCUAUGUUUAUCCAGUUAAAAUGGGUCUUUCUCCAGUAACAAAUUGUAGAGCCCAAUAAAAACAUUCGCCCAUUGAGUGGCAGGGGCCAGGGCUGGCAUUUCGGGUAUUCGAUUCGGUUUCGGGUAACAUCCAUUCGGUUAUGGAUAGUUCGAUUAUUUGAAAGUUGCAUCCAAAUAGUACUUGGUGAACUUACGGUUCGGUUUUGGAUCGGUUCCGACCGGUUCCGGGUCGGUUCCGACCGGUUUUGGGUCGGUUCGGAUUUUUGAUGAAAUUAACCAUAUAUAAUCCGAAACAAUUCGGUAACAUUCGGUUCGGUUAAAUUUUACCCGAAACCAUACUUGAUAUCCGAAAUAUUUUUAUUUUAUUUAUUUUAUUUUAUUUUUAAUGAAAUAUAAAUUGAAAUCAUAUACAUAUAUUAGUAAUAUGUAUUUAGGUACAUCGAAGUUGAGCUAGUCUAGUGGUAUUGUCCCUGAAGUAUCACUCAUACGACCUGGGUUUGACCUUCGGGGGAUGCAAUUCUAUAUAUUUUGAAGUAUAGAAUUCGGUUUAAACGGGUACCCGAUCGGUUCUGGGUAAAAUCCGAAACCGAAACCCAUCGGGUAAUUAGCCUAUGGCCAAAACCGAACCGAAUCGGUGUAUUUCGGGUCGGAUCCGGUUCUGGUAUUCGGUACCGGGUCAAAGUCGCAGGCCUAGCAGGGACUACAAUUACGUCACCUUUUCUCUUCUUUCUCCAAUCAUAUACUAAUGAUUACUGUGUCAGAUAACUAAUUAUGGUGAUAAUUACAAUGAUACGCUUACUCUGAUGUUUCAAGAUAUUUUUAGAUUUUUAGGUUAAUUUUAAUUUUAUUGAAAACAUUUUAAAUAAUUAUAUUUUAGAGUUUUUUGUGAUUUUUUGCACAGUUUUUCUUGUGACUAACUGAAUCAUUUUUAAUACAUAAUUUAAUGUUGCUUUUUAUAAAAGAAAUAAGUCUUUGAAUUUUUUUUUUAUGUUUUAGGCGUAAUAUCCUACACUAUAAACAGAAAGAACAUUAUUUUAAGCCUAUCGAAUAUCAUGAACUAUAUUCAUUUACGGGUUGUUGGAUUAAUUUGCUUAAAGAAACUUAUCAAGACUUAAGACUACAAAUCUCUCAUAAAGGUGCGGUCUAAAUCUGACAAAAUACUAUCUGAACUAAUUUAUCCUUUAUACCAAUCGUAUAAAUGAAGGACAACUCAUUAUUUUAUUAAUAAUAUCAAAUUUCAUUUGACUAUAAAUAUUAUUUUUCAGGUACAAAAGUUUACGAUAGCGAGCCAAUAAUCCAAACUAAAGAUGAACAUAUAAUAACAAAAAGUAAAUUAAAGAAGCAGAAACUUCAAGAAUUAUUCGGGGGUGGUAAAAUAGGAGAGAAGAAAAGUGGAUCAUUAUCAAACUUUCUCUCUUUAAUGAUGCAAUUUAAUAUGACAAAUAAGAUCAUGGAGACAAAGAAUAUAAGGGCAACAUUAUCGCCGUCGUUAUCUUUAGUCGUUAGGGAGUAUAUGAUUUAAUUUAAAUCAAAUUUGCAACAUAUACGCUGGGACGCGUCCGUUUUGUCGUUAGCUAACAUUUUUUUUUUGUCCUUAGGUGAUAUGUGUCGGCAAGGGAAUGGUGGAAGAGUUUUCGUUAGGGAAAAAUCGAAUUGGGAUCGAGAUCGACAUUUCUCGUCUCUCUCCUUCUCUCUCGCGGCGAUCGAAAGGGCGAUUUUGCUCUCAACGGCACAUCUCCUUCGUGAUGGUUCUCCCGUCGACGAAUAUCCUCCCAAGUCGUCUCCUCUCGACGGAUCUCCUCCCGACGGAUCUCCUCCCGAGGCAUCUCUCGGCGGUUCUCACCAUUGAUCUCUCGGCGCAUCUCCUUCUCUCUCGAUUCUCUCCGCGGUUCUCUUGGCGGAUCUCUCAACCGUUCUCUCUGUGAUUCGAAGGUGAAAGGGUAUGUGUUCCUCCUCCUUAUGAUUUUCAUGUAGUUCGUUUAUGUUUUCGAUCUACUUUAGCUGAGGUUUGCAUGUAUUUAGACUUUGAUUGAUUUGCUUGCUUUGCAAUAGAUUUAGGGAUUUCGUAUCAUAUAUUUUCGUCUCUUUAGUCUUUGAGAGUGUGGUUACUAGAUGAUAUUGGUAUUAUGUGAUGUUAUCGUGUAGAUUUAGGGAUUUCGAUCGUAGAUUAUAGUUGUGAUAUAGAUUGUGUACGUGAGGUGAGAUGAGUUUAUCGAUUCAGUAGAUGUGUAAUGUGUUCUUCGCAUUUGGUAAAUGUGUUCUGUUAUCGAUGAAACUGAGAUGUGUGAUUAUUUGUUGUUUAUCUCAUGAAACUGAGAUGUGUGUUCUUAUGUUUCCGAGGUUAUUAGGUGAGGUGAGGUUCGAUCACCAGGAUUGUAUUAGCAAGGAGAUCAAAGAGAAACAACCAUUUCCUCCACAGUUGAAGGUAAACUUCUUUCUCUUCAGCUUGAAAGUAAUGUAGUUUGUAUAAUAGUUAAAACAUCUAGUUUUCUUUCUCUGUUUUGUUUGCGACCAAAGCGUUUAGUUUGUAUAAUAGUUAAAGCGUCUAGUUUGUUUGCAAGGCCACACUUUCUUGGUAGUGUCGAGUCUGUUUUGAUUGUGACCAAAGCGUGUAGUUUGUUUGCAAGGCUACUUUGUUUGGUAGUUAAUGCACUUGUAGUUAGGUAAUUAUGGUUGUGUAAUGUGUAGUAACUGAGAUGUACUUUUGUAGUUAGGUCAUUAUGGUAGUUUUAAUUACCAUUUUCAACUAUUUAACCCUUCUUUCACAAUUUCGAUUUAAUCUCCAUCAUCUUCUUUCUCUUUUCUCUGGUAUAACUCUAUCACAUUCCUUCUUCUAUUCUCUUUUCACUUCUAUCUUCUUUAUUUUAUGGAUCCAAGGAUUCCGUAUAGCCAGUCUACUGGUUAUACGGGCCUUCUUUACAGUCAACACGAAAGUGUUUAUGAUGGGAACUCUCCUUAUGAGAGUUUUCCUUCUGGAUCUUCACAGAUCCCUCAAUUCAGUUCUCAACAGUGUGAGGCUCUAACUCCACCCACACAUCUACCCGUAGAGCGUGGGAGGAGGCAUAAAUGGACCCCAGCCGAGGACGAGAUGCUGAUCAGUGCCUGGUUAAAUACCUCUAAGGACGCUAUAGUCGGCAAUAACCAAAAAUCAGGCACUUUCUGGAAACGAGUUGGAGAUUAUUUCUUCGAAGCUCUUUCUGGUAGAUAUUGUGUUGAAAGUAGCGAGCAUGUCCACUAUAAGCAGAGGUGGCACAAAAUCAGUAAUGACACAUCCAAGUUUUGUGGUGCAUAUGCGGCUGCAGAGAGACAGAUAUCUAGUGGUCAGCAUGAGAACGAUGUACUCAAGGUGGCCCAUGAAAUAUUCUUCGCGGAUCAGGGGUCCAAAUUCACACUGGAGGAUGCGUGGUGUGUGUUGAGGUAUGAGCAGAAAUGGCUCAACCUCAACAGCACUAAAGCUUCUGAAAGUUCAAAGAGGAAAACCGUUGAAUCAGAUUCCCAAACUUCAACCACAAGUGUUGGUGAAGAAGAGAUACGCCCUGAAGGUGUAAAGGCUGCAAAAGCUAAACGUAAUGCAAAUGGGAAGUCUGUUGAUUACUAUACGACGGUACUUGAACUGAGGAGGGUGGAUUUGGAUAGGAAAGAAAAGCUCCAGAAGCUUGCCAUCUUAGACACUCUCCUAGCCAAAACCCAACCACUCAGUGAGGCUGAAGAAGCAGCCAAAAACAAGCUCCUCGCCGAGUAUAUUUAGAGAAAUAUCUGCUACAACCUUUGUGUGUUUUCUGUCAGUUUGGUUUGUAUGGUUUUAAUGUGAACGGUGUCUAUGUUUUUAAAGCUACAACCCUCCUGGUUGCUUUGUACUAAAACCUUUAUCAAUUAAUCUAUUAUGUUUACUUGCUUGUAUGAUGUUUGCUUGCUUGUAUGUUUAGCUACUAUAAAUGUCCAUCUGUAAUAUGAAUGUCCAUGUCUAAUUUUUAUCUUGUAAUUUUUUGCAGUUUUCGGAUUAUACAUGGGUCUUGAUUACAUCUAUUCACAACCUUCACAGGAUGAGACGUUUGGUGGGGCUGAGUCAGACAGUGACUACAACGAAGUCGAAUCUCUCUUUCAGCAAGACCAAGCUCAGUUAGACGAAGCUCUCAUUCAGCAAGACCAAGCUCUCAUUCAGCAACACGAAGCUCUCAUUCAGCAAGACCAAGCACAUGCGUUUGUGUACCCUCCACAGCCGGAGGUUGAAUUCGGAUUUCCACAAAUAUGCUACUGUGGGAGUGAACCGAAGAUAGCUACGUCUAGCAUCGAACCAGGUCGAAGAUACUACACAUGUACAAAUGCAAACGAUGGAGAGUGUCAUGUGUGGAAAUGGUGGGACGAGGCUGUAAUGGAGGAGAUGCGAGCCAGGGAUAGACACACAUUUCAGUUAGCCGAGAAGGUAGAUUCUCUGACCUUCUUCAAUGACCAUGCUACUGAGCAGAAGCUCGUUAGAUUAGAGAACAUGGUGUGUGAGUUGGCCAAGAAUAAAUCAAAGUCUAGCUUAGAUUACUUCGUUUCGGUUAUGGUUAUGGUCUUAAUUUUCAUAGGUGUCAUCCUCGUAUUUCUCUAAUGUGUUAUGGUUAUGGGAACUUCUUUGUAACGACUUCGGAUUUGUGAUGUAUGGUUAUGGUAACACUCAGGUAACACUACUACUUUUAUUUCAAAAUUCAAAGGAAUUUUAGAUGUGUACCUAAUAGUUUACGACAUUGAAACAAUAUGCAUGUUUAAAAUUCAGAAGAAGUGAACCUAUAAAGUAGUUGAAAAUGUCAGGAGACAAACAUGUUGUGUACCUAAAAAGUAGUUGAAAGGUUCACAAGACAAACAACAGACAAUCACAACAUUGUAACUUCAUGAGCCUAUAAAUGUGACGGACAUACUCUCGUUAAAAUUACAACUCCUCUACUUCUUUCUUAUAUUAAAAACAUUGCCUUCUUUUUUUCAUUCAAAAUGGCUUCUUCUUCACAUUAUCAUUAUAACCAAAAUGACGAUGAUGUUGAUCCAUUUGAAAAUAUUUUUGAAGAUUUAUUACAAAUCCCAGAUAUUAUUCCCAAACCGAGAGAGCGAAAAACACGUAUCUUUAUUGAGAGAGAGCGGGAAGAAGGCCAGGACCAGCUUUGGAAUGAUUAUUUUAGCGAGACUCCAACAUUCCCGCACAAUAUUUUUCGGAGACGGUUUUGAAUGAACAAGACAUUUUUCUUGCGUAUUGUGCAUUGUCUCGAGCAAGAAGUGGAUUAUUUUAAACCAUCACAAGAUGCAACCAGUCGGUCUAGCCUAACCGCGCUCCAAAAAUGUACCGCAGCAAUUCGUCAGUUGGCGUAUGGUGGUGGGGCUGAUACCGUUGACGAAUAUGUCCGACUAGGUGAAACCACAGCUAGAAAAUGUUUGCACCAUUUUACCAACGGAAUCAUCCAUUUGUUUGGCGAUGAAUACCUUAGAUGUCCUACACCGGAGGAUCUGCAAAGACUACUAUAUAUUGGAGAACAACGUGGAUUUCCAGGAAUGGUUGGAAGCAUCGACUGUAUGCAUUGGGAGUGGAAGAAUUGUCCAGCCGCUUGGAAAUGAAUGUAUUCACGAGGAACCGGAAAACCAACAAUUGUGUUGGAGGCGGUGGCUGAUUACGACCUCUGGAUAUGGCACGCGUUUUUUGGAGCACCAGGUACUAUGAACGAUCUUAAUAUUCUUGAUCGAUCACCUGUUUUUGAUGACAUUAUUAACGGAAUAACACCGCAAGUCAACUUCUAUGUUAAUGGUCAUCCGUACCAUUUGGCCUAUUAUCUCACUGAUGGGAUUUAUCCUGACAGGGCGACUUUUAUUCAAUCUAUCUGUCUACCACAAAGUGAGAAACAUUCAUUAUUUGCUAAAACCCAAGAAGCUGUACGGAAAGAUGAUGAACGUGCCUUUGGAGUCCUGCAAGGUAGAUUUGCCGUCGUCAGAAAUCCAUCUAAUUUAUGGGAUAAACAAAAAAUAGGAAAUAUUAUGAGAGCAUGUAUCAUUCUCCAUAAUAUGAUUGUCGAGGAUGAACGGGCAGCAAGGACACAAUAUGUGGUUCCUGGAUUUGAAGAAAGUGAAGAGGAAAGAUUUUCCGUCAAUAUGCCUUCGCCUCUCGGCAAUACAAUGGAUCGUCGAACGAACGUUCGCAAUAGACAAGCCCAUCAUAAUUUAAAAAAUGAUUUGAUUGAAAAUAUAUGGACUAAAUUUGGACAUCUUCCAAAUAACAUGUAAUUUAUAAGUUUUUAUGAAUUUAAUAAAAUGUUUGUUUCCUUUUAAUUAUGUUUUUUUAAUUUUUUUUUUUUUUUAAUUUUUUUUGUUGUAAUUUUCUUUUUCUUUCAAUUUAAUGUUAAACUUCUCUUUUAUGUUUUAUUUAAAAUGUAUCUUUUAUAUCUUAUCACACAUUAAAAUAAAUAUUAUAAAAUAUGCUAAGACUUUUUUUGUCUUACCAAUAAUCAACAAAUUGACAAAAGUCCUUAAGCAUUUGUCCCUAACUAAAAAAUAAUACUAAUUUAUUCUAAGGACAAAAUUUUGUAGAACCAAUAAUGUUGCCCUAAGUAGGGCUUAAUUCCAUUAAGAUAUACAUAUAUACAAAGGAAUUGGAGACAGUCCUUGAGCAAGACAGACUAGUGAGGGAGAUUAAGGAGAUACAGGACAGACUAGACUAGAACAUGAACACUCGGAGGACAUACUAGCUCAGGAGGGAGUAUUACUAAAGGAAUUGGAGACAGUCCUUGAGCAAGAAGAAGUGUUGUGGUUCCAAAAAUCACGGGAAAAGUGGUGGGUGCAUGGUGAUAGAAAUACCAAGUUCUUUCACACGUCCACAAUUAUUAGAAGGACGAGGAAUAGAGUUGAGAUGCUGAAAAAGGAUGAUAUUAUAUGGGUAUCAAAUGCACAAGAGCUGGAGAAGCUAGCAGUUGACUAUUUCAAGAAACUAUACUCGUUAGAGGAUGUGGACAUAGACACACCAUUGCUAGAGGAGAGGAUGUUUGUCAGGCUCACAGGACAUGAUCACAACAUUCUUAAUAAACCGUUUUCAGCGGAAGAAGUAGAGAAAGCAGUAAGAGACAUGGGAAGUUUCAAAGCGCCUGGUCCAGAUGGGUUCCAACCCGUUUUUUACCAAAGGAGCUGGGAGAUAGUAGGUUCCUCUGUGACGAAAUUUGUUCUUCGCUUCUUUGAAACAGGGACGCUACCGGAGAAUACGAAUGAUGCCCUAGUGGUCUUAAUUCCGAAAGUAAUGAAACCGGAGUUGAUUACUCAGUUUCGUCCGAUAAGUCUUUGUAAUGUAUUAUUCAAAGUUAUCACCAAAGCCAUGGUAGGGAGAUUGAAGGGAAUUAUGAGCAAGCUAAUUGGUCCUGCGCAGUCGAGCUUCAUUCCGGGGAGAUUAAGCGCAGAUAACAUUGUGGUAGUACAGGAAGCUGUUCACUCGAUGAAGAAAAAACAGGGACGUAAGGGUUGGAUGCUGUUGAAACUUGACUUGGAGAAAGCUUAUGAUCGAUUGAGAUGGGACUUUCUUGAAGAUACAUUAAGAGCGGCAGGCCUGUCUGAUAGUUGGGUUGUGAGGAUCAUGGAAUGUGUUGCUGGUCCGUCAAUGUGUAUAUUGUGGAAUGGAGAGAAAACAGAGCCCUUUAAACCAUCGAGAGGUCUGCGACAAGGAGAUCCUUUGUCUCCGUACUUGUUUGUGCUGUGUAUGGAGAGGUUAUGCCAGUUGAUUGAGAAAGCUGUGGAAGAUAAACGUUGGAAACCGAUAAGACUGUCGAGAGGAGGUCCACAGUUAUCUCAUAUUUGUUUUGCUGAUGACUUAAUCUUGUUUGCGGAGGCAUCAGUGACACAGAUUAGAGUGAUAAGGAAAGUGUUGGAAAAAUUCUGCAAGGCGUCAGGUCAGAAAGUAAGUCUCCAGAAAUCGAAAAUCUUCUUCUCUAAGAAUGUUUCCAGGCAAAGGGGAGAGAGGAUAAGCAGGGAGAGUGGCAUUGCAGCGACAAGAGAUCUGGGUAAAUACUUGGGGAUGCCAAUUUUACAGAAGAGAAUCAAUAAGGAGACCUUUGGGGAGGUACUGGAGAAAGUGGCAUCGAGGCUAUCAGGAUGGAAGAAACAAACUUUGAGUCUCGCAGGAAGAGUAACGUUGACAAAGUCGGUAUUAUCCUCAAUCCCAGUUCACUCGAUGAGUACAAUAAGUUUGCCAGUGUGCACUCUGGAGAAGCUGGAUGCCUUAGCGAGAAGUUUUGUGUGGGGAGGUGGACAACAUCUAAUCUCCUGGGAAAAGAUUUGCAGACCGAAGGUUGAUGGCGGUUUGGGAAUCAGAGUUUCGAGAGAUAUGAAUAAGGCUCUCAUAGCGAAGGUGGGAUGGCGAUUGAUGCAGGAUAAUGAGAGCCUAUGGGCUCGUGUGUUACGCAGCAAAUAUGCUGUAGGUGAUAUACAUGACAGGUCUUGGAUGCGAGGGAGAAAGUCUGGAUCUUCGACGUGGAAUAGCGUUGCAAUGGGCAUAAGAGAGGUGGUAACUGUAGGCAAUCGAUGGGUUGUUGGUGAUGGGAGGAACAUAAGGUUCUGGACGGAUAGAUGGAUAUCCGAUAAGCCACUUAUGAUGGAAGUGAUCGCUGAACUGCCAGAGGGUUAUGAGAAUAUAACUGUCCGAGAUAUGUGGUGGGAAGGUGGAGGUUGGGAUUUUAGCAGAGUUGUCCCUUUUGUUACAGAGGAGAAGAGACUGGAGCUUAUGGCAGUUGUGGUGGAUACGGUCACUAGAGCAAAGGAUCGUCUGUCAUGGGGCCACACACCAAACGGAAAGUUCACUGUAAAGUCUGCAUAUGCAAUGUUAACAAGCGAUGAGACACCAAGGCAGUAUAUGGGAUCUUUCUUUCGAUGCAUGUGGAGAGUGGUAGCAUCUGAGAGAGUUCGUAUGUUUCUCUGGCUAGUAGGAAACCAAGCAAUUAUGACGAAUACUGAGCGACAUAGACGACACUUAAGUGGAACUGAUAUGUGUCAAGUCUGCAGAGGAGGGAUAGAAACUAUAAUGCACGUGCUCCGGGAUUGCCCUGCGGUGAAAGGCAUAUGGGAGAGAUUUGUGCCGAUGAGGAGAAGGGAUGCGUUUUUCUCAAUGCAGUUGUUCGAAUGGUUAUAUAAAAACUUGGAUGAUAAGAGUGUAGAUGGGGGCAUCCCGUGGGCUACGAUCUUUGCGUUGACUGUGUGGUGGGGGUGGAAGUGGAGGUGUGGGAAUGUGUUUGGUGACACAAGGUUGUGGAGAGAUAGAGUAAAAUUUCUCCGGGAGCUAGCCAAAGAGGUAAUAUUGGCGUAUGAAGUAGAGAACACACAUUCGAGUGAGAGGAAUAUGGGUGAAGUAUUGGUAGGAUGGACGCUGCCGAGGAUUGGGUGGAUGAAGCUGAAUACAGAUGGAGCCUCCCAAGGGAAUCCAGGACCGGCUGCUGCAGGUGGAGUAAUACGGAAUGGUGAAGGGGAGUGGUAUGGAGGUUUCGCACUAAACAUAGGAAGAUGCACGGCACCGGUGGCGGAACUUUGGGGUGUGUACUAUGGCUUAGUGGUUGCUUGGGAUAGAGGGGUUCGGAGGCUGGAGGUAGAAGUAGAUUCGAAGAUGGUGGUGGAGUUUCUCACGACAGGGAUUGGGGACACCCAUCCGCUGUCCUUCCUGGUACGUCUGUGCCAUGGCUUCUUGACAAGGGACUGGCUGGUCCGGAUCGUGCAUGUGUUUCGAGAAGCAAAUCGUGUAGCUGAUGGUCUAGCUAACCUUGCUUUCUCUCUUCCUUUUGGUUUUCAUAGUUUUGAAUUUGCCCCGCUUGAUCUUGUUGCUUUAUUGCAUGAAGAUGUUGUUGGACCUCCACGGCCACGACAAAUUCGAAUUGUUGACUGAAGUUUAAUUUUUCUUUUUUAAUAAAAAUUGGGAGUGAUCCUCCCAUAUUCUCACCAAAAAAAAAAAAGAUAUACAUAUAUACACUAACGAUAUGAUGUAGAUCUGCUUCUCUCUUAAUUUUGUUAUUUUUAAUCAUAUAUGUUAUUCCGUUCCCUUGCAUAAUUGGAUUUGCUUAUAAAUUUAAUCCGUAAUCUAUUUUUCACGUUGAGAAAAAGGCAUUUAUGAAUGUCUCACUCCCAUCUUUUUUUUUUUUGAACUGCACUCCCAUCUUUCUUACACUGCUUCAAUGUAAAUAAAUCAACAAAACGAGAGAACAUUUUAGUAGUAAUCAUGUGUAUAAAUCUUUUGAGAGACUUGUUUUAUCAUCAUUUUAGUAGAAAUAGUGUUCGCUGGAGUUUGUAAAUAUAUUUUACAUAGAAAAACCUUAAGUUUUAUUUAUUUAUUCCAAAACUGUAAUCUUGUUUGACAUGUAAGCGCAGACUCAACUGCUUUUGAAACAAUAAUGAGUCCUCUUAAUUUUAGGUAGAACACAAAGAUAAAUUACAAUACUACAUGUUUUUGAUGAAGGCUUUGCAAUCACAAUGCGUCAUUAUAAUAUAUUCAACUACAACCAGUGUUAUUAUAAUAGUUAUAAUUGUAUUCGGUUGGACCAAAAGCAAGAUUUUGAGGAUCUGAUUUGGUGUGACCCAAGAGACGUUACCACUCAACGAACCUCUACAGUUACCAAAAACAAACUAUACUCCCUCCGUUUCUGAAUAAGUGUCGUUAUAGAGAACUAGAUCCUUUUUCCACGCUACGCGCGGAUAAUAUAUUUAAAUUUGUUACAUUUAUCAUUUUUAUUUGUAUGUACAUUUUUGUAUAUUAAAUUAUAUAUAACUAAUUUUAAAUUUGAUUUUUUAAAAAUAUUUUUAGUUUAAAGUAAGUAUUUCUAUUACAUGUAACACAAUUAACUAAUAAAAUAUGAACAAUCAAGUCCGAGAUUUUAGAGUUAUGUAAAAAAAAAUUAUGUAUAGAACAUAAAUUAUCUUUGUUUAAAAGAUCGGAAUCUCAUCUCGAAUAUAUUCACGAAAAGAAAAAGUACUCCAAUAACCUACUUAAAAUAUAAAACUUGCUUUUCAAAUAAAAAAAGCAUACUUAAUAAUAUUUUUUAUGUGUAAUAGUUAAAAAUUGACAACUGAAUAUUGAUCUAGAAUAUUAUUUUAAUAUAUCUAAUGGUAAAAUAUUAAUUGUAAUAAACAAAUUUUGAAUUUUGUAAUAUUACAUGAAUUAGAAGUCUUUAAAAUCUAAAAUCUAUUUUAUUAACAUAAUAUAUUUUUUAUUCAUUUAUUAUUUUGAUGUUACAAAAUAUUGCUUUAGUUUUAGUUGUAUAUUAAUUUUUUAAUAAUUUAGUUUCUUUUUAAGUAAUUUUAAAAUUGUUAAAAAUAUAAUAUAUUUAAAAUUAUAUAUUUAAAUAUAUUAAAAUAUGAUGUCUCAUUUUAAUGUGUGUUUGCGUUGAGUCGUAAACACCCAAGCGCGGGGUUAUUGAUAAUUAAAGGUGUUGUAAUACUUAAAAAUGUAAUAGAUAGUGGAUUAAGAUGUUUUUUUUUGUUUAGUCGUAGUGGUUUUAAUGGAUAAAUUAAAGUUUCACAUAUUGUUUGGCGGUAACGGGUUUUACGGUAAACAUAAGUUAAAGUUAAAUGCAGAGUUUGAAAUUGAAUUGGAGUUAUGGAAUUAGGCCAUGUUCGUUGUUCGUUGAUGAGGGAAAUUGAAUAGUUGUUCUUUUCUUCGAGUUUUGAGUUGUCCAGCUGAGAUUUCAUCACCAUUUCUAUUGUAGAAUUUGAUUUGUCUACUGAGUAAUUUAUCAAUUGAGAAAAGUGAUAAUUAUAUUGCAAUGAAUUACUGACUUUGGUGGUUGGUAUUGACGGAGAUUAUGAAUUGUUGGCGAAUCUCUCAUGGUCUUCUUCUAAACCUGCAAAAAUAUGUUUUGUAGAGAUCGGAUUUAUCGUAUAUAGAUUAGGUUGGUUGAUAGAGAGAGAGGCGGUGAUAGUGAGAUUAAUGGUGGGAAGGAAUCUUUGGAAUCUAUUAAGUCAAACAAUAUAACAACGUAAGAUAAAGAUUCUUAUUAUAUCUAGGUCUUAAAUCAUUGAGAUCUAAGCAAGAGAUAGUAAACCACAUGAAAAAAGAAUUAAGCACUGUAAAUUUAAAGAUAACAUUUAAGCUAAAAAUCUGUAAUGUUUUUUUUUUAAUUAUGUUUUCAGUGGUUUAUUUGUUACACUAAGGAGAUAAUUUGUGUUGUUUACUUACAAUUUUAUGAAAUUACUAAGUCUAAUAUUGACGCAAGAUUCCUAUAUGUCAACCUCUAUAAAACAAAGUACGAAACUCAAAGUAUAUAGACGACGUCAUUUCUCUCUUUCUUUUAUCUGUUGUCCAUUAUAUAUAAUAUGUAGCCUUCUUUAAAACCACAUCUCGUUAAUAGAAAACAAAACAAAAACUUAUAAUGGAGUUCUUGCGUGACUUAAAAAAGAAGAAGUAACAAUGCUAAAUUAAUAUGAAACUACUUUCUUGGGUGACUCCCCAGCAGUACCAUGGUUCUCGAAUGUCCCGUCAACGAACUCCACCUUCACAGCGGACUUUGGUCUCUCUGUUGGUUGUGGUAGCUCCUUGCUUUAUGUUUAAAUGCAUCAUCAUUUCGCUGCUCGUCUUUCUCCUUCUAGUUUUGGAACUAUAGACACAAAAUGAACAAUCAAACUUUUUAUUUUAUAAACGAUCAUAUUAUAACCAACAAAUAAAAAGAAAGAUUCUAAAUAAUUAUCAGCUAAAAAAACGUGAACUCACGUUUGCCUGAACAUAUCGGAUCUGCUCAUCGAUUAAAGCUUGUUUUGAUUGAAAAGGAAUCAUAAUAGGUUGUCUCCACCACAAGACUGAAUCAAAAAGAAAAAAAAAAUUUAAUAAGGAAUAUGAGAUUGAAUAAAAGAGAAAAUAAUCGAAUCUUGCCAAAGAAUCAUCAAAUUGUACCUUCUGAUGCUCAUAUAGUUACUCAUCUGCCAAGUCAACUCUACGAUUUUCAUCCUCGUUUUAUGGCUUUGGUGAAUCCGUGUCCGAGUCAGAUCAGAGCGAGCUUGUGGUUGGAGUGAAGAACGUUGAGUGUAAGUUCUCAGAAAAAGAGCUAAACAAAUCUGUGUCUUGUAGUUCAGUGGAUCCCAUUUGAUGAUUCUUUGGACAGAUACAGACAGAACAGAGAAAGAAACAGAGGAAAGCAUGUUGGCGAAACUCUCAUAGUCUUCUUCUAAACCUGAAAAAGUAUGUUUUGUAAAGGAGACCGUUUUAUCGUAUUUAAUUUGGUUGAUAGAGAAGAGAGGCAGUGAUGGUGUAUGCAGUCGUAUUUAAGGUCCAACAGAAGAACAUUGGCGAUGGUGUAUGCUAUGACUUUUAAUAAAGAAGGCAGUUAACAUACCAGUGAUUGUGGGAGGCCAUUGAAGGCUUUUCUGUAAACGAUGUUGGCAAUGUCGUUAGUCACGUGACCCUGGUAAUGUUAAAAUCCCCAGGAUAUAUGUACUGGAAACUGGCGGCUUCUUAGAAUGAAUAGAUGUUUGGUUUAGGUCGGUGAUAGUUUGUUUCUUGGUAUCAGCACACACACUUCUGCUUCGAUAACUCUUUCUCAAGCCUUCUUCUUGGUUUAGGUUGCGCGGCAGCAUGAUUGAGACACCAACUUUCAUGCAUAAUCGGGUUGUUGCAGCAGAGUUGUUUAUGUCAGAGCCUUGAACAGAGUUGUUUAUGUUAAGAGUCUUGAACGAAUUUGGCCAACUAUAUCUGAAAGUGGAUGAAUCAAUAGGUAACAUAAGUCAAUGGUAGUUGAAUUCUAAUAUGCAAAAGGAAAUUUAAAACAAUACCGAGGAGUUCAAAGAAAGUUUGCAAGAGCUUGAAGAUGGUUGAACUUCAGAAGCAUGAAUUUCUGGAGGUUGGUCACAGUAGUAGUCGUGGGGACCUCAUCAAUAGUACCUACAUGAUAAAAUGAGAGAAGGGAAGCUGUAACAAAACAUAAGCUAUGUGCCUACCUGUUUCGAGUAACCAAGGACUUGACAGGUGUGUCUAUUUUGUUUUUUUUGUUCAUCUUUGAAUUGCAUUAACGUAAUUUGAAGUACGAUUAUUACAGACCAUAAAAACACAAACAACCUUUCCACACUACCGGACAACCUUUUGAAUCACCAAAAGAAAGAAAUCAACACUGAGGCAGAAUAAUUAAAAAGAGGGAAAGUGUUUCUUAUCAGAACCAAAAAACCAGCUCCACACAGACGACAAUCGAACGCAAGUUCCCAAAGAACCUGAAUAAGCACGGGCUGAGACCAUACGAACAGAACAGAGACUUGAGGAAACCACAAACCAAUAUAGGCCGAAACCACAAUAUCACAGGAAACAAACCUGGUGUGUCUAUUGUAUCUUUUGUCUUUUGCGUUAUUCUCAAAAAAGGCAAGCUUCAGCACAUCAACUUCCUCCAAGCUUAUGUCGGAAACCCUGGAUAAAUAAAAAAUAGAUAGACUCAGAAAGAUUGAAAAUUUAGUUUUAGAGAACGCCAAAAGACCAAAUAACAAAAAGUAAUCUCACAAUUUAAGCGAUGCCAGCUCCUUGGCAAGAGCCAUCGUUCGGUCUUGUAGAUGAGCGCACUGAGAAGUAAGUUGAGCACAUUCCUGUAACAAAAAACAAUAACAAUAAGAAGUUUCUACACGGGUUUCAAAACGAUUCUGUUGAGUUUGGCUCUAAUACCUUUGAAUUUAACUUAAGCAAGUGUUUGUUCGUUGAUAUUUCAUUCCGAGACUCCCACCUCCCUCUCUCUGAUGUCGACAGAGUCGACAGCCAUUUUCUUCGGCGGGAAGCCUGAAUUGGUUAGCCAUCUCUGAAGAGAAGUGGCGUUUUCGACUGAAUCUAUAUUGCAGCCCCAUGAUAUGUCAGGGGAAUCCUCCAUGGAUCGUUUUGUGGUCUCGCCGGCCGAAACAGAGCGGUGGAUUCAGGGACGACAUUAGGAACCAGAAGAGGUGGUAAAGAGAGGAAUGGAUGUUGGGUACGGAGACAGUGAUGUCAACCUUUACGUUUGCAAUCAUUAGGUUUGCAGAUUAAGAUAAGUGUAGACGGCGAGGUUGAAUGAGGAAGAAGAAAGAUAAUGAUGAAGCCCUAAUUCAUUCAAGCAUAAAACGCAGAUUUUGACUUAAUUAUGGAACCAAAUGUGGAAAACCCAAAUCAGAUCAAACACAAAACUUUUAAGACCAAAAUAAACUGGACAGAACGUGGAGCCCACAAAUUUUAGGGCUUCUAUUGGAUCAGGCUUAUGGGCAAAUACCUCACAUUACGGAUAAAAAAAAACCAAAGCCCAAACCGAAUGUGACGUGGACAAAUAAACUCAUCCUAUUGGCUGAUUUUAAUUGAGGGCGUGGACAGCCUCCCUACUCCUCAUAUAUCCUUUUUAGUAUAGGAUAGAUUUUUUUCGUUACAAAAUAAAUGUCGUUUUCGAUUUUCAGUGCAAAAUUUAUUAGUUUUAUUCUGUAAUUUAUUUUUCUAUAGGUUAAAAUAUGGUUAGGUGUAUUGGUAAUUGUGUUUUUAUAUAUAAAAUGUACAAAAUUAAUUGUUUUCUUAAUCCGUGUGCACAGACCCAAAACAACACUUAAUAUAAAACUAGGGCUGUUCAAUAUGGCAAAACCGAACCGAACCGAACCGAACCUAACCAAACCGAAAUAGAUAAUAUGGUUUGGAUUUGGUAUAUACCAUACAAACCGAAUGGAUAUGAUUUUUAAAAAACCGUAGGAUUUGGAUAUGGUUCGGUAUAUAACCGAUAAAACCGAAUAAACGGAAUAAAACCGAUCAAAAAAUAGAAACAUGUAAAUAUGUAUAUAUUUUAUAACGACGUAUGAAAAUCAUAAGUUAAUAUUUUUGCUAAUAACUAUUAGCAUAUUUUUUACAGUAAUAAAAAAGUCAUGAUUUGUAAAACACUUGAACUAUAAUUAAAUAACAAUUCAUCGCAAACAUGCUUCUUAUUUUCUUAGUCUUCUUUUGAUCUUUUUGUUUUAAUUUAACAUUGAGUAAAUUGAAAUAAAGAUUAUAAAUUUGAUGAUAACAAUUAGUGGAAAUUCCUCACAAAAUUUUUUUUAUAUCUAUAAACGAAUAGAAUUUCGUGUUUAAUAGAAGAAACAUGACUUUGAUGAACGCUAAAUAUGAAAGAAUAGAAAAACUUUUCUUUUGUGCUUCGUGCUUUUGUUUUAUGUUUUAUUUUUUUAUUUUUAUUAUCAAAAUUUUGAGCUUUGAUUUUAAUUAUAGAUUUUAUUAUUUUAUUAGAUGAUAGAAACAUUUUUUAUUUUUGUUCUUUUAUUUAAACUUAUAAUAUUUUUUUAAUAAAUGAAUGUGUUGACAACAUGACCCUAAAAUUCAUAUAAUAUGAUCACAAAAUAAAAAAUUAUGUUUUUUGGUAUAAAACCGAAUAAAAUGAAAACCGACGGUAUAUAAACCGAACCAAACCGAAGUAAAUAUGGAUUUAGAAUGGUAGUUGUAUUUUACUAACGAAAUACCGAAAAACCAAAAAAACCGAACCGAAACCGAACCGAUAUCCGGAUUGAACACCCCUAUAUAAAAUAGAGGGAGUAUUACAUAUCUAUUUUUAUAGAUAUACAUGACACAUGCAUGCUUUUAAUGGACUACAAAACCAUACACACACAUGUGUUUGGAAGGGUUUAUUAAAGGAUAAUGGCUUUAACCAAAAAAAAAAUGCUGACAAUUCCUUUCUUAUCAUAAAAUUUUACACAUAACGGAAUGGUUUAUUAAAGGAUAAUGCCAUUAGCAAAAAUAUUAUCAAAAUACUUUAAUAGCUUAUAUUUUUAGAUAUAAAAAAUAGUUGAACUUUGGAAUUCUGAUAUAGAAAUUUAUCUAUAGUUUAUCUUUUAAAUGAUAGUUUUUUUAACACAAAGUGUUGAUAGCAACACUAAAUGAUAGUUAUAAAUUUUAAUGUUGACAAAGAGUGCAAUUUAAGAAUCUAUGACUACCUUUUUCUCCUAAUUUUGCAAUUUUUUUCUUUUUCUAAAAUUAUUAGAUACUUUCAAUAUCCCACCGUUGGAGAAGCCUUUUAAUAUAAAACUAGAUUAUGAUCUGCGUUAAAACACGGAUUAUGUUUUAUUUUUGUUUGGACUUGUGUUAUUAAUGUAGUGGUCAAUCAUAUCCAAUUUAUUACUUAUGUAAUGAACGUAAAACUAAAAAAUAUCUUUGAUAUUAUUUGGCAAAAUCAAACAUAUGAUUUAUAAUAAAAAUGAUGCUGAGACGUUUGAAACUUUUUGAUCAGUUUUAUUGGAGAAAAAUCUUCUAAAUUUUGUUAUGGUAAAAUUUUCAAAAUCGUUAACUUUAUAUUAUCAAUAUAAUUUGUAACCUUUUAAAAUCUAUAUAUAUAUAUAUAUAUAUAUAUAUUGAAUAUAUUUCUAGGAUUUGUUUGCUUCCAAAAUCAUAGGAAAAAUUCUUAACCAAAUUUUUAGGUUUAUCCUUAAUAUUAAUGUAAAUGUUAUGAACUUUUUGGUUUGUUCUAUCUAAAUUUAAAAAAUUAACGAUUUAAAUUUCAUGGAAAUGUUUACUCUACAGAAUGGUUCGAUUUAAAUUAAUUUAACGAUUUUUAAGUAAUGGAAUGGAUAAUUUCAUAUGGAAACGUUUGUCACAUUAUAUUUCGUAUGAAAAAUUGUUAUAUGAGUUAAUAAAUCAUAUUCCAUUGCGCAGAUCGUUUGUAUUCAUAUUGUGUAUACAUAUGGAGUAAUAUAUUCUUUCUAAUGAGGACUUUCACAACUUUCACAAUUCAAACAUAGAGACAAUGAGCAGAAGAAGAAACAAAUGAAAAGGGUGUAUACUUAUUGUGUAAAUAUUUGUUUAUUAUAAUAUGUUGUAAAGAAUCAUUCGAUACAGUUGUAUCAAUGAACUGUGGAAUAUAAAAAUAUAAUUUACUCAUUUUUGAACAUUUGAGUAAAUUACAGGGGUGGUAAACGAUUUUAGUAAACAAAUAUAAACCAAGUAGACAAAAAAAAAAGAGAGAGAGAAAGGAGAUCUGAGAUCGGAUCCGGCGUACAGCCGGCGCGUGAGCGUACGUGCCUGCGUCGGAACCUUUCUCUUACCGUCAAAAAGGUUUUUUUUUGCUUCUUCUCCGUUGCCUAUCACCGAACGCUUUGUCGGAGCUCUGGAUUGGAGCCAUCUUCCAAAGGUGGUUCCCCACUUGGAGGGAAGACGCGCUCGCGUGGAGGUCCAUGGCGUGAGAACAUAGGCUUGCAUGUUCAAGUGGUGAUUCCGGAAAAUGGAGGCUAUCACAGAUCCGGCGACGCCGGCUUUUCUCCGGGAGGUGGAGGCUUCCUCAGCUUCGCCGCCGCCGGUUCAAGUUCCCGGGAAGGGGAGGUAUUCUCUGCUCCGUCUUCGCCGGUUUUAGCUCCGGAGGGUAGAGGCUCACAUAGCUCUACGAUGUCGGUUUUGAUUCCGGGGGGUAGAGGCUCACAUAGCUCUACGCUGUCGGUUUUGGACCCGUAGUCUUUUGGGGUUUGGGUACUAGUUUGGCUUUGGUGAAACUGCGUGGUGGCUCUUGUCGUCAGGGUGGUUGUUUGGGUCAGAAUGGAUGAGAUCUCGGUAUAAAGUGAAGCUCUCCAUCAUCGGUGACGACGACAAGAGAAGGAAAGCUGAGGUCUUGAGUCUCGGGCUUAAAAUGUCUAGUAGGCGACGUGUGAUGAUUGGGAUGAGCUCUCGGUUAGUCCGAUGACGCUCUCCGUGACAAAUUCGACGGUGUUGAGCCGUUCGGCGGAACCGUCGGGAUGAGACAAGAAGAGGAUAAGCCGACACGUACCGCUAGAUCUGGGCAGUGUCGGUGAUGGGCCUUUGGGCUUUAAGCCCGUUUUUUAGUCUGUUGUUGGUUUAGCUAAUCGGACCGUGGACCUUUUUAUUUCGUAAGGAUAUUGGGUUGGGUCCGUCUUUAUUUAAUAAACAAAAACUUGACGGAAAAAAAAUUAUUUUAGUAUGGGUAGUCAACGAUUUUUUUUAUCAGAGGGAGAAGUUAUUUUGUAUUGUUAAUCUAAUAAUAAUGAAUAUUAUAUUUUUUAAUGAAAUAUGAAUAACUCCAAAAUUAAAUGAAAUUUUUUAAGUAAAUAAAAGAUAGGACUCUGAAUCUGAAUUAAUAGAGUAAAUAAAUCGGUUUUUGAUUUUUAUUUAUUUUAAUAAUGGUUACCUCUUUUAUGAGGAAACAGAGAAUUGAAUGAACAAAACGGUUCACGGGAACAUCGUAAUUAAGUUUCUGAACCAGUCCCGUUGCCUUUUUUAUACGUAUAUAUGCUAUAUAUUUGUAGUGUAGUACAUGUGUACGUAACUUUAAUAUAUAAGCUGCAAUAUAUUAUAUAUAUGCAUAGAUUUUUUUUUAUACUAUAAUUUUCCACGAUAUUCGCAUCAAAGUUUUUUUUUAACAACUCGCAGCAAAGUGUUUAAGCAUUUAAAUUGUCUAUUGUGUAUAUUUUUUAUAUCCGACGUUGUAUAAACACAUUAUAACAAUUUACACAGUUUUGAGAAAUAUAUUGUGUUGACAAAACAAGUAUAUUUCCUAUGGUCAAUGAUAAUUCAUUUUAUACAACUCAAAAAUGACUGGCAUGUGAGCCAUGUGUGCCCAUUGACGUAUAUAAAAAUUCCAAAUCUCGCAUCAAUCAUCGUAUACCGCUCGCAGAUUUUCCAACAAUCUCUCCUGUCUUGACUUUUAUUUCGUAUCUAUCUGCACGAUUUUGACAUAAAAUUAUGUAUAUAAACAAUUAUGCCACGAUAUUUUCUUAUAAUUGAUCAAGGUCAAUCACAGCUAGGUUGUGAUUUAGNNNNNNNNNNNNNNNNNNNNNNNNNNNNNNNNNNNNNNNNNNNNNNNNNNNNNNNNNNNNNNNNNNNNNNNNNNNNNNNNNNNNNNNNNNNNNNNNNNNNNNNNNNNNNNNNNNNNNNNNNNNNNNNNNNNNNNNNNNNNNNNNNNNNNNNNNNNNNNNNNNNNNNNNNNNNNNNNNNNNNNNNNNNNNNNNNNNNNNNNNNNNNNNNNNNNNNNNNNNNNNNNNNNNNNNNNNNNNNNNNNNNNNNNNNNNNNNNNNNNNNNNNNNNNNNNNNNNNNNNNNNNNNNNNNNNNNNNNNNNNNNNNNNNNNNNNNNNNNNNNNNNNNNNNNNNNNNNNNNNNNNNNNNNNNNNNNNNNNNNNNNNNNNNNNNNNNNNNNNNNNNNNNNNNNNNNNNNNNNNNNNNNNNNNNNNNNNNNNNNNNNNNNNNNNNNNNNNNNNNNNNNNNNNNNNNNNNNNNNNNNNNNNNNNNNNNNNNNNNNNNNNNNNNNNNNNNNNNNNNNNNNNNNNNNNNNNNNNNNNNNNNNNNNNNNNNNNNNNNNNNNNNNNNNNNNNNNNNNNNNNNNNNNNNNNNNNNNNNNNNNNNNNNNNNNNNNNNNNNNNNNNNNNNNNNNNNNNNNNNNNNNNNNNNNNNNNNNNNNNNNNNNNNNNNNNNNNNNNNNNNNNNNNNNNNNNNNNNNNNNNNNNNNNNNNNNNNNNNNNNNNNNNNNNNNNNNNNNNNNNNNNNNNNNNNNNNNNNNNNNNNNNNNNNNNNNNNNNNNNNNNNNNNNNNNNNNNNNNNNNNNNNNNNNNNNNNNNNNNNNNNNNNNNNNNNNNNNNNNNNNNNNNNNNNNNNNNNNNNNNNNNNNNNNNNNNNNNNNNNNNNNNNNNNNNNNNNNNNNNNNNNNNNNNNNNNNNNNNNNNNNNNNNNNNNNNNNNNNNNNNNNNNNNNNNNNNNNNNNNNNNNNNNNNNNNNNNNNNNNNNNNNNNNNNNNNNNNNNNNNNNNNNNNNNNNNNNNNNNNNNNNNNNNNNNNNNNNNNNNNNNNNNNNNNNNNNNNNNNNNNNNNNNNNNNNNNNNNNNNNNNNNNNNNNNNNNNNNNNNNNNNNNNNNNNNNNNNNNNNNNNNNNNNNNNNNNNNNNNNNNNNNNNNNNNNNNNNNNNNNNNNNNNNNNNNNNNNNNNNNNNNNNNNNNNNNNNNNNNNNNNNNNNNNNNNNNNNNNNUCCAUCUGCCAUGAGUCCUCUUGCGUCAUUAUGUUGUCUUCUUCCUCCUCUUAACAAUCGGUCUGUAUAUAUAGUAAUUAGUUCUUUAUGCGCCGCUAAUAGUGGUCAGUAGUUCAAUUUAUUAACUAUUGAGUAUAUACAUACGUGUGAUUAUGUAAAUAAUGGCGUUCAUUAUUCAAUGAAUAGUCGCAGCUGAGAAAAAUACUUAAACUGAAGCAGUAUUUAUUAAUUAUUGUGGUGACCAAUAGCUGUAUACAGUGAAACCUUUAUAAAUUAAUAAUGUUGGGACUACACCAAAACUAUAUUUUUUAUUAAUUUAUAUAGAUAUUAAUUUAUCGAUAUACUAAUUGAACCAAAAACUCAAUUUGAGACUAUAAAAUUAUAUUAUUUUCAUAUUUAAAUAUUAAUAUUUAUCUAUACAUACAUUUUAAUUUGAGUUAAAAACCUUAUGUUAAAAUAUCUUCAUUGGAGGUGCUCUAACAUACUCCUUCAUAUAAAUUUGAUUAGGUACUUGUACGUUCUAUGUUUUAAUCAAAAUUUAAUACCUUGACCCACUCGUAUUAAAGUAAAUUAUAUCACAUGGCAAUAUGGCAUUACAGCCAUCUUAGUCAUGACUUCAUGCCCUUUUCCAUCUCGAGAAGGAAACAAAGAGCUUAAUCUGUCAUUUAAAUUAAUUGAAAGUGAUGGCUUAAUACGAGUGUGAACCUUUGUCCAGGAAGUGGGAAUCUCGUGUUUGUUUUUAUUACUCCCAUUGAACUCAAAUUAUUUACGGCACGUGUAAUAAAAUACCUCGACGCAAUAGGUAUAGUUUUUAUAUUAGUUGUCUUAUUGAGAUUAAUUAUUUUAGCUAUCAUAAACAUUUUAAAACCAUACUCUCUCUUACCAGUUGCUCCAUAACAAUAAUUAGAAAAUUUUCUAACCAUUGUAAAACUAUAUGUACCAAUCGGACCUCAUAAUUUUCUAAUCAUAAAGCAAACGUUGUUUUUAUUAAAAAGAGAAAAGGAAGAAGAGUCUUCUCUUGAUCAAAAAAGAAAGAAAGAAGAGUCUUCUCAGAAGACUAACAAGUCUUUUAGUUAAUAAUAUACCACAAACCUACUACCAUAUAAUACAUGUGUCUUUUUGCGCUUGGUAAUAUAUAGCUUAUACAUUUCAAUUAAUUAGGAGUUAUUUUUUGCCAAGUGCCCUCCGAAUUUUAAAUUAAUUUGUACAGAAAGAGUUAUGAUUUCCAGUUUAACUCGAUUAGAAAAUAUUAUCGCAUGAAACUACAACCAAUAGCCCAUGAAAUAAAAAUAUCUCUUACACGAAAACAUAUUUAAACAAUUCUGUCUAUGGAUAUGUCAACAACAUAUGUCAAAACAACAUUGUGUAUGGAUUGAAUCCGAGUGUCGAUAUCACUCGUUUCUGUUUCUUAAUUUCACCAAUCAAGUACACCAAAGAAGAAAAAACGAAACACUUAAAUUAUAGAAAGAAUAUAUGCUAAAUUAUAUAUUAUGACGUCACCAACCCCUCUUUUAUUUGGAGGAAAUAAAAAAAGUGGAAAGAUGGGAAAUUCAUAAGCUAAAAAAAAUCAAUGAGUGCCAUGCACCUAUAUUAUAUUCUUUUAUUUCAAAAUAUGUAUUUUUUUCUUUCUUUUUCAGUUUUUGUGUAUGAAAAGAAUACACAUAUGAAACCAUGUUUCUAUUUAUUUUCACAUGAAGCAAAACUAGCUCAUUAAACGGUGAAAUCUCAAUAAUAUCUACUUUGUUCCAUGGACCCAAUUCCAUCCUCCCUCAUUCAUUUAUUAUAACCAAAAACCAUUAUAUCUGAGCUCUAAAAAAAAAUCAUUAUAUUUAUUUUUCUAUUAUUUUCCCUUAUGAAUAAGCCAAAGAAAAAAAUAUACAUAUUUUCUAUUAAUUUUUCUUAUAAUAUGAAAAGCCAAAAAAAAAAGAUUGUGGAGGAAUAUUAAUACAUGCCCACUUCACAUCUAUUUUUGUGCAACCCUCUUUCUAAAGCUUCUCUCUGACAAUGGGAACCAUAGAGAAGAGUGUUUCUCAAGUAACCUUAACCUCCUCCGCCAUCUUCACCGUGUCUUCCUCCUCCUCCGCGGCCGCCUCGUUUUCCUCAUCUACAACAUCUUCUUCUUCUUCAUCAACAACUUAUAACUCUAAAAGAAAAGCAUCUCCAAGAUCAUCAGAAGAUCAAGAAGAUGAUGAUAACGUCGUAAAACGGCGGAAGAUCAGCGGUGGAGAUAAGCAUCCGAACUAUAGAGGAGUACGGAUGAGGAGUUGGGGGAAAUGGGUGUCCGAGAUCAGAGAGCCGAGGAAGAAAUCAAGAAUCUGGCUCGGAACUUAUCCAACGGCUGAGAUGGCAGCUCGAGCUCAUGAUGUAGCAUCUUUAGCUAUUAAAGGUACAACGGCUCAUCUCAAUUUUCCUGAAUUAUCCGGCGAGCUUCCUCGUCCGGUCACAAGAUCUCCUAAAGAUAUUCAAGCGGCUGCAACCGCCGCCGCCGUGAAUUGGCAAGAUUCCGGCGCAAAUAGCCUCCGGAUGAAUAAUUCUGAUGUAGCUGAAUUAGCUGAAACCGAGCCGAGUCGAGGAGUGAUGGCUCAGUCGUUGUCAGGUAGUGUGGUGUUUUCUUCGGACAUUAACACUCGAGAUUUGUCGGAAACUUCAUGUGCUUCGACGACAUCGUUUGCAGAUAAAGACAAGGAGGAAGAGAAGCUGUUUGAUUUACCAGAUUUGGUUACCGAUGAGAUCAUACGAAACGAUGCGUUUUCUUUUUACUCGUCCACGUGGCAGCUAUGUGGAGCUGAUCAUGGGUUUCGGCUUGAAGAGCCGUUUUUUUGUCUCAAUGACUAAAUCACACUCCAGCCCACUAACACCUAAUUAAUUUGCCUACUCUUUCUUCUUUUUUCAGUUUAUAUAUGCCCUUUAUAUAUUUACGUUUUUUUUUUUCAAUUGGAGUGUUAGUGAUUUUUUCUGUAAACGGUAUCAUUUUGAUUUUUUUUUUCUUCUUGGCAGAAAAGCGUGUUUGAUGAAUAUUUGUGUGAUAUAAAUAUGGUGAUAACAUUUUUAACAAAAAACAAAGCUAAGAACCAAGCAAAGAUCCUUGAUCAAUAAAAGUAAGAAUGAAACCUAAUUGUUUGUUGACAAUUGUCAUGAUAUUUGCAAACGAUGUCAGAUUUAUUUUCUUUUAAUUUAAAGACUAAUAAAUUUUAAUUUUACGUAAUUACAAUAUGUAUGAAAGUAUAUUUUAUAGGGACGCAUAUGUUAACCGCAUUUUAGUACAAAUAAUCAUUUAUUAAUCCAUCAGAAAUUAAUAAAAUGAAAAUUUUCAUAUAAAUAAAAGAGUAAUAUUCUGUAGAAGUGUAUGAACUUAGCAUUAGUAAUGGUGUUGUUCAAAAAAAAAAAAGCAUUAGUAAUGGUAAUAUGUAACUUCGAAAAGGAUAUCUCUGGUUGAUUAGUCGAGUCUUUUUCAUGAAACUCCUUUUCACUAAUUAUACUGCUAUUAUUUGAUUUUGUCGGUCGAGAAUAGUUGAAUCAUUUGAAAAAGAUGUAUGUUAAAUUAUAUGUGUUCACUUGUUGAUGCAGAAAAUUAUACUGUUCACUUAGUACCAGGAUAUAAUUAACCUGCAUGUUAAUUUCUAAAAAUUCUAAUAGGAAAUUAUUACCACAGUGACACGUAAUCCACGUUCUUGGGGCAAUUUGUUAACUAACUUCCUUUCAGAUUAAUAAUAUUUAUGUCAUAUACUCCAUAGUGUACGAGUUUUGAUGACAUAAUGCUAUGAAACUGAUAGUGAAGGAUGGGGAAAAAAUUACACGAGUCACAUGGUGAUGAUGUCUUUGGAUCUUUCAUUUUCACAUUAUUUUGUUAGUUUUCUUUUCUUACUUACUUUGUUUGUUUGCCCACUUCUUUAAUGUAUGUCAAAAGUGAAAAUAUAUAAACUGUAAUAAGGUGAUUGCUUUUGGCCAACACCUUACUUUGUUCACCACUAGAAGCAAAUGAAGACUGUUAUUGAUAUAUCCCAAACAUAUUGGACCCUUAGAUUUGAGAGUGACAAAUAACUUUGUUACAGAUAAAAAUUUAUUUUAUGUACGUUUUUGUCAUUACAUAUAGCAGUUAUUGGCAGAAUAGGCGAAACCCCAUUACUCACACAGGAGAUAAAGUCCAUAUCAAACUCGUUAAGACAAUUUCACAUCUUUUCAAAAAUAGAUUUCGUCCACGAUAAAAAUCUUAUUAACUGUGCAUAAUAGACAAAAUGAUUAAAAUUGUAUGAAUGAUUAAAAUUGUAUGAAUGAUUUAGUACCAUUUAUUCAUCAUAUAUCAGUGAUGAGAAAGGGAAAGACUCUAUUAUUUUCAUUGGCAUUUGCUAAUAUUCGCAUAUUGUAGAGCAUAUAUACACAUGUAUGUUAUGUUAUUCAUUUAGCUGGUGAGACUUUCGAAUAGUUGAAGACAGGUCAUUAACUAGAAACAUAGUGGGUGUACUAGUGAGCUCACUAUCGUUAUCUUCAUACGUAGUAAUAAUUAAAAAAAUGUUGGGUUAGUUUUCUAUUUUCUCAUGAUUUUAAGGUUUGAAUGUAUGUAGACAAUCACAACAGAUAUUAAAGUCUCAAUUUGAUAGAAGCCCAUCCACUAAUAACAAAAAGAGAUAACCGAUUAUAAAAAUAUUAGUAUUACCGAAUAAUAAGAGUACUAGUUUAUAUAUACGAUUGUCAAAUGGCGACAGCAAAUAUCAUAUAAACUAGGUGUUUUCCUGCGCUAAAAAAAUUUUUAAAUCUAAUUUAUAUUUAGAAAUAAAUUUUAUUAAAUAUUAUAGAUUUUACUAUUUUCUUACUAAUAUUUAAUAUAGAUUUGAUAUAUAUUAAAUCAAUUUGCAUAAAACUAAUAAAAUUUUUAUAAUUAUCAAAAAUUUAGCCUAAACAAUAUUUAUAAAAUUUGUAGAUAUAUAAGAAACUAAUGAUUUUACGGUUAGAUAUUUAAUUUUUUAAAAAAAUUUAGAAAUUUUUGAAAGCUUUAGUAAUACAAAUUGUAUAAUUAUACAAAAAUAAUAACAUUUCGAAAUUUGAAAUGUUAUAUAUGAAUAUAUUUAUUUUAUAGAUGAUGUAUGAGCUAUUGCCAUAUUUUAAAAAAGUUUACCAAAAAAAAAUAUCAAUAUUAAAUGUAAUAUAUGAAUUAUUACCAUAUUCUAAUAAGUUUGCCAAAAAUAUAAAUCAACAUUAAAUGAAAUUAUCCAUGUCAUAUUUUUCCGGAAUGCAUGUCAUCAAUUUCAGUAGUCAUGUCAUAUUUGUUUUGUGAAAUUGAUUGUACAGAAUACAUGUGGAAAAUCACUUCGUAAAUAUAGUUUAAGGGAUUGUGAUGAUCAAUGCAUUCAAUCUUCACGGAUUAGGUAACAUAUUCCUAAACUAUAUGCUAUUUUAACUAAUUUUGAGGCAAAUAAUUUAAAUGAUUAACGCGUGAAGAUUCUAUUGCAUAUAAUAUGAUAAUGAGUGUGGAAACGUCCAUACCCUAAAAGUUUUCAGAAUUUAUAAAUAAAAUUAACAUACUUAAAAGUACAAAAUCUCAAAUACUUAUGAAGAUAAAUAGUUAUUCCAAAAUAUUUCAACACUGAGAAAGAUAGACUUAUGAAAAGCAUGGAAGUUUUAGUUGAUUCACGUUCCAAGAGUGAAACUUCUCAUCGAAUGGUGAAUGAGCCCAUGAUUGUCUACCCAUCUGCCGCCUAAAGUUAAUAAAAAAUAUUGAACAUUGGAAAAAUUAAUAAUAGCCUUUACAGCUUUAAAAUAAUUGCUUUGAAAACUAAAUAAAAAUAAAUAUAUAGUAAUGUAAUAAUGUAAAUGUACAUUGUCUGUAGAUGAAGAAGAGUCGUCUCCUGAUUUUCUUUUCCGGCAGCUUCAAAUCUACUAAUUUGUAAUUAUCAAUUUCACAGUUUAUGGCACGUGAACACAAGCUGAAUCCGUGAAUAAUAAGUUAAAGACAUAAUACAGCACCGGCACUCGCAUUUAUGAAGUUCAUGAGGUUUAUAUCCUAUUCUUAUUUAAAUUUAGUGAUGAUGAGAAUGUAAGAAAUUCAAGAACUACGUUUGAUCCCCAAAAUAAAACAAAUUGAACCAAAAUCAAGAAAUUGUACAUAAAUAUAGAAAGAAAACAAAACACAAUUGAGAUCGAAUGAAAUAAAUAUCACUUUGUGACUUUUUUUUUUAUCCCUAUGGACUGUGCAUGGAUAUUUUAAUAUAAAAAAGUUGUUUUAUCAACAAAUGUUAAACUAGUAAAAAAAAUUGAUAAUCAAAAUAUAAAGUUUACAUAUGUAAAAUCAUUUAGAAAUACACAUCUUCAUUUAUAAAUCAUUUAGAAAUACACAUCUUCAUAAUGGCAUGUUUAACACAAUAAAAAGAAAACCUAUUUUGUCAUAGAAAGACAAAAAUCCUUGUAAUAGUGACACCGUUUGCGUCCUGGUAUUGGUGUGGUAUAAGCGAUGUAUAAGUCUAUAAAUGAAUGAUUGAAAGAGAGGUUCACGUUCACAAUAAGCUAAACUCAUAAGUCAAAACUACUAAAGUUAAUUAGUAACUGACUGAAAUUUGCCUAAAGCUAAUUCAUAAACAAUGUGCAAAAAUAACAUAAAUCUAAGACUAUUAAACAAUUGUAGAUAAUCAGUCUUCAACUAUAUAAACUCACUAAUAUAUACGAAUUAUAGAAACUCGCUAACUUUUCAUGGAUGUUGUGGUAUCACUCGUAUCAUCUAUGAAUUCUCCAUACAUCAAACUUUUUGUUAAGCAAUAAAAUAAAAUAAAAUACUAGAAAUUAAACUCAAGUGUUAUUAAACAAGGAUCUAUACGAGUUAAACAUGAUCGUAAUAAAUAACUAGAUCUUGAUCCGCACAACCGUGCGAUGAUUAUUUUCAUUUUUACACAUAUAAAUAUUAUUUUUACAUGAUUAAUUUUAUAUAAUUUUAAUAUAUACAAUAUUACUAAUUGUAUAAUAUAACAUUUUAAAAAACAACACUUUUAUAGUUCACGUGCAAUAAUUUAAUUUAUUUGUUUUGAAUUUAUAAUGAUAGCAUAUUUUCAAUCAUGUGAUAUAAAAUUCUAAAUUGAAAGUCUUAUUAGUUAAAGAUCAAAAAUUUAAUUGAAAAAUAUUAUAUUAAAUUGACAUCGAAAUAUUAAUACAAAAUUGUACAUUAGUUUAAUUAUAAUUACAAAAUUAAUUAGAUAUUCUAAAGGUUUGUUUUAGUUAAAAUGAAACAUACAUUUAUUUUUAAAUUAAUAAACACGAAAAUUAACUAAAUAUUUAAAAGUUUUUUGAGUAAAAAAUAAAUGUACAUAUAUGUUAUAAAUAAACGCAAAAUUAAUUAAAUAUUUAAAAUGUUUAUUUUAAUGAAAAAAAUAAAUAUUUAUUUAUAUUGUAAAAAAAAAAAAGAUAUGAAAGAUUCUAUUCAGAUACAAUUUCAGAGAAAAUAUAUGAAUAUCUAUUUAAUUUGUUUGUUUUAGAAUAAUUUGAUUAAUUCAAAUAUUUAUAAGAAAAUAAUUUAAAUAAACUUUUUAGAUGGUCCAAAAUAGAAAAAAAUCACACAUGAAUUAGGUCGUGACUUCUAUUUUAAUAGUAUAGAUUGCUUAUAUAAAAAAUUUCUUAUCAUCUAUUGUUAUUAUCCAACAAUACAUAUAAAUCACCUAGUAUGCAGCAAUACAUUUAAAUCAUCUUGUAAAAACUUUUAUGUAACUUUGUUUGUGUUUUGCAGUUAUUAUGUGCUUCUUUCGCUACUCACUUGUCUUAACAAGAAAGGAAGAAACAAGAAGUACUGAAGCUUACAGUUAUAUAAUCCAAUACAUAGACAAAUCACAGUUUUGGGAAAAAAAUGUUAAAAGCUAACAAAAAGUACUGAAGCAAGAGCAUUUGAAAAUCCAAAGACCAUAUAACAGUUCAGAGCUAGGGACAAACCAUAAACUAAAACAAUCUGAUGGAAUAAAAAAAAAAGGCUCCUCGAGGACUUUGAUAUCUGUGUGUUUUUUUCUUGUUCUGUAUCAGUUUGUUGUGAUUGUUACCAAUUUUAACAAGAACAUCCUCCUGAUUGCUGCUGAGCCAAAGAUGCAUUGGCGUUGGAAGACUUGAGAUUGACAUCAACCAUAUCCUCUUGCUUUGUCGAAGACAGUGUUUCCAUUCCUGGCAAAGCUGCUGCGAUCUUGCGGAAAAGCGCCUAAAAGAUGAGACAGAGACAUUACGUUCUGACGAUGCGGUGAUUGUUUAGAGAGUAUCAACGGGAGACCAUAUGAAUGUAGAUUGGUAUAAGAAGUCUAGGUUAAUUAACCUAUUGAUGGGGACUUAAGUGAAUCUAGCCGGAACUUUUGUGUAGUUGUCUAAGACAUUCUCACAAUAUGUGCAGAGAAGAUCUCUGUUUGUUACCUUUAUGUUGAAGCCUGCUUUGGCACUGGUUUCGAUAAACAUUACAUUAAGCUCACGAGCCUUGGCUUCUGCUUCCUCUAUUGACACUUGCCUGAGUAAACAAACAACUUAUUAGGAAUGUAAGACGUGGUUUAACAAUGGUUAGUACUAUAGUACAAAAAAGAAAUGGUUAGAAUUUCAAACCGUGUUCAAUCAAGGAACAGUAAACAUGCUUGCUAUUGACGAUUUAAAAAAAAGAAGGAUGGUAAAGAUAAUUAUUACCUUUUGUCGACAAGGUCGGUUUUAUUUCCCACAAGAACGACAAUGACAUCACUACCACGCUCUGUCCUAACCUCAUCGAUCCACUUAGUAGUGUUUAGGAAAGAUUGCCUGCCUAUAAGGGAACAAAUGAAAACGCAUAUAUAUAUACUCAUAAGAAUAACAUCUCAAAUACAAGAAAGAGAAAGAGCAAAGGUUCACAUACUUGCAACAUCAUAGACAAUAACAGCAACAGAAGAAUCCCUAAUAUAGCUCGGAAUAAGACUCCUGAAUCUCUCUUGCCCUGCCGUAUCCCUGUCAUAAUGUUUCAUCUCUCAAAGUUAAAUUACCAAAUCUUGAUCUGCUAAACUUGAAAAGAGAGGUUCAAAGUUCUUACCACAACUGCAGUCUAACAGUCCGAUCUUCGAGGUACAUUGUCUUUGACAGAAAAUCAAUACCAAUCGUGGCCUGAUGAUUAUAAAAUACAAUAAACUACUGAGAAUUAAGGAAGAACAUAACGUAACGAUCAUAGUUACAAAUCAAAGCUCAGAUACUCUCUCUCUCUCUCUCUCUCAUUCAUCAAUAGAGAACAAACAAGAUCAGAGCUAACUAGUCUAGAUUCCUUUACUGUUUCUACCAUCAUCUGAAUCUUUGAGUAUGAUCAAUCUGCCGACUGUUAAGUCAAUAGGAUCUACAUAUCAGAUCACACGUAAUCGAUCUCAGCUAACGUCGAGAUACUACACUAGAUCGAGUUACCUGGUAAGUGUUAUCGAAUUUGUCGUACAUGAACCGAGUGAUGAUACUCGUCUUCCCCACGGAUUGAUCUCCCAGAAACACGAGCUUAUACUUGGCGAGUGCCGAGACCGGCGCCAUGAUUCCUCGAGAUCAAACUAGCUGGACGGAUCGGAUCUGAGGUACGUCGCGGGGGAAGGAGUUUCCAAUAUUCGCCGGAGAGAUUAGUGUGUUUAAUUCGUAAGCUGGAGAAAAGGAAGACCAAUCAAUGGGUUAUUUAUGUGAAAAUUAGAAACUAUUAGGGAUAAUUUACAAUAUACAGGAAGUUAAAUGCAGAUUAAUAAAUUGAUUCAAAAAACAUUUUAAGUAUAUAGAAAGGCCCAUGAAUCAAUUUGGGCUGGGCUUAGAAAAUCGAGCACGUGAUAAGAACGUGCCUUCUACAUCGGGUUUCGCCUCUUUCGUUUCGUUUCGUCUCAUCCAAAUCCCUAAAUCUCGAGCUCGACGGGGGAGAUGGCACUGAGAACUGCAGUCCUUCGUCACCUUAGGGUUCCGGUGACGGGAUCGAACCAGUCUCAAAUUGGGUUCCUUGGUCCGAUCCGUGCUUUCUCGUCGCACGAUGAUCAUCUCAGCAAGCAGGAAGUCGUCGACAGAGUUCUCGAUGUUGUCAAAUGCUUCCCUAAAGUCGAUCCAGCUAAGGUCAGUUUCGAUCUUUGUAACUACGCCUGGUUCAUCUCAAUAAGGGAUCAGUGGAUGAUUCAUAUUUGCUGUAGUGGGAAUAUGCACCAAAUGGUAAAAAUAUGAAACGAUGUCGCAUUGGUAGUUUGGGUUAUUGAUGUCACUGGCGUUAUCUAGUAAGCUGCUACUGCCGCAGAUUUGAUGUUUCUGUGAUGAGUUUGUUGCUUUUUUUUUUCAAUUCAAGUUUGGUAUGCAGAUGAACGAACGAGUCCUUUUUUAUGUUUGAAGUACAAAUCUUUAAAGUUUAAUCAGGUUUUCGUUGUUGUUGGCAAUUGAAUCCCACAGGUGACUCCUGAUGUUCAUUUUCAAAAGGAUCUGGGGUUAGAUAGUUUGGACACUGUGGAGAUAGUGAUGGCUAUUGAAGAGGAGUUCAAGCUUGAGAUCCCAGACAAAGAAGCUGACAAGAUCGACUCUUGCCCUCUUGCCAUUGAAUACGUUUUCAACCAUCCAAUGUCUAGCUAAAAACCCUGUGCUGCUGCUCUCUCCUUUUAUUUGUUUGUUUGUAUGAGGUUCUCUCUCAAGUUAUCUCUUGAAAAUUGGGAUUUUGCAAAUAAAUGCGAGCAUCCUUGUGACUCUUUCAUUUUUCCAUAAAAGUAACCAUUUUGGCUUUUGAUUGUUUUGUAAUUCGACACUUUUUGGAGCUAUUUCAAUCUCUCUUUUAUGCAAAACUUAAAAUAAAAAUCAAAGGUUAUUCUGUGUUCUUUAUGGAACAAAGGUUUAUACCACAGGAGAUUCAAACAAAAAAACUGCAUCAAAAUCAUAUAACCUAGCGAACAAGUCUUUGUUUUCUGUCACCUGAUGUGCCUUGGUUUGCUAAAACUUUUGGGUUUAUGAACUGUUCGAAUUAAGCCCAUUAAAAUAAUGCAAAAGCCCAUAUUGGUAAAACUAAGAGGCCUAUUUUUUAAGGGCAAAUCUCCAAAAUAGCACACUUUUAAGUUUAUAUCACAAAAAUAGCAAUCAAAAAUUAAAAUGACCAAAAUAGCACAUUUUUAUAUUUAUCAUUUGAAAAUUUUAAUUUUUUUAUUUUUCAAAAUUUGAAAUCUUAUCCCCAAAACCUCAUUUCUCAACUCUAAACCCUAAACUCUAAACCCUAAACCCUAAACUCUAAACUCUAAAACCUAAACCCUAAAACCUAAACCCUAAGUUUGUGACUUUUGAUAAAACACUAAGUGCUAUUUUGGUGACUUUUGACAUUAAAUGCUAGUUUGGGAACAAAAACUUGAUUUAAUGCUAUUUUUGUCUUUUUCUCAUUUUUUAAAGCUUAAAUUAAACCCCUUUUGCCUCCUAAGCCAGGAGAGAUAAGGGAGGAGAAGAAGUAGGAGAGGAAGAAGACGAAAAUGGCGAACCUCAACUCAGCAAUUGACUCAGUAUUUGGGGACCAGAACCUUUCUUCACCGCAGACCCUCGAAGGCACAGCUCGUUCUGUUCCCGGCGAGCCAUUUCCCGUGGACGGUGCACGAGCAAGCCGCUCUCACCGGAUUCAACAGCUCUCUCUUCUCCGGGAAGGCUUUCCUCUCGGAAUCAUCCCUGCUUUUGCUCCUUCUUCCGACAAGAGACUCGGCUCUUUCUCUCUCAACUCUCUCUUGCUCAGCCCUUCCUCUUCCAACUGGUUAGAUAAUUUUUCACUUUGCUGUUUGAGUGUGUUACGUUAAAGGUUUUAGCUUUGAGUUCAAGAACACGACUUUACCACAUUAGAAUGUUUUUUUCUUUUUCAUUGUUGUUGGUUUUGUGGGGUUUGAGUGAGUGGUGUUUUAAGGGUUUUAGCUCUGAGGCUUUGAGUUCAAGAACACGACUUUACCACAUAUGGAUGUUUUUGUCUUUUUUCUCAGUGUUGUUGGAUUUGAUUGAGACAUGUGAUCAUGUUCUGUUUAGAUAUAUUCACUCGAGUUAGUUAACUGAUCGUUGUAGGUGGCUAGGAUUGGUUGGCCAGUUCAAACCAAAGAAACUCUUUACUGAUAUCAAAGCAAAUAUCAGCAAGGCAGAGGAAUGGGAUCUCCAGCUUUUCAAAGAUACAACAAAACACAUUGUAGACAAAUCCCUCUACUCACUUGGUUUAUGGACUCAGAUUGCGUUAGGCUCUUCUUCCUCUCUCUUGCUGAGCGCUGAACGCCUUGGAGAAAAAGAAGGACUCAGAAAGAAGUUGAUGUUUGUUCAUCCGGUACGCAUCUAUUUGUUCAUCCUUGUGUAUGUUUAAAGCACUUCUGAUUCAGGAACAUCUUUAUAGGUCUCUCAUCGCUCGCUCCAGAGACCGGGCUUCAAUACCGUUUUGGUGUACACAAAAGCAAGGGUGAUCCUCACCCUGUGAACGCUGCUGAUGAGAGUGGCUGUAGUGAGGUUCCUGCUUCUUUGAUGCCUGGUUUAUGCGCCAAGGCUGCAGUAUCAUACAAGGCUAAAAGAGACUUGUGGAGACCAAAAGAGGAAGAAGAAAACAACACAGAAGAUGAUGAUGAUGAUACACCUGUGUUCCUACCUUACGACACACGCCUAAAGGAGCCUCAUGCAGCAGUUUCGGGGAUUGUAGGUAGCAGCUUGACAGCUUGGAUUACAGGCAGAGGCGAAAAGCGGAGUCUGAUAAGCGCAGAUGCGUUUGGUUCUGCUUGUUAUACGUUCCAGAAAGGGCGGUUUAGUAAGCUGUAUGGUGAUCUAACACGAGUAGAUGCUCGUGUGGACGUUUCCUCAGCUUCUGCUCUUGCUAAAAGAAUCUUUAGCGCAGUUAGAAGAUCUAAGGGUAGUAACAAAACAGAUGAUGACACAUCGGGUUCUCCUAGACUCAGCCUGAUAUUCCAGCAACAGGUACUAUUAAUCAGCUUCUUGUCCAAUUUUGAUGUAAAGAAUGUAACUUAUAAGCAGUGCUACAAAUUUGCAGGUUGCAGGUCCAAUAGUUUUCAAAGUAGACUCGCGGUUUCAGGUAGGUGAAGGGAAGUUUGGUGCACAAAUGGAGGAUCUGAUUUACAGUUUGAAUUACUCGUUGAGGCUUCUUGAGUCCGGAAAAGUUGUGGCUUGGUAUUCUCCAAUGAGAAAAGAAGGCAUGGUCGAGCUUCGAGUUUUUGAGUUUUAAAUUGUUGCAUUUGUAUUAGAGGAAGAUGCUAAACAUGGCAAACUCUUUUUUGGUUUAACUAGUUGAAUAUCUUUUGCUUAUGACAGACGAUUGAAAGAUUGUCACAAAAACAAGAUAAGCUCUGCCUGAUCGUUACAAGAAACAACUAAAAUGUUCAAAUGGAUGUCUUAGACAAGAUCUAUCUCCACGAGGGCCAACAAGUCGCUCUCUUUACAUAAGCAAUGCCUACUGCCUAGCACUGGUUCCUAAAUCGACAUGAACAGUAGUAAAAGCAGAGAUGUUAACACUUCCAAAUCCUUAAAAAAACUAUGAUCAAUUCAUUGAUGAGAAGCUAAUUUCACCGUCAAGAUGUCUUUCAAUCUUGACUGUGUAACAAGGUACCUGUCAUAAUUGAUUGUAGUAUUAAAAGUUUAAAACCAAACGCUAAAAUCUAUGUCAUGUUACUGUUAGGAUCCUCCUCAGCUCCCAGAUCCAAGAGUAAAUCAUACCAACCUACGCUUUCUUCUUUUUAUUUGACCAAAUCCAACCUACACUUUCUUAAAGCGGCUUAUUAUAGCACAACUAUAACUUAUCGUACAAAUAAAACAUGACCGGUGACAGUUCUAGAAAUAAGAGGAACGAAUAGGAAAUGAACUUAAAAGAAUAAAAUUGUAUGAAUGAAAAUGAAUACUUGUUACAUUUAGGGAUGUUAAAACAGGCUAUCUGAGCCCGUUUAGUGUCCUGCCCGUUUAGAACCCGUUAACUUCAUGCCCAUUUAAAGCCCUGUCCGUUAUAACCCGUUUAACUGUGGUCUGUUUACAGUUGUGAUGUCCGUUUAUCCGUUUAGACCCGUGAGUCCAUUUAUUUUAUUUUAUUUUUGUCAACUUCUAAUUACAGUUUAAUUAAUUUGUAAUGACGUUAAAUCUUAUGCUUUUUUUGUAAUGACAUUGUCUUUAAUUAUUUCUUUUAUUGUUAUUUCUUUUUUUUUAAAUGCAAUUUUAAUUAUCUUAAGAUUGUUAUUAUUUCUUCUAUAAGUUCAGACAAACAUCAACAUUGCAGGAAAUCAAACAGCAAGAGGAUUAGAGGCUAACAAGAGUUUCGGGACUGAGAUUGAGUUACUUUAGCCUAGUGAAGAUAACCAAAGAACCCUUUUCUCGAUUUCUCAAGUUUGAUUCAUAUAGCUUUUCCAGAUUUCCUCUACGGUGAAUCAUGAGUUUGAGUACGGCCUGAGAAAGAGAAAGAGAAAGAGAUGUAGAAAACCUAGUCAAAAAUGACGUCGUUUCAUAUAUUGUAUUAGAAAAAAAAAUAAACAGGGUAUCCGUUAAUACUGGAGGAACGUCCGUUUAUAAACGGGCCUUAACGGGUAGACCAUGUAAGAGCCCGUUAAGUUUUAGAUAUAAAUAAACGGGUAUGGGCUUUACCCGUUUAAACCCUGCCCGUCAAAGCUCGCGGGCGCCAUACCCGUUUUAUCAUCCCUAGUUACAUUCCAUAUUUAACAAAGAAUAAUUUUGUUCUUUAUUUCUCUAAAAAAAAGAAUGGUAGGGAAUAAGAAAAAAAAAAUUAUUAUUUGUAAAUGGUGAUUUUUUUUAGAGAAUGUUAAUGAAUAUAUUAUUCUUCGUCGUUUCUCGGUCACCAUUCGUACCGAGAAUAAAUUUUUUCAUAAGAUAUCUAAAAAUAUCAAGCGUAAAGUUGUGCUCUACGAGUUUCUAAUUUCUAAUAAAAAUAAAUUAGUGUUAACAAGAUUGGUGAAGCUUUUUGGGUCAAUUGAACAUUUGAUUUGUAUCGGUUUAUACCGGUUUCAGCAGUUUUAAAUUAAGUUUGGUUUUUGGGUGUAUGAAUAAUAUUCCCUACCAACCUUUCCAACUGCCCAAAAAGGAAGUAGCUAUUGGCUAAAGCCUAAAGCCUAGGAACUAGACCAUCUGAAACUAAGCUACGGUUGAGAUUCUUUACUAUCAUAAAUCAACGGCUAUAAACAAAACAGAAUUUAAUUCCCAUGCAACCUUAAGACCUUGUUAAACGCCACGUAUCACAAACUCUCAGCGAGAUUCUCUAUACGUGUCUACGAAAAGGUGAGAAAAACAGGAUACAAGAGCAGCUGUCAGGGCCCGAGAGACAAAAACGUCGAUUACUGGGCCCGGAAAGGUCAUUGUGGGUCCCACACGUAAUUAUAAAAGGGUUUUUGUCCAGUCAGCUCCUCGUUUGAUAUUCUCAAGCUCUAGUGGGAUGUAUUCCCCCACUCGAAGGCCUUGUUGUAUCGACGACAGAUGACAAGUUGUGUGGUCAUGAGCCACUUUCUUUUUUGGACCUUUAUUAAUAAGUGAUCACAGAACAACAUCAUUUUUCAUAUGUAUUAAUACACUUUUUUGUUGUAUAUAAUGGUUUGCCGUUCGUAAUGUGAGUCAUUGCUUACUCAGAAACGAUGAGGGAUUGACGUGAUCUUCAUUUAAACAAUUAAUAAAAACAAGACUAGUACGUAUGAUAGUCAUAUUAGUGUUAAAUUCCAACUAGGAAAGAUUAUAUUAUGCUUUUGUAAACUAAGUCGGUUCUGAUUUUAUAUAGAAACUCCAACUAUGAGACACGUUACACACGUAUGUGUACGCAAUUAUACACUAUCAAAUUUAUUACAUCGAAUAAAGGGCUGAUAUGCUAUGCUAAAUGAAACAUUCGCCAUAAGCUUCCAAAUUUUGUAAAAAAUAUUAUAUAUAAAUAGGUCCAAAAAAAAUUAGGUUCUCAAAUUUAUUAAAUUUUUUUUACAUAAAAACAGCAACAAAUUCUCUAAAUUCUCAGGACCAACCCUGACCGAAUAAAAUAGGCCGGUCACGCUCUUGCUCGUUCAUUACAAGCGUUCUGCAGCGUAUAUUAUGUCUUUGAUAUCCGAAUUAGAAGUACAUGCAUGUUCUUAGAGCAUUUAGGCUAUGUAGAUCGUAUUGAAACUUAUUUUAAUUUUGAAUGUUGCUUGUGCCAAGACUAUUCUACCAUUUGUCAACCAAAGGGAUUUGGAAUAUAUAUUUUGUGUGUUUUAUGUAUACAAAAAUAAAUUAGUACUUAGAUGAAAAGAUAUUUAAUUUCCUCCAACAGUUUUUUUGGAUUUGGUUAAAUUGAUCUUAACACGUACGUACCAAGAUGUUUUGUUUCAUCACAAAACAAAAUAAAACUGUUCACUGAUAAGUAUUACUCCUUCCGUUCAUUAAUAAUAGACUUUUUAGAAAAAAAAUUUGUUUCAAAAAAAUGUAUUUUUUGUGUCUUCUAUGAAAAAAUUGUAAACUUCAAAAAAAAUAAUUGACUUUAUUGAAUUACUAUUGGUUAAAAGUUAUUAAAACUUGAAAAUUACAAAAAAUGAUACAUUUAUUAUCGUAGUUUAAUGUGUUUUCUUAAUACGCGUGAAAAUAGUAAAAAGUCUAUAUUUAUGGAAAAUAGGGAGUAGUAUACUAUAGUAGUAAAAAGAAGGUACUUAAUGAAAUAUUUGAUUAAGUACAAGUACAAGCUGUACAAUAAGUAAACAAAUGAGAGGUGAUUAUAAAUUUACACACGCAUGGAAUGAAACAUUGUCCAGGCGAGAUGAAUCCUAAAAUUCAGAGCCCAGAAAGUACAAACAAGAACAGUUUAAAAUUACAAAUCAUUAAAGUACAAAAUAUCAGUAAUAUAAAAUGUAUUAGUAUUAACUUAGAAACUUUCAUUAAAUGUGAAAUUUAUUAUAUCUAGGAAAGUCCAUCAAUCAUGCGUUAUGCAUGUUAUCGCGGCCAGCGAAUCUCACAAACGCAAGACUUGUUUGAUUCCCCUCGUCGAACCAGAUCCACCCAAAUUAUUUUAAUGCAAAAUAAAAACUAAUUUAUAUGCUCUUCUUUUUUUUGAAAAAAUGAUAUGUUCUUCUUUUUUUUUUUUCCUUCUAAAUUUUAUUUAUUAUAAAAGUAGUAACCAUACAAGUCCAUUACAAAAAGUAUUUAACCCACCAAAAAAUCCAACACAGCUAAACAUUACAAAGGCCAACAACGGCCCAUUGAACAAUUCGCCAACACGAAAGUGGAAACGCAUUGACUACGCAGCCACGUGUUCAAACCACUGUGAAAAAGAAACACGUGGUUGAAAUCACCCCUUCAUGUUCCCGACAUGCAAAUCGACAACGCCGACACGGGAAACCACCGGCUCACCGGGACCAAACCUCACGAUCACAGCCACCACAACUCCACGGCAUCCACCAUCAUUGCCAGAGCACUAACUCUCGGAGAGCUUCAAUCAAACUAUUUUGAGAUCUCAUCCGAGCCACACCCACACAGAACAAACAUCACAUGUACCAGAAUCACCCACCGGCGGAGAACGUCGAUAAACCAUCAUCGAGAUAUCAUCCGCCGCCCCAACCCUUUACAACCCAAGAAACCAGCCGCCAUCGCCGAAGAAGAAGGCAAAGACGCUGGAGACAAAAGCCGGACGACCAUCGAGAGUAACGACGCGACGCCGGAGACAGAACCGGCCGACCACCGAAGAAAAAAGUGCGUCGCCGGAAACAAAAACCGAUCUGGAAAACUCUCUUAUCUCUACUCCUUGUGAAAGAUUAAAUUUGGGAACAAGGAAAGUAGAGAAAAAAUCCUCUCUCUAAAAGAGAGGAGGUGUUUUCCUAUAUGUUCUUCUUCAAUGCUCAAAGAUACAAAGAAAACUAAUUCCUCAAUUUGUUAAAAAAACAUAUUUAUACAUGAAUGAAAAUACAUUAAAAUUUAUAAAUGUAUAAUUUUUAUUAGCUGUUUCAUAAUUUUAAACGAAUAGUAAUUCGAUGAAUUAGUAGUUUAAUAUUACUAUUUACCAGACACAAAAAAGACACUGAUAAUAAAAUAAAGAGAAAAAGACAAAAAUAGCACUAAAUCAAGUUUUUGUUCCCAAACUAGCAAUCAAGGUCAAAAAUCAUAAAAAUAGCACUUAAUGUUUUAUCAAAAGUCACAAACUUAGGGUUUAGAGUUAAAGGGUGGGGUUUAGGAUUUAGGGUUUAGGGUUUAUGGUUUAGAGUUUAGGGUUUAGGGUUUAUAGAUUAGGGUUUAGGGUUUAGGGUUUAGGGUUUAGAAUUUAGGGUUUAGGGUUUAGAAUUUAGGGUUUAGAGUUUAGGGUUUGCGGUUUAGAGUUUAGGGUUUAGAGUUUAGAGUUGAGAAAUGAGGUUUUGGGGAUAAGAUUUCAAAUUUUAAAAAAUAAAAAAAUUAAAAUUUUCAAAGGAUAAACUUAGAAAUGUGCUAUUUUGGUUAUUUUAGUUUUGGAGUGCUAUUUUUGUGUUAUAAACUUAAAAAUGUGCUAUUUUAGAGAUUUGCCCUAAAAUAAAACAAUGAAUUAUUGAACUUUAACGAGUAGAUGGAGUGAAGGAAAGAAAGAACGGUGAAGAUGUCUUGUAGACUACAGUAACUAUAGUGGUACGUGAAACAGGUGAUUCAUUCAAGCUAACCAUAAAGUCCCAAAGCUGUCUUUAUAAACGGACACCAAAUCAACCAGCUUCCUCCUCCUUCCUUCUUCUUCUUUCUCCUAUCUGAGCUGAAUCUUGAAUUUGAUUCUGCAGUCCACUCUCUUCCUUUAUUCCAAAGCUUUCGUUCUUUUUAUAGUAUAAGCAAUGGCUUCGUAUUACUCUGCGUUUUUCGGCAGUGAAGAGCCGCACUUUUUGGAAUCAUGCUCUCUUUGCAGUAAACACCUUGGUCCUAACUCCGACAUCUUCAUGUACAGGUACUUAAUCCGAUCAUACCUAAUCAAAUUCCUGGAUCUGGGUUUUGAGAAGUCAUUGCCUUUAUUGAUAGUAAGAUCUUUUCUUGAUUUCUAUUUUUAACAGAGGAGACACAGCGUUUUGUAGCCAAGAGUGUAGAGAAGAACAGAUUGAAUCUGAUGAAGCCAAGGAGAGAAGCUGGAAACUUUCUGCUAGAUCUCUCCGUAAAAAAUCUUCCGAAGCUGCAAAGGAUUCAGCCGCCGGAAAAACCGUACGGACAGGAACACUCGUGGUCGCGUAGUAGAAUUUGUAUUACAAUAAGAAAACCAAAGCAUGUAGCUUUUGUGUAUACCCUUUUUGUCUAAAAGCUAUAUAUAUAUAUAUUAAAUAUUACUCUCUUUUAAGAAAUUUUGCUCUGUUUCUAUCUAUCUUGCUCUUGAUCGGGGUCAGAGAAGUUGUAAGAUCCUGUUAUGUGGAGUUUAGGGGAAGGAGAUAGAGAGAUGGCUCUGUGUUGAUCUCUGGGGGGUUUAAAUUUUGAUCAAAUGUUACAAUUAAAAAAAAACAGAGCAGAGCAUAAUCUAUUUAUGUUCUAAAUUCAAUUUCUUAUCUUCCUCAUCUUUCCAAUUUUAUUCAAACUUCUGCUGUUAAGAUGAGAGUUUUUAAUUGCAUCUGCAGUCAGUUACAACUUUUUUACGAUCAUGGUAACUACACAAAGUUCUGAUUGUUCAUUGCGUUGUGCAUUUCUCCGGCGGAGAAAUAACUACAUUUGGGCCCAUAAUAGGCUUUAAAGGAGCCCAUAUAUGCCAACCCAUUGACGCUUCCUUUUUGUGGAAAUAAGGUCAUACAUAAUCAGAACUAGCCUGGCAUUCGGUUCUAAAGGGGUUUCGGUGGUCCGUUCUAGUAUUUAAAAUUUUGGUUUGAUUCGUUUAUUUUAGUUUUAUAUUCCGUUCAAGUACUAAAGUUGGAAACGGCUAAUAUCCAAGGUAAUUUCGAAUUCUAUUGGGUUCCGUUUUUUGGUUAAUUUUUGGGGUUUCAGAUAAAAAUUUGGAUAAUUCAGAUAAUUAUAAUUAUUUGGAUAAAACAUAUUUUGGGCAAUUCUUGUUUUUCUCGAUUCUGUUCUUUAGUCCGAAUAAGAGAUCAAUGUGUCCAUGCCUAAUCAGAAGUCAGAACUAACGGAUCAUCAGGUAUUCAUAUUUGUAAGAUAGGCCGAGUUAUAGUACCUGGUCAUUUAGAGCCCCAAGACUCUCAGCACAUAGGCUUCUGGUUCCUAGCUUCGCCUUUGCUCUUUAACUUAAAAAAUGUGUGGAGAUAUGCUUUUGUUGAGUGUUCCAUGUUUCGAGUAUAGAUUUAAAGAAUCAAACCUAUUGCAAUGCUAAGAAAAUCGUAGCUAAUAAUAUCUAAGCCUGGGCAAAGAAAAUUUGUUGAAUUUUGGUUUUUUAUUCCCCUGCGUCAACAACUUGGCAGUAUACUACAAGACUACACGAUUCAUGAUGUACACUUAGGAGACUAUGUGAACAAUCCUUUGUAACAAAUUGAUCCAUGUCAGUGACGCAUCAUCUACUAGAACUAAAGAGUUCAAUAUAAAAGAUAUGGCUGAGUUGCCUAAAACACAAGAAACUCUAAAACAACAAUGAGAAAUCUCUGAAAAUUUCUCAAGUAUUUGUUAUUAUACACAACAGUUAAGCAAACUUAAAACCACAUCUGUAAAUGAUUUAAUUGAAUCCCCACAGGUAAAUAAUUUCCAAGACCCUAUGUUUUCCUCUCUCCCAACCAUUCUAUAUUAGCUCAGUUUCUUCCAAAAUUACAUACAUUUGACCUUUUGUCAUAAGCUCUUCUCAUUCUCCCCAACCACAAUCUAGUAUUGAUCCCUUUUAAAAUCCGGCGACCAUCAAGAGGAAGUGUUGAGCCACCGAGAUUGCGUUAACUCAUUNNNNNNNNNNNNNNNNNNNNNNNNNNNNNNNNNNNNNNNNNNNNNNNNNNNNNNNNNNNNNNNNNNNNNNNNNNNNNNNNNNNNNNNNNNNNNNNNNNNNNNNNNNNNNNNNNNNNNNNUUAACAGUUUUAGUAAUUUAUAGCCGUUUGUAAAAAUUCAAAAUAUAACAUAUACAUAAAAAUCUAAAUUUUUAUUAUAUGGUUAUUGUGGUUGUUUAAUUUAUUUAAUAGUUUAAAAUUAAACAAAUAUGAUAGAAAAUACAUUAUUUUUUAUCAAAUCUUUAUUAUUCAAAAUCAUUAAUUGACAUAUACCCUUUAGCCACAUCAGGCAAUUCCGUAAAUUUUAUUUAAAAAAAUAAUUAAGUACAUUAAUGAUGAAUUUAUUGUUAGUUUAAUAAAAAGUUUAUUAUAUAAUUAGAUAGACCAACAUAUUUUCUAAUGAUUCUAAGAAUCAUUCUAGUGAUGACAUGUGGCUACAAAAAGAAGCUAUAAUGCUUCUCAAAUAAUAUAUAGGGGAUUAUUACUCCGCAAGCACUUCUUUUAAGCAUAUUUUAGUUUUGAAUGAGCAAGAAUUUUUACUUUAUUUUGAAUGAGCAAGAAUGUUUUUCUCUUUAUGUGAUAAGCUUUGUGACAACUAAGAGAAGAGAAUGCAGAUGUUAUUACUCCAUUGAUGUCACUUUUAAAGCUUUAAUCAACUAAACCACUUUCUUCAUUCUAUGUAUUCAUUCAUGUGGUGGAAUCCAAACUAUGGAUAAAUUAUAGCAAUUAGAUAAGCUUUAAAACUCUCUACUUUAUAACAUAAAAGUUCAACACAUACAUUAACAUUAAUGAGAUGUUAAAAGAAAACAUGAGUACAUAAGAUUCAAGAGUCAUGGGGGUAAGGAAGAUACUCUUCUUGCUUUCUUCUUCUUCUCCUCCAAAUUUUCAGACAUGCUUUUAGCAAACGCCUCAACGAUUCGUUGUUGAGAUUCCAAUAUCAUCUUUGUCCUCUUCAUCUCCAUUUCCAUCCUCAUCGCUUCUAUCUCUCUCGUCAUCUCCAUCUUCUUCUCCUCUGUUCUCAACAACGUAUCUCCAAGUAGCUUGAUCGCACUCGCUAUCUCCACCAUUGGAUCAUCAGACUCCUCCUCCUCCUCCUCCGUCGUCAUCGUCAUCAUCAUCAUCAUCUCCCUCCCUCGUUUCCCUGCUCUCUCUUCUCCUUCUUGAAUUCUCACACCCCUAGCUCCGUAACUGGUUCCUCCUCCGACACGACCAAGUCUUGAACUUGCACUCGCCGUGUAUUUCGGAUCGAUCUUACCGGGAAACCUCGGCCCCGGCUGAGCUAUACUCACUCCCGUCGGAAUCCGAAUUCUGAUCCCACCGCUGCUGCUACUCCCUCCGGCGGUACCAUUCCUGUUAAAGAACCUCGGCGUUGACCUCCCGACAGAACCUCCUCCGCCGUAAAGCUCGGCUCUUUCCUCGUCUCCACCGCCGGGCUUGCUCUCCGGGCGAUCCUCCAUGGCUUCCAUUCGCUUAUAGUGGACCCAAGAGGAUACAAACCUCGCCACCGGCACAGAUCUCGCUCGCUGGAUCUCCGUGCGGUACCUUUUCCUCAGCUUCUCCAUCUUGUGCCGGCACUGAACGGCGGUUUUCUUCGGCGUCACGCCGGGGCAAUUACCGGCCACCGCUUCCGCGACUUCCUCCCAGUGAUUCGCCUUGAGGUUUCCACGGUUGAGAGCGUGCCAUUUGUCGCGGUAGCCGUCGAUGAGCGCGAUCGUCUCCUCUAGAGACCAGCACGGCGGAGGCAAGCGCCUAGAGUUCUUGGCCACCGCGGGGGUGGAGGCGAUCUUCAGAUCGGUAACGGAAUCGUCUGGUUGCGGCGGAGGCGAUUGGUUACGCACCGGUAACGGAUCCUGAAUCGGAUCUUGUUCCAACGGAGAAUCUGGAUCAGACAUGGAUCGGUUCAGACAAGACCGGAGAAGAUCAGAACUUUAGGAUUUUAAAUAAUGUCAGAUCUCGUGAAGAGAAACGGUUGUGAUUCGAUGGAUUUACGCGGCGGCGACUUCAACGUAAUAAUGAGGAGAUAAGGGAGAGAGAGAAAGUGGAGGGGAGGCGCAUGAUAAUGGUGGAGGGCGGAGGAUAAGGUGUUAGAUAGAAGCGUGCAUUAGCAGAGUUUGGUAGUAAUAAAGGAAAAGGCUUUAUGCGGUGGUGGCGGAGGGUGGUGGGGGCACCGUCGUGGAGGAUGAUAACGACACGUGGAAUAUUAAUAGUGGAAGAUGAAAGAGAAGAAAGUAGUUGGUUUCGAGGACCAAGCCAACACGCCACCGUAUUCAUGGUUGGAACAAGGCUAACGUGAGCCGUGUAUGACGGGACCGGUAGGUGGCUUAUACUUGGCGUCUUCCUCUUUAUUAACCUCCCUACCUCUCUCACAUUUUUUCUUUGUAGCAAAUCAUUUACUAUAGUCUCAUGAUUGUUUGAUUUAAAGCAAUUAAACUACAUUUAUGAAAUAGGAAGUAGGCUAAUAAUAUUGGCCCAGGCCCAUUAAUAUACACCAUCUGCCUCUUCUAUAGGAAAGUCUUUUAAGCAUAAGUGCAUUUCCAACAAAUUGCUAUUUUGCUCUUCGUUUUUUUUUCUGUUAAAGAUUACUCUUCGUUUGUAAAAAUGUAUUUUCGUGCUUCAUGAAUUUUAAAAUGUAUUCAAUUUGAUAAUAAAUAUAUUAUAAAUUUGAUAAUAAAUAUAUUAUUUGUAUGACUAUUUAUUUCCAAUAGUUUUAAACUAGUACUAGAUUUCGAUUUAUUUUCUUUUUUUUUUUCAAUUGACAAAUAUUUAGUAAAUGUCAUAUUUCAUAUAUUUGUUUUUUUAUUUUAUAAAAGACUUAAACUUUUUAUCUUUCUUUAUUGUGUUUCAUUUUAAAUGACUAUUUAUGUUUAAAAAAUUAAACUUUAUUUUUUUAAUGAAUUAAGUUGGUAUAACUCUGAUAAAUUAAUUUUAUUAUGUGGUUAAUAUUUUUAAUAAAAAAAAAUUAUAUACUUUUAAUAAAGAUUUAUUCUUUUCAAUAAAAAAAUCAAUUUUUUUAUGAAUGCUUAAAUUAUAUUAAGAAAAUAAAAAAAAUUAAGAAUGGUUGAAAUUUUUUUUUUUGAAUUUGGACUAAAUGGCCCAAAGAAAAAAAAAAUGUGAGAAUUAGAUCUGAUUUCUUAAUCGGUCCAAAUGGUCCAAGAGAGAUCUGAUGUGGACAGUGGGCUGGAUCUAAAAAAUAUGGCCCAAUAUAAAUGUGUUAUUAAUAUUACUUGAUUGAUCUUAAUGAAACAUGCAAUGUUAGUAAACAAAUGGCAUGCUAAGGUAAAAAAGACAAUAGGAUCCUGAUUUAAUAAUAUAGAUUAUUUCAAUAAAGACAAUCUUUUUGAUAAUUCUUUUAUAAUUUAUAAUUAUUAGCUAAUGGAAAUUAUAUAAAAAUGUCAAAUUUUUAUUUUAAAACAUAUGCUUAAAGCCUGAAACUAUGAAAUAAUGUUUAGAUGCAAUUUGGCUCUAACUUACUUAUAUUUCUUACUCUAAAAUGAAUAUUGUUAUUUAUUCUUCUAUAUUUAUAAAAAUAAAUAACAUUUUCUACCUUUUACUUUAUAUUUAAUAUAAUAUUAUUUUAGGAAAAUAUAUUAGAAUACAUUUUAGAGAAAAAGACAAAAAUAGUACUAAAUCAAGUUUUUGUUUUCAAACUAGCACUCAAGGUCAAAAGUCACAAAAAUAGCACUUAAUGUUUUAUCAAAAGUCACAAACUUAGGGUUUAGAGUUAAAAGGUGGGGUUUAGGAUUUAGGGUCUAGGGUUUAGGGUUUAGAGUUUAAGGUUAAGGGUUUAAAUUUUAGGGUUUAGGGUUUAGAGUUUAGGGUUUAGGGUUUAGAGUUUAGGGUUUAGGGUUUAGGGUUUAGGGUUUAAAAUUGAGGGUUUAUGAUUUAGAGUUUAGGGUUUAGGGUUUAGAGUUGAGAAAUGAGGUUUUGGGUUUAAGAUUUCAAAUUUUGAAAAAUAAAAAAAUUAAAAUUUUCAAAGAAUAAACUUAGAAAUAUGCUAUUUUAGUCAUUUUAGUUUUUGAGUGCUAUUUUUGUGAUAUAAACUUAGAAAUGUGCUAUUUUGGAGAUUUGCCCUACAUUUUAUCUCUAUUAGAAAAAAAACUAUUUUAGAAGAAAAAUAGUAAAAUACAUUAGAAAUUGUCUAAUGGACUAAUCAUACCGGACUAGGUCAUUAGGAUUCACCAUUAAGCCGCACUAAGUCCACCUGGAGGUGUCUGGCAAGAAGAUUACUUGUAUCAAUGGAAACAAAAUCAAACCGGUUUAUUACGCAGGAACAACUUUAAUGGGAUCAAAGCGUUGGAUUUCUUAUGCAUUUUCAUCUUCUUAAACUUGGUCCGGCUUUUCACAUCUAUUGAACUUAAUUUCAUUAUUCACAAAGGGUCUCCCUUUCUACCUUGAGAUGCAAAGUUUCACUGAAUGAUGUUGUCUUGACCUAUGGAUUUGCAAUGGCUGCACUUUCUCCUAAUUUGGGAUUAUGUAUGCCCUUCUUAGUGAUUUCUAAGUCCAAUCCGGAAACAUGCUAAGAAGAUAAGAAUAUCUCUAAGAAGUACUACUACAUCAACCACCUCUUAAAAUACAAAGUUUCAGACUCAAAUCCCCAUUCGUCUGUUUUUUUUGUAUCUUUGUUUUGUGCUCUUGAGUUGUAUAUUGAAGAGAUUAGAGAGCCAAAAACGUAAAAACCUUCCCUUUUGUAGUUUUUUUUGUCAGUAUCCAUUACUUGUAUAAGCUCUCACAAGUUACAGUCUCUUGGCCUAUUUCAAAUUGUCUAUAUACUGUGCUUUCUUUAUCACCCCCACUCUGUCUCUGCUCUGCACAUAUUCUUUUGUUCCCUUCAUAGAACCAGAAACAACAAAUCUUAUUCACAGAUCCCAAUCAUUGUACCUCCUAGUUAUUAUUAUUACUAAAAACAUAACCCAUGUUUCUCUUCUGACAUGGGUAAUAUUUGAAUACCAGAGAAAAACAAAACAGAAAUCAUCAUAACACAUUUUUAGUGUUACUAGUGACAUUUUAAAAUCUUUAUCCCAGCCAGUCUGUAAAGAUGAAUGAUCCCAUCUGUCCACAUCUAAAUAUAAAUAGACAGAGAAGUUGUCUAAUAUUGAGUUUUGAAUUUCUUAAUCAAAGAUCGAUGAAGACAAGAUAACAGUCCCUGCCGACUAAUCUCUACAUCAUUUACAACUACACAAUUCAUUAAAAUGGACGAAAAACAUUUAAAACUUGAUGAAAUAGAAUCAAACAGCAAGUUGUUGUUUCUGAUGAGAAGCUUCAUCGUCUUUGAAGGUAAUGACAGUUCUUGGCGGGACAACAACGAGGGAGAGAGGUUGAAGAAGAGUCAUUUCCUUUUGAAGAAGAGAGAAGUAAGCGUGGAAUGUGUUUGGCGUCACGUUUAAAUCAAAACCUAACCCGAAUAAGAAAUCUAGCUCCAGAAGAUUCAUCUCUUCCGUGCUUAUCCCUCCCACUUUGGCGUAAUAAGCAUUGUUGUAGUACCUGUUUAGUCACCAGGUUCAGAGUUCAGUGAAUCAGAAGUCAAAUUAAUACAUAAAUAUCGAAUCUUUCCUUGCAAAAUCUAAGACCACAGAAUCUCAGUUUCAGAGGAACAAAACAGAGCACCCAUCAAACAGGAAAUUGAUUGAUUGAACAUUAAUUAGGAUGUCUGAACGCAAAAAAAGAUUUAAAAUUUCAAUGAAGGGUUAAAAAAAAAAAAAAAACAGAAUCAGACUAGCAAUUCUUGUUCAAAACGAGUUUUGUCUGGAGAUUCAUACAUAAACAUAAGAAACAGAGCUUUCCAGAAACAGGGUUGUUAAUCUGUGAUGGUGAAUUCUGAGGUUGACCCUCAACUCAAGAGAUUCAAUUUGUAUUAAAGAGAGAAAGAAACUUACAGAUCAUCGAGGAAUUUAGCAGCGGUCAUGACACUGGUAAUGAGGAGACGAUGAACAUUGAAGGAAUUGAUCGGAAGCGAAGGUUGUCUGUGAGUGAAACGGUCGAGAUAAACAUAAGCCACAACGAAGCAAGAAGAACUACAAUUCGCGUAUUUGUAAAUCCUCUCGAGAUAGCUCUGAAUCGUUAUGGAAGGUCGACUCAGUCCAUGGAACACGGAAUCACUCUGUGACUGAGUCGUGACUCGCCUUGUCAGAUCGUUUGACUCGGCAACUCGUUCUAGCAACGCCGAUAAGAAGGCUAUUAGCUUCGGCAUUACUCCUGGAUUCUCAAGCUCGGCCAUUUUUUGUGUGUGUUUGAGAGAUAGAAAAGGAGAAAGUUACUCUUUUCUAUUUAUGUCUGCUCUGUUGUUAAUGGCGUGUGUUUAAGUUGGUCGUUAUAUUGGGUAGUUUUUACAUUCUAGUUUAUUUUAUAAUUUAUUUAUUUUAUUUAAUAAGUAAGUAUUUUCUGUUUUUUUUUUUUAAUUUGAUCAAGUAUGUACAUGUAGGUGUGCAUUUUUAAAAAGUUGUCUAACUAGUUUACUCUUGUUCUAUCCGUCGGGGUCGAACAAAAAACAAAAAUAUCACAAAAUAUAUAAUUAACAAUUGAAUAUGGAACUGAGAAAGGAAAAUAUAUUUAAUAUUUCAUAAGUUGGGUUAAUGAUUGUUAUUGAAUUCGAAAACGUAAGUCGUAACAAGAGGGAAACACAAUUAAUGUAAACCACCAUAUAUCAAAUCCAGGCAGAUAAACUUAUAGUGAUGGGAUUUGGGGAAAUUAUACGUAACUUUCGGUGGGCUCCCAUACUAAUCAUGUUACAUGGACAUGUGGGGAGAUUUAUUUAAACCUAGAAAGUCAUCACGAUAGUGAUCUUGCGAAGUGCAUGUGUUGCUAAUAAUGCGAAUAUGUGAAUCAAUUCCCAUCUGGUAACAUUUCUUUAUAGCCCAAAGUAAUCAGGAUUGUUAGAGAAAUAUAGUGUUAUUGAAUAGAUUAUAGAUUAGUAAUUUGCAUUACUAGCUACAUUCAAACUGAUGUAAUUUAUCUUCCAAAUUACAUUAUUGUAUAGUUCCUAGCUACAUUCAUGAACGACACAAACUGUAAGUACGUAAACAACAUUUGAUUAACUAAUUUAUGCUAUAGUAUUUGUUUUUCAUAUGAUGCGAGCACUGAACGUAUACUAGAUUAGUACCUCAAGUUACAAGAAAUAAAAAACAAUGAACUAAACAUGACAGUCAGGUUAGAUUCCAAACUGAUUGGGAUUGGAGUGAAGAAAAAGUAAAGCAUGCCUCGUGAGAGAACUAAGAAUAAAGAUAUCUUUUUAUACAUACGAUAUCGAUAUGAUUUAUUGCAAUUAUUAUAGUAUACACAGUUUUUUGUAGCAUUUGGGUUUGGUGGGGAUCAUCACUAACUGCGUAACGUGUAUGUAUCUCUCUUCUCGUAUCUUUUUCGCAGCCAAUUUUCAUGUGCUGCUCCAUGUGACUCUCUCCAUCCUUCAGAUACUCCUUUUUUUUUCUAGUGAUAUUUUUCAUAUAAUUGUAGCACUUUAUAUAAAGAAAAAUGACAUUGUAUAAUUCAUUUUAAGUUGCAUACGAUAUCGUUCUACAAAUAUCAUCAAAAAAUAUCGUGAUGUCUAGUAAAACAAUCCUUCGGAACAUUUUUUAUAACCUUUUUUUUUUUUUUUGAAACAACAUCUUUUAUAACCAGUAGUUGUGGUUACAAUGGGGAAAAAUAUAAGAGCAAAACGAAAAUAAUACUUCCUGUUGGCUUGCGGAAGAUUUGUUAGCAUCUCUACCGUAUGAAGGCCCAAUGUCAAAUUAAUUAUUGUAAUGUUGGGCCCAGAAUAAACAUAUCUUUACCGUAUAUGAUAGUGUUGAAAUGAAGAUAAACACAACAAACAUGAGACAGUUUCUGAAGCGUUAUGAGACAGCUUCUGGCCAGUUGAUCAAUGCUGAGAAAUCUUCAAUAACUUUCUCAAGCAAAGCUCCUGCAACUCUAUAGCAGGCUGUAAAUGACGACUUACGGAUACAAAAAAAAAGGAGGAACCAUGAAAUAUUUAGGACUACAAGAGCAUUUCAGACACGGAAACGAGAUCUAUUUGCGGGGAUAGUAAACACGAUCAAACAAAAAGCAAGUGGCUGGUCAAACCGUUUUUUAUCCAUUACCGGAAAGUUGGUUAUGUUGAAGAGCGUUCUCUCUCCGAUACCAUCCUUUGCCAUGUCUUGCUUCAAAUUGCCUUUCUCACUGAUUAAAAGAAUCCAAUAUGCGGUUACCCGCUUUAUGUGGGACGAUAGAAGUUAAAAAAAAGAAGAUGGCUUGGAUAGCAUGGAACAAGUUAGCUCAACCAAAAGAGAAGGGAGGACUCGGCCUGCGAGACUUUCAAAGCUUCAAUGAUGCAUUCAUAAGCAAACUGAGCUGGAGAAUUAUCAACAACCCUCACAGUUUGAGCAGUCAAGUUCUCUGUGGAAAAUAUUGUACUGAGGGUAACCUGCUCGAGUGUCAAAGCAAAUCAUCUGAAUCACACGGAUGGAAGUGAAAGAAUGUGAGGAUAAAGAGAUGUAGAUGAAGAACAUUGAAAAACAGAGAGAGAGAGAGAAAGUAGAUCUGAGAGAAACUUUAUUCCCUUAAAAAUUCAAAUUAUGGAUCUAGAUACAAGUCUUUUAAAGGCAAGUUGCCUCAGUACACAAUACAAUAAAAUAUUUAUUGUUUAAAAUAUUCAACGGUCUCCUUCUCUCUCCUUCUUCUUCUUUGCUUCUCAAGUCUGGUCUUCUGCUUCUAAACUCAAGUCUGGUACUUCUUAUAAAGCCUUAUAAAACAUUUAUAAAACCUUAUAAGUAUUUUCAAGUCUGGCAGUUUAAUUCUCAAGUCUAGCUGUUUAUUUCUGCUUCAUGUCAACACUCCCCCUCAAGCUUGACCAUGUGGAACAAGUCAAGCUUGGAAGCCAUGAAGUAUUCCCUCAUUAAAACCUCAACUAGGUAAAACCCUUUGGGAGAAAACCCAACUCAAGGAAAAAGAAUAGAACACUUCAUGAAGGAGAGAUCAUUGACAUGAUAGGUCUAUGAGUCCCAAUUUUGGAUGAAUGAACUCACAUACCUUAGUGCUUGCUGCCUUGGUGAAGAUAUCAGCUAGUUGAUCUUCACUCCUUGUGUAGCACGGCAAUAUGAUCUUCUGUUCCACGGCUUGUCUCACUUUGUGGCAAUCUACCUCUAUAUGUUUGGUCAUUUCAUGGAAGACUGAGUUGCUAGCAAUGUGUAUAGCAGCCUGGUUGUCACAAUGCAUCGUGAUUGGCGUUGUAACUUCAAUUCCCAAGUCCUUAAGAAGUCCCUUGAUCCAAAUCAACUCGCUUGUGAGCUUCCUCAUAGCUCUAUAUUCUGCCUCAGCACUUGAACAAGACACCACCUUCUGCUUCUUGCUCUUCCAUGUUACCAAAUUGCCUCCAAUGAAGGUACAAUAUCCAGUAGUUGAUCUCCUAUCAACUCGAUCUCCUGCCCAAUCCGCAUCACAGUACCCAACAAUCUCAGUGCUUCUAUUGCAUCCCAUCCAUACUCCUUGGCCUUUUCCUUUGAGAUAGAAACAACCCUUCCUUAGACCUACACAUCUCGAUCCCUAGGAAGUAUUUGAGCUCUCCCAAGUCCUUGAUAUCAAAUGAAGCCUUAAGGAACGCUUUGGUCGAGAUGAUCCCUUCUUUGUCACUGCCUGUGAUGAUAAUGUCAUCAACAUAGAUGAGAAUAACAACGAUUCCUUGCUGGCUAGUGAGGGUGAAUAUGGUAUGAUCAGCUUCAGACUUGACAAAACCUCUUCCAUUGAGUGUGGUGCUUAGUUUGUGGUACCACGCUCUUGGUGAUUGUUUCAAACCAUAGAUGGCUUUCUUCAGCCUCAAUACAUUUCCUGGUUUGGUAAGGUGUUCCAUACCAGGUGGUGGUCUCAUGUAGACCUCAUCUUCUAACUCUCCUUGUAGAAAAGCAUUUUUGACAUCCAUUUGCCACAGAUCCCAUUCUAAGUUCACAGCCAAUGAGAGUACAAUCCGUAUCGUGUGAAGCUUAGCUACUGGUGCAAAGGUGUCAAGGUAAUCUUCACCAUAGACUUGAGUGUAGCCUCUUGCAACAAGUCUGGUUUUUUUUCUUUCUGGUUGCCCAUUAGCCAAGUACUUGAUAGUGAAUAGUAACAUGCUUGUGACAGCCUUCUUGCCUUUGGGGAGCUCACUCUCAAACCAAGUUCCAUUUCGGAUCAUGGCACUGACCUCAUCAUCUACUGAGUCUCUCCAUUCCUUUAUCUCCAUUGCCUCCUCAUAGGUCCUCGGAAUAUACUCUUGAUCUAUAUUGGUGAUGAAGGCUUGAUGAUCUCUUGGAUAGUAAGCAAGGGAGCAAGUUGCUUGAGUGGGAUGGGCUACUGCUUGACUGUUGAAAUACUUCCAAUUUGAUGGACGCUUUCUCACCCUUGUGCUUCUCCUAAGCGGCUGGACCUCUCCAACAAUCUCAGCUUCAACUUCAUUUUGUUGAUCUGAUUCCUCUUGUUGUUGGCUUUCAUCCUGAUCAUGAACCUCUUGCUCUUGAUCAGUAGUCUGCGGAUCCUCUUGACCCAUGUGUGGUUCCUCUUGACCAGUAGACGAAUCCUCUUGAUUCCCCCCUUCAGGAUUAGGAUGAGAAGCCUCUUCAGCCGCAUCCAUACCAUUGGCUUGAUCUAAACUAUUUGCUGAACCAGUAGUUCUUUCAUUUGGUGUCAUGAUGAUACCUAGGCUCUCCAUGAUAAUCCGUAGGUUGUUUGCCCUAUCUGAGGCCCCUUGAGAUAGAUCCUUGAGAUUGUCCCAACUCUUCUCCUCAUAAUAGCCUCUAGAUUCCACAAACUUGACCUCUCUGGAUACUAAGACUCUUCUUGUCUCUGGAGAGUAGCAUUUGUAACCUUUUUGAGUGGUAGAAUACCCAAUGAACACUGCCUUUGUGCUUCUGGCCUCAAGUUUGUUCCUAUGAUCACCUGUUUGCAAUACAUAGCACAAGCACCCAAAUACCCGUAAAUGGUCAAUAGAUGGUUUUCUUUUGUUCAAUACCUCAUAAGGUGUGGCAUCAUCAAGGACUCUUGUUGGAGUUCGGUUGAUGAGAUAGCAUGCUGUCAUGACUGCAUCACUCCAGAACCUCUUAGGCAUGUUGGUGUAGAACAUCAUGGACCUGGCCACUUCCAUCAGAUGUCGGUUUUUCCUCUCAGCUACACCAUUUUGUUGUGGAGUGUAAGGGCAGCUGGUUUGAUGGAUUAUUCCAUGCUUGGCCAAGUGGGAUUUGAAAGCUGUGCUUGUAUAUUCCCCUCCAUUAUCUGACCUGAAUACUUUGAUCUUAACAUUGAACUGAUUAGUUAUGUAGCUCUGGAAGUUUAUAAAUGCAUCUAGUACUCUAUCUUUAGAUGGUAUCAUAGUCAGCCAUGUAUAUUUAGAUUUCUGGUCUAUGAAGGUGACAAAAUAUCUAUGAUUUUCCCUAGAAGUGCAUGGUGCAGUCCAGACAUCAGAGUGUAUAAGAUCAAAGCAUUUCUCAUAGAUAGUAGAUGACUUGGGAAACACAGUCUUGCAAUGUUUGCCAAGAAUACAUGCUUCACAUCCAUCAUUUUUGAAAUAAACAUUAGGCAAUAACAGGUUCAGUGCUCUAGAAUGGGGAUGGCCUAACCUAGCAUGCCACAAUACAUCAUUUUCUAAGACAGGGAUUGAACUAAAAGCAUAAGGUAAACAUGAUCUAGUCGUGGUGUCUUCAAGCAGGUACAAGUCCCCUUUAGUAACACCUUUUCCGAUCAUCUUAAGAGUCUCAAUAUCCUGAAAUACAACAUCAUUAGGACUAAAAAUAACCUUGCAGUUAAGAUCAGUGGCAACCUUCUUGACAGAUAAUAGAUUAGAUGCAAAAGAUGGGAUAUAAAAUGCUUUAGUAUCUUUCUCAAAUAGUUUCAAGUUUUCUACACCUUUUAUUGGUAUGCUGUCGCCAUUUGCAAUCAUAACAUUGCCUAAGGCAGGCUUAACAUUACUGAUUAACCUAGCAUCACUAAUCAUGUGGUGAGAAGCUCCAGAAUAUAUAACUACUGUCUUAAAGCUAUCAGAUGCAUUCAAGGUUGUAACAAGAGCAUUGGACAGUUUAUAAGAGGCAUUCAAAGAUAAACCAAGUGUGUUACCAGAGUUCUCCUUGAGGGCUUUGAUGAGAGCAUCAAGGUCAGACCUCUUGAUUGUCUCAUCUUGGGUAGUCCUCAUGAUAGAACAGCCACUGAAUCCCAAGGUCUUCCCUUCUCCAGCCGCAAACGAGUUCAUGGGACGAGGAGUAGAUGGCUCGCCCAUUUCACCAGAGAAAUUCCCCCUUGCAUCAGAGUAAGGUGUCCUGAACUUCUGAGGCUUGAGGUGUGGGUGAAGGAUCCAACAUUUGUCUUUGCCGUGACCUUUUUUCUUGCAAUGGUCACACACCCACACUUUCUUGUCUUCUGGCUUGUAAUACCCCUUGUUAGCUAUGCCCUCAUGUUUGUGCUCAUUUCCUUCAGCCUUGUUAGCUAUGAUAAGGUCUCCUUUGCCACCAAAGAGUCCCACUGAGCCUUGCUCCUUUUGAAUCUGAGCACAAAGCUCCUCAAGUGAUGGAAGCUUCUCACUUCUUAGAAUGUGUUUGAUUAGAUCACUAUAACCCGGGUUGAGAGUGAACAACAAAGCAAAGACCUUGUCUUGCUCCUUUCUCUCAUUAAGUACAUCCGGAUCAAGACUGGCCGGUCUUAGCAUCUCUAACUCGGCCCACAACGAUCUGAACUUCCCAAAAUGCUUGGAAAAUUUACUGUCCUCUUGACUGAGAGUGUUGAUAGCCCUCUUGACUUCAAACACCCUACUGAUGUUAGAUAUAUUUCCAUACACCUUCUGGAGAGUAUCCCACAGCUCCUUGGAAGUUUCACAGUAGGAGUAAGCUUCCAAGAUAGAGGUUUCAAGACUAUUCUGAAUGAUGGAAAGGACCAUGAGAUCCUUCUGACUUCUCUUUCCACCUCCUUCAGCCGCAUCAACAACUUCUUUACCAUCCUCUCCUAGGAUGGUCUUCUUGGUGUCUUUGCCGUCAACAACAUACUCCCAAAGACCUCUGCCUCCAAGAGCGGGUUUGACAAGUCUAGACCACAGUAAGUAGUUGGUUCCCUUGAGGGUAACCGGAAUAGACACGGAUUUAAAGACAUCAGUGUAUGAGUUUUCCAUUUUUUUUUCUGGGAAUGAAGAACAACUCAAGAACAGGAUGAACUUUACCAAAAAAUAGAAAGGGAAAAUCAGAGAUUUGUGGAAGUAAAGAUAAUAGAGUAGAGAAGAAUGAAUCUCAGGAGCUUACUUGCUCUGAUACCAUGAAAGAAUGUGAGGAUAAAAAGAUGUAGAUGAAGAACAUUGAAGAACAGAGAGAGAGAUAAAGUAGAUCUGGGAGAAACUCUAUUCCCUUAAAAAUUCAAAUUGUGGAUCUAGAUACAAGUCUUUUAAAGGCAAGUUGCCUCAGUACACAAUACAAUAAAAUAUUUAUUGUUUAAAAUAUUCAACGGUCUCCUUCUCUCUUCUUCUUCUUCUUUGCUUCUCAAGUCUGGUCUUCUGCUUUUAAACUCAAGUCUGGUGCUUCUUAUAAAGCCUUAUAAAACCUUUAUAAAACCUUAUAAGUAUUUUCAAAUCUGGCAGCUUAAUUCUCAAGUCUAGCUGCUUAGUUCCGCUUCAUGUCAACAGGAAGGGCAUAUUAAUAGGACGUGAUCUGAUAGUGCAAAACUCGGGGUGGCUAGUGGGAGAUGGAACAUCCAUUGACCUGUGGCAAGACCUGUGGCUCAAUGUCAAGCAGCAGCAAUGAUUUAUGGGACCACCAACAGAGCUCUCGAUGGGCUUGAAAGUUUCAAACUUAUUCUUGGCAAACUCAACCGAAUGGGAUUUAGAGAAAAUCAGAGAAAUUUGCCCCUUUGAUGAGGAAAAAAUCCUCAAGAUCAAAGCGAGUAAGGUAGGGACUUCAGACAAACUUUGCUGGCAUGGCACGAAGAGUGGAGAAUUGACAACCAAGUCAGGGUAUCAUGCGGCUUUUGCAGCUUCAAACGAUGCCGAGAACUUGCAACUUGAGGGAAAUUGGAACAAGGAAGUCUGGAAUUUACAGACAGCUCCAAAGGUUAAGAUGUUAAUCUGAAAAUUUUUGCGAGCUGCAUUACCUGUGGGUAAAAGACUGGACACAUUCAUGAAGAUCCCCACUGUAAGCGAUGUGGAGAACCCGAAUCUAUUAUUCAUCUGUUCUUUCAAUGUGAGUUUGCAAAAGCUGUGUGGCAAGCAGCACCAUUUUCAGAAGAAAUUGAUUACAGCAGAAUGAUAGAUUUGAGGGCUCUAUGGAACCUAGUGAGGACAAAACCAUGCUUGCCUCCGACAUGCAUUACAACUGAUCAUUUGGCACCUUGGAUCAUGUGGAGUUUAUGGACAACCAGGAACAGACUGGUAUUCUCAAAUAUCAAAGUGGAAGCAGAGGAGUUUCUGUCAAAAGGUAUUAUAAUGGCUAGAGAAUGGCAGCAGGGACAUGUGAAGAAUCCAAAGACACACAAGACAGGCUUGCCUCCACCAAUCAAUGCAGUAGAUUCAAUCCUCAAAACGGAUGCGGCCUGGAGCGUAACUGCAUCCCGAGCUGGCCUUAGAUGGAUUAUAUCUCGAAAUGCUAACACUACUACCUAUUCGAGGAUAUAGAACAAUGUUUCUUCCCCACUGAUGGCAGAGAGUCUUGCGAUGAGAGAAGCGAUCCAGACUUGCAGAGAUUUAGGCAUCAUGAAGCUGAGAGUGGAGUCGGAUUCAAAGAUCAUCAUCAACAGCGUCCUCAACGAUAACUCAGUCCCGGAGUUAUAUGGAGUUGUCACCGACAUUUUACUUAUCUCUAGCGCUUUUGAAUCUGUUUGUUUUAAAUGGAUCCCUAGAGAAGAUAACUAUGCUGCUGACUUGUUAGCAAAGCAUGUGCUUGGUGUAAGUGAGACAAUGACUUUCAACUAAUUUAUAUUAAAUGAAAUGUGUUUUAAAAAAAAGACAUAGUAUCUCUUACUUUCCCACAGGUCCAGUUAUAGAGAAAACUAUUGUAUUGUUGGUCCGAGAAAUUUUUCUUUUUCACAAUAAUAAUGUUAAAAUGAAGUUAAAUUCAAAAUAAAUCUAGACAUCAGAUCAUAAAUCUUUCUUUUUGUCCCUCAAGGUACUAUGCAUGAUGCUGUGAUGUGGCUAUUGGUAGAGGGAAUCAAUACCCUACAAUACAGUUUUUUUCUUUUAUUUUAUUUUCUAAAAUCCAAAAGAAAAAAACGUUAUGUUUGUCGAUCUUUACUUCAAAAAAGAUAAUAUUCCAUUAAGAAAACUAUGUCACAAUGAAACGAGAAGUGUUAACAAAUCGUGUAAUAAGAGGUGGACCAAUAACUGUAUAAAAAGUGACGGAUGAGUCAGGGCAUAAAAUAGGUGGGUUACUCACUCCACUUGUGUCAAGCACACAUUAUAAGCAGCGAGUCACAUGCCCUGACCCAGUUUUAAUGAGUUCAUCGUUCGCCAUUACCUUUUUCACAUCUAUAAAUAUAGCAAGUAACCAUCUCAAAGUGUUUUUUUUUUGCCAAGAAUUUGAAUUUCAUAUAAAUAUGAGAAGAGUUUGUAAGAUUUUACAAAAUAGUUAAAACUAGAUGGGGUGCACUUUGGCAAAAAAAGAUAAAAACAAAGUGUAACCCAUAACAAAAGACUUUCUAAUCAUUCAUCAGCCAAGAAAGCAUAAGGUUCUUGAAACUCUUCUUGCUGUGCUGUUUUCCCAAGAUUGUAUCUCUGAUAUGGCGAUCAAUGAGCUUAUACAACAUUUGAGGUGUAGACGAGAUUCCGUCAUGCAGACGUUUGUUCCUUUCCCCCCAGAUACUAUAGAUAGUUGCGUGAGCAACAAUUCUUUUAAGUAUCAGUGGAGUAGUGGAAUCCCUUAGAGAUAACCACUCAAUAAAAGAUGUCCAAAUGAUGAAGCAUGAGUGAGUAUACCCCAAUCUACUCAGAAUCAAAACCCAAACCUGUUUACUGAUAUCACAACGCAGGAGCAGAUGGUCACGGGUCUCCGGCGCUGAGUCACAGAGGCAACAGUUUGAUGAAACCCCAAGGCCCCAGCUUGCGAGCCUCACUCUAGUUGGCAUCCUAUCGUUCUGUGCGAUCCACAUGAGGAAAGCAUGUCGAGGAGUUGCCAUUUUGAACCAUACACUGUUUGACCAAGUGACUGCAGGAGCUCUGUUUCUAAUCGCCUCCCAUGUCCGAGAGGCAGAGAAGUCAUCUAAGUUCUCCCCAUCCACAAGCCAGUAAAAUACAUCCUCAGUUUGUAAGGAUGACGGCAGAUGUAUACUCGUGAGAUGAAUAUGGAGGGUCUCUGCAGCAGGCGAGCGCGCACCUCUCAGUCUCCAACCAUUUUCAUUACAGCUAUCAGCAACUGAAGCAAAUAAAGGAAUUGAGAGCUCACGAGGACCUGUGUCGCCGAAUACGUUGAUUAAGCGACCUAAAGGGGUCCAGAUAUCCCACCAAAAGCUUGUAGUUUCACCAUUUCCAACCUCUGCUCUCAAGAAGUUUGUAGUUAAAGAUCGCAGGUUUAAGAGAGAUCUCCAUGUCUCUGAACCCGCAUUUUUAGCUUCGAGACUCCAUAAACUCUCAUCUCCAAUUCUGCACUUCUUAAUCCAAGAAGCCCAUAAAGAUGGGUUAGGGAUAUAUAACCUCCAGAAUAUCUCGAAAUGCUAACACUACUACCUAUUCGAGGAUAUAGAACAAUGUUUCUUCCCCACUGAUGGCAGAGAGUCUUGCGAUGAGAGAAGCGAUCCAGACUUGCAGAGAUUUAGGCAUCAUGAAGCUGAGAGUGGAGUCGGAUUCAAAGAUCAUCAUCAACAGCGUCCUCAACGAUAACUCAGUCCCGGAGUUAUAUGGAGUUGUCACCGACAUUUUACUUAUCUCUAGCGCUUUUGAAUCUGUUUGUUUUAAAUGGAUCCCUAGAGAAGAUAACUAUGCUGCUGACUUGUUAGCAAAGCAUGUGCUUGGUGUAAGUGAGACAAUGACUUUCAACUAAUUUAUAUUAAAUGAAAUGUGUUUUAAAAAAAAGACAUAGUAUCUCUUACUUUCCCACAGGUCCAGUUAUAGAGAAAACUAUUGUAUUGUUGGUCCGAGAAAUUUUUCUUUUUCACAAUAAUAAUGUUAAAAUGAAGUUAAAUUCAAAAUAAAUCUAGACAUCAGAUCAUAAAUCUUUCUUUUUGUCCCUCAAGGUACUAUGCAUGAUGCUGUGAUGUGGCUAUUGGUAGAGGGAAUCAAUACCCUACAAUACAGUUUUUUUCUUUUAUUUUAUUUUCUAAAAUCCAAAAGAAAAAAACGUUAUGUUUGUCGAUCUUUACUUCAAAAAAGAUAAUAUUCCAUUAAGAAAACUAUGUCACAAUGAAACGAGAAGUGUUAACAAAUCGUGUAAUAAGAGGUGGACCAAUAACUGUAUAAAAAGUGACGGAUGAGUCAGGGCAUAAAAUAGGUGGGUUACUCACUCCACUUGUGUCAAGCACACAUUAUAAGCAGCGAGUCACAUGCCCUGACCCAGUUUUAAUGAGUUCAUCGUUCGCCAUUACCUUUUUCACAUCUAUAAAUAUAGCAAGUAACCAUCUCAAAGUGUUUUUUUUUUGCCAAGAAUUUGAAUUUCAUAUAAAUAUGAGAAGAGUUUGUAAGAUUUUACAAAAUAGUUAAAACUAGAUGGGGUGCACUUUGGCAAAAAAAGAUAAAAACAAAGUGUAACCCAUAACAAAAGACUUUCUAAUCAUUCAUCAGCCAAGAAAGCAUAAGGUUCUUGAAACUCUUCUUGCUGUGCUGUUUCCCCAAGAUUGUAUCUCUGAUAUGGCGAUCAAUGAGCUUAUACAACAUUUGAGGUGUAGACGAGAUUCCGUCAUGCAGACGUUUGUUCCUUUCCCCCCAGAUACUAUAGAUAGUUGCGUGAGCAACAAUUCUUUUAAGUAUCAGUGGAGUAGUGGAAUCCCUUAGAGAUAACCACUCAAUAAAAGAUGUCCAAAUGAUGAAGCAUGAGUGAGUAUACCCCAAUCUACUCAGAAUCAAAACCCAAACCUGUUUACUGAUAUCACAACGCAGGAGCAGAUGGUCACGGGUCUCCGGCGCUGAGUCACAGAGGCAACAGUUUGAUGAAACCCCAAGGCCCCAGCUUGCGAGCCUCACUCUAGUUGGCAUCCUAUCGUUCUGUGCGAUCCACAUGAGGAAAGCAUGUCGAGGAGUUGCCAUUUUGAACCAUACACUGUUUGACCAAGUGACUGCAGGAGCUCUGUUUCUAAUCGCCUCCCAUGUCCGAGAGGCAGAGAAGUCAUCUAAGUUCUCCCCAUCCACAAGCCAGUAAAAUACAUCCUCAGUUUGUAAGGAUGACGGCAGAUGUAUACUCGUGAGAUGAAUAUGGAGGGUCUCUGCAGCAGGCGAGCGCGCACCUCUCAGUCUCCAACCAUUUUCAUUACAGCUAUCAGCAACUGAAGCAAAUAAAGGAAUUGAGAGCUCACGAGGACCUGUGUCGCCGAAUACGUUGAUUAAGCGACCUAAAGGGGUCCAGAUAUCCCACCAAAAGCUUGUAGUUUCACCAUUUCCAACCUCUGCUCUCAAGAAGUUUGUAGUUAAAGAUCGCAGGUUUAAGAGAGAUCUCCAUGUCUCUGAACCCGCAUUUUUAGCUUCGAGACUCCAUAAACUCUCAUCUCCAAUUCUGCACUUCUUAAUCCAAGAAGCCCAUAAAGAUGGGUUAGGGAUAUAUAACCUCCAGAUCAGCUUCAGACAGAGGGUCUUGUUCCAAAUUUCUAGAUUUCUAAAGCCAAGCCCCCCUUCUUUUUAGGUAAACAGACUGUACUCCACGCAAUCUUUGCAACUCCACGAUCAGUAACAUUUCCAGUCCAUAGGAAGCGGGAGCACAAGCUCUGAAUUUGCUGCAAGCAUCCUUUUGGAAGAACAAAAGCAGAGGUCCAUAAAUUUAUAUUUCCAUAGAUAACCGAUUUAAUCAACUCAGCUCGACCAGCAUAAGAAAGCUUUUUAGAAGACCAAGCAGUGAAGUGACCCGAGAUUUUCACCAAGAGUGGCCUGUAUUCAGAAAUGCGCAGCUUGCGGUGCAUCAGAGGAAGACCCAAGUAGCGGAAUGGCAUUGAACCCAAAGUGAAACCUAGACUUGUCAAAUCAGUAGUUUCAACUUGGUUCAAACCACCUACAAAGAGUUCUGUCUUUUCUUUGUUCAUCCUCAAACCAGACCAGGUAGCAAAUAACUCCAUAGUAUCAACAAUAUUAGCAAAAGAGUUCUUUUCACCAUCAAAGAAUAUCAUCAGAUCAUCAGCAAAAGCAAGAUGGGUUACCUCAAGGUCUGCUGUCCACGGGUGAUAACCAAUAUCUUCAGCUCUGAACUUCACAUUUAGCAUUUGAGAGAACACUUCCAGCGCAAUGACAAAAAGAUAGGGAGAGAGUGGGUCGCCCUGGCGUAAACCCUUUGUUCCCUUAAAAUAGCCACACAAUUCUCCGUUGACAGAUACAGAGAAUCUGGUAGUCGUGAUGCAUUGGGAGACUAACUUCCUGAAAUGGGUGGGAAACUCGAGAGCUUCAAGAGUGUUCAAAACGAAAUCCCAAUUGAUUGAAUCGAAAGCUUUCUGUAGGUCCACUUUCAGUAUACAACGCUUUGAGAUGUCUUUCCAUUUGUAUCCAGCCACAAGCUCUGUUGCUAGAAGAACAUUUUCAGCAAGAAGACGUCCCGGGACAAACGUUGAUUGGGCAGAGAAAAUAAGCUUUGGCAGAGCAGCCUUAAGUCUGUUAGCCAACAGCUUAGAGGCUACCUUGUACACAGUGUUGCAGCAAGAUAUUGGUCUAAAUUCAGUCAUCCGGUUCGCAUUGGCCUUCUUUGGGAUCAAGGAAAUAAUUGUUGAAUUCCAUUGUUGAAGAAGACAUCCAGUCGACAGAAACUCUUUAACUGCUGCGAUCAUGUCUUUCCCCACCAUACUCCAGUUCGCUUUGAAAAACUCUGCAGGGUAUCCAUCCGGUCCAGGGGCUUUGGACUUAGGAAGGUUUAGAAAGGCUGUCUGAAUGUCCGCUUCAUUGAACUCAGCAGCAAGAUGGGUAAUAGCUUCUGCGGUCCAUCUCAAUGUGUUCUAUCAAACCUAGUUUUAUUUUCUUUAAAGCUUUUUUUCAACUGAGUAGAGUGAGUAAAAUAGAGAAUGUCUGCAAUAGAAUUUGACUUGGUUCUCCAUUGCAACGGUCACACUCAAUUUGCAGUAUCUUUCAAGAAUGAAGAUGAUGAUGACGAUGAUGUAGUCUAUGAUUACGCUCCGGCUGCAUGAGUCGAUUAUCUAUAGUUAUAACAUCUUCACCAUUAGGAAGAGAAAGCUUUUCUUGCUAGCUAGAUAUAACCCUAGUUAACAAUAUAGGUAAUACGGGAUAUGUAAUAUAUAUAUACACCAUAUAUGUCUUUGUAGACCAUGAGCUAGUUUGUAGCUAGGUUUGCUUGAGUGUUGUUACUACUUAUACCUUUUAUAAUAAACUAUUGACUCUUUUAUAUACUUUAUGGCUCAUAUUUAAAAUCCGUCCUACCAGUUCCAUGAAGUUGAAACGUGGAUAAUACUCUCACAGACGGAUGUGAAAAUCUUACAUGUCACAUGUCUUAUACUAACCAACAUUGAUUCUAGAAGUGAUUUAAAAUUCUAUGCAUCAACAUAAAGUUAAAAUUCGUGAUCAAAAUCGACAUCUGGAGGGUGUGAAGACUGAAGAGCUCCACGGUAUACAAUAUGCGUUUUUAAAAUUAGAAAAAUACAUUUACUUAAAUAAUGGUGUUUUAAAAAGAAAAAUGAAUAUGAGAUUCUGAAUCAAGUUUAAAUACAAAUCUAAGAGAUUAUAAAUUAUUAAUUCACAUAACCAAUAUACAAACUUUUUGACAAAAAAAAACCAAUAUACAAACUUUAAACGGAUAUAUAUUUCAAUUGUAUUUUGCUCUCUUAAUUUCUUUGUUUCUUCAAAAUUAAUUUACGUUUGUUCGCAACAUCAACUAAUUCAGCCCCCCCACUUUUCUUAUCAAGAAAAAGAUCGUACACCUAUAUAUCGUUACUAUCUUAUACCACGUCACCUGAUCAUCAUAACUAAUCCACAUUGAGAGUAUAUAAGUCUAUUACAAACGAAAAGUCAAGAAUAUAUAUAUCAAAUAUGCAAAAUAUCACACAUAUCUAUGUAUGUGCAUAUAUAUAUAUAUAAGUAAAGAAAGAGAUUAGAAGGAAGAAAGACAAUGAUCACGUUCAGGAGAAGUGGAGUCAUCAGAGGGAAUGUGGUUGUGACGACCUUCGUAAGUAGUUAUCACCAUUCUACAAUCUUCCGACAGCCUCUCCACUCUUUUCUUCACCCUACAGUUGUUGUGUGUGCAUCUGUAAUAACUCCUGUAUAUAUAUCCACAUUCUUAUACAUUUAUUAAUAAAUUAAAUAUCAUUGAACACAAUUUGAUUUGAUUCAGUUGGCCAUACGAAAAUAAUAGUAAUCAAACAAAAAAAUAGAAACGUGUGAAUGUCACGAGCCUUAUAGUGUACUAACAAAAAUAGUUACAAAUAUGUGUAGAUAUUGCACAAUAGAAAAUAGAUAAAAACAUAAAAUGUUGUUGAUGACAACCUAUAAAUACUAAAUUUGCAACAUACAUUAAUAUAUAUAUUGAAUGAAUGUAAAAUUAUAUUCAAAACAAAAACCUCUUUACAAUACAUGUAAUAUUGCACAAAUAUAUUUUAAACGUAUACAUAUUGUAUAAGGAUGUAUUAGCAGUCAUGUCUCUAGUACUUGAGGUAAGGUUCGGCAACAGUCUAAAGAGAGAAUAUAAUGGAUACACCUACAUUUAGUUCCUACCCCAGCUUUUACGAAACUAUCAAUCACCAGUCAAUGUGAUUAUACAAGAAUCAUUAAGCACAUUUUAUUGGAAGUAUAGGUAAAGUUAAUUAGACUAAUUAAUAUGGUUGAUUAAAUAGUUACAUAGAUGUACGUGGUUGUGUUAAAGAAUUAAUUACCUGGGGUGAAGGCUGUUCUUGACGACUUUCUGACCAUAUUUGCGCCAUUUGUAGCCAUCGUCCAGAACGUCCACAUCGCUUUUUGUCUGGAAACAGAACCUUGGCUCUCUUAGUUUCCUCCUUAUCUUCACUUUGUUCUUCAUCUCUCCACUCUCACUACUUGAUCUCCACCUGCAAUGCAACCACUCUAUAACGUAAACAUCAUUUAUGCCUUAGGUUUAAUCUUAUGCCAUAACUUAUAAGGAUUUAUACAUAGCCUAGCUAAGGUUCUACUGGAUCCCAAAACAUUUCUAGGAAAACCCAUAAAUUAAUAAUAGGGUGGUGUUGGGGACUCCCAAAACACUGGAGAGAAAGAUGAUUAAUCUACUAAUGAAGUUAAAGGCAAUAUUUGUAACUUUCUUUACUUGGCUAUUAGUUGAUGGUUCACAGAAGAAGAAAGGAAUGUAUUCAUCUUAGAAUUUAAAUGAACUAAAUUACCAAGAAUUAGAAUGCACAUCAUUGUUAAUUCCACCUCUAAUGUUAUCCUGAUCAUCAUUAACCACCUUUGAUCCCAAGGGUCCUCCAUCCUACAAAACACAUAUAUAAAACCCUCCAAAUUAAGAUCAAUCAAUAUUUAAACCAAGAAAACAAGACAAUCACGUAUAUGCACAUAUGUGUAGAAAGAGAGAUCAUAGCUAGACCUGAAGAUUAUUCGAAAACCCUAGAGGUGCAUAAGUAGUAUUAGUGGUAGAAGAAGAGUUAUAGAUGGGGAAAGAAGGAGAGGAGAGAGAAGAGGAAGAAGAAGAGAAGAAGGUUAAGACAUUAGUUUCUUCAAAUGGGAAGUUCAUUUUCUCUUGUUGUAGAUCGUAAGUAUUGACUACUACUCUUCUUUCUUUUCCUCCUCCUCCUUACAUUUGAUUUAAUCCCAUUCUCCCUUUUUAUUGUUCGUAUUAGUUUCUAAAUAGUAUAUCACACUUAUUUUGUCUAUAUUUUAUUUUAAUAAAAUUUAUAAAUGUUACUUUUACGGUUUUUCUUCUCUUGCUUUCAUACAGAGAGAUAGGGUUUCGUAUGUACGUCCCCACACGUUUCAAAAACCCUCUAAAUGUAUCAUUUGAAGUUUUGAACCAUUCGUGUCUUUGGCAGUCAGUUUCAUGUGAAGUUUAUAUGUCUAAAAUCAUAUGCCAAACAAAACAAAAUUAUUUGGAUAUAUACCAUAUUUAUUUCUCAAUUUAUCUUUUGUGGAAUAUAAUGUUCAAUGUAAUUUCUCAAUUUUAUCUUUUAGUAAAAAAAAAACGAUACUCUUUUGUUUGCGCCAGUUGUAAAAUAAGUUGAUAAUGAUGUGUUGAAUUUAUCUUCCUAUUAAAUUAGUCAAUUACGACUUUAUUUUCAUUUAUCUAAGCAAGUUAACCUGCAUCAUUUAUUGAACCUAACCAUCCCAUAAUGAACAAGGGUUUGGAGUUUGGACUAAUUGUUGUUGAUCAGCUUACUGAAGCAAUCCAAGGAAUCAAAAUUAUAAGAAAUUAAUUGAAGUAAAGAUUUAUUUUAAUGUAUAAGAUUUGAAGAUUUUCCUUACACAUGACAAUAUAGAGAUUAGAGAGAGAGAGAAAUAAUUGUCAAGAAGGUAAUUGAGUGUGGUGGAGGUACAUCAAAGCUUCCAUCCAUAUCUCAAGAUGUGCCCUAAAGCUGAUGAUGGAAACGACACCCAGAAAAGUUACCUCUUCCCAAAUCAUGUCGAAUUCACUUUCAUAAAUUUGUUCGUAAAUGAUUCCUAUGAUUUUUUUUCUUGGUUUAAUAUAAUAUCAAGAAACUAACCUAAGCUGAUUAGCAUAGCUUUAUGUUUACUUCAGUUACUGAAAAUUAAGAUAAGAAAAAUGCAUAUAUCAUUUAUAUAUUAAUUGAUAAGCAUUUCGAUAAAGAAAUGCUUGCAUGUUGUCACCGUAUGCUCUCACAAAACACAUUAAAAUGCUCUCACAAAACACAUUAAAUAGCUUCCAUAUUUUCUUUGAUAAAAUAUACGAAAUUGUCUAAUGUGAUUUAAACUAUAUUUGGUAAUUAAUGAUACUGGAUAAUAAAAAUCUGAUAACAAUUUUAUUAUCAUAUAUCAUUUUUGUUUAAUGUUAUAAUACUAAAAAUUAAAUAAUCACAAUAACUAUAUAAUAAAAAUUUAGAUUUUUUUCGUUUUUGUUAUAUUUUGAAUUUAAAAAACGAUUGUAAAUUAUUAAAAUUGUUGAAAGUCUCAAAUUAAAAAUUUGUGAUCAUUGGUUUAAAUUUUUUUAUUGUAAAUAUAUAAAUGAUCAUAAAUAGAAAACUUCAUUUAAUAGGUAUUUAAAUUUUAUAUAUAUAUAUAUAUAAAAUUCAUGUGGGUCAGUUGACCAUGUGAAUUUUUGAAUAAACAAAAUUUACAUGUAUAUUUUUUUGAGAAACUGAGAAAUAGUGUAAAAUUUAGUUAAUUGAUUUCUAUAACAUAUGUUAAUUAUAAAUUUACCCUCCUAAAUUUUUUUUCUGGCUCUGCCAAUAUAUCUAUUUAAUAUCAUUUAAAUUAGAUAAUUUUUUAAAAAAAACUAUGACUAUUUAAAUUUCAAAUUUUCAGAAACAAUAUCAUAUUUGAAUUAAAUCGAAUUUAAAAUUAAGAAAAUGAUUAAAUUAUAUGUAAAUAGAUUUUUUUAUUUUAAAAACAUUUUAAAGUAUAUUGAAUCGGUAGAACCAUAUUGAACCGUGACCCAAAAAUUAUCCGGUUCAGCUUCUGAUCCGGUUUUAAAAACACUGGUUGGAAGUUGAUCGGAUGAUAGAAAUAUAUAAUAGUCAUAUUAAUCAGUUGAUUAUAAUUGGCGGAUUUUUUAAAUUCGACUUAUUAUUCUUUUUUUUGGGUAAAAUAUUCGACUUAUUAUUCAUUUUGCCCAUAACCAAAUUUAUCGAAUUUAAUCAUACAUUCACAGAAACGUUAUAUGUUAUACGACUGCUUUAAAAAUAUAUCGCGCAUAGUAAAACACAAAUGUUGUACCUUUAUAUUAUCGUGAAUUUGAUAACUACACACAACAACACACAAAACACCUAAGGAAAAGAGCAGGCCAACUUCCUCCACAAUAGCAACACAACGCAACAACAACUAAUAAAAAACAUAUAAUUAAACAUUUUUUUAAUCUUUUCUAUGACAUUAUCAUAAGACAUGAUUGAGGUGGAUUAAACUAAGUUUCAUAUUUACUUUACCGGUCCAAUCAACUCCGUAAUUAACUAUCAACUUAAACACCUGCUUAAUUAGCCCUUAAAGGAAUUAUAGUACUAGUACCAUUAGUUAGUUUAUUUAUUUAUUCUUACCGACACUAUGACAAACAGAGAAAAAAAAAUAGACAACCAUUAAAAUGACCAAGUUAAGUUUUAUAUCCUUUUUAUUUACGAGGAUAGUAUGUUAAUUAAAUACUAGAUUCGAUCCGCGCAACCGCGCGGAUAUUUAUUUUCAUUUAUUUUUAUAUAAACAUUUUGUUUUCAAUUCUAAAUUGGUAUAUAUUAUAAUAUAUAUAUGUCUAUUAAUUUUUAAAACAUAAUAAGUUUACGGUAUAUUUUUUCAUUGAAUAGAUUGUUUCAAACUUUCACAUGUAUUUCUAUCUUCUUCUAUAUAUAUAUUUUCGGAUUAUUAUUUCAUUAUUAAAAUCGUAACUAUAUAUAUAAAGAUUAGUAAAAUAUUGUUUUAUUGUCAUAUUCAAAAAUAUUGUAACAUUUCACAAAUUUAGAAAGUUUUUAAAAAAUUAAACUUUUCGCUUCAUAGAUUUAUAUUAUCGAGUAAAUAAUUAAACAUUUAGUUUUUAUUUAAUUUUUAAAAUAAACUAUAUAGUUUAAAAUUUGUUUUCAUUGGUUUAAGGUAGUAAAGAUUAAUAAUUGUUAGAUAAUAUGAUUUUUUUUUAUUUAAAUUUUGUUUUUAUAAUUUUAAAAGUUAACAUCGACAAAUAUUUAAAUAAUUAACAUAUGGAGAUAUAAUAUUACAACAUUAAAUUAUAUCUAUUUAAUUUAUACUAUCUAUAAAUCCAAUGGAUCAUCUAUUGUUUAAAUCCAAUUAUUGAUAGCCCAAUAAAAAUUUACGGUAUGCCUAAAAUUUAAAUGAUAAGAUUAGAGAUUAAAUGUAACAUGACUUUCUAGGAAUAGGUCCAUUAGGUCAAUUUUUUAAAAAAUCACACUUGAAUCAAGGUUGUGACUUCUGUUUUAAUAUAUAAAAUUUUAUGUACAAAAAGUUCAUACAUAAUUUAACAUUAUAAAAUAAAAUAAGGCACUUCAUAUAUAGUAUAUAAUAACAUUUUUAACUCCAUAUAUGGAAAAUGCAAACGUUUAAAUUUUGCAAAUGGUUAGUCAAAACAAAAUAUUAUCUAUUCUUUUAAGUUAAAUUAAACAUAUUUUAUGAUGCACAUGUAAAUACAUUUUAAGAAACAAAUUAUGAUGCAAAUGAAAGACGGACAUUGAUGUAUUGUAUGGUCAUAGGUUGAGCAAUGAGACAAAGCGAGGAAUUUAAAAUUAAAGGUAUAAUAGGGGAUGAAUUCCAUGCAACAAUGAUUACACGUUCCAAUCAAAUCCGUAAGGAAUUUCCCAAUUCAAUGAUGGUGAAAUUUCUAAGGCAUCUCUCUUUAGUCUUUUCUUCUUCCUCUCUUGUAGAAGUGCCCACUUUGUCUCCUCCCUCCUUUUUCAGCCUUUCUUUUUCGUUUCCUCUUUUCUACUUCUUUCAAAUUCAAAUGAGGAUGGUCUUUAUUAUAUCAUAACCUAACAAUAAUUAACUAAGUGGUUGUACAUAUUCACAAAUUCUUCCCAGAGAAGUAUAUCAAUUCUCAUGGUGUAUAUAUAAUUCCAAUAUUAGUCUUAAUUUUUGUGCUGAUAAACUGAUUCGAAUAAAGAACACACAAAAGUGUUUAUGAAUUUUUUUUAUUUAGAUUUUCAUAAAAGCAUACAAUAUGCAUCUAGUGAUGAAUGAAUAAACAUAAUUAAAUAUUCAUAUAUUAGAGAAUGUUAUAUUUCACAAUUUCAGAUAUUCUUCUUGAUCUUUUUAGAUCUUUUUGAUUAUUCUCGAUCGAUCUUUCUUGAUAUGGUCUAUCUUCUCUCUCGGUCUCUUAAUAAAUUCAAAAGACAUAUUAUCGAAAAACACACAAAAUGACCUUUCAUUACAACUCUUAGAUACUCAUCAAAUUAAUCUCUAGCAGUUAAAUAUACAAUAGAUUUUUUUUAUUGUUAUAAGGGAUUUGAUUUAGGGGUUAGAAAUGAGUGUGGGGCUUCAAACAGUUUUGAUAAUUCCUCAUGCUGUGGAUACAACAGCGGGUAACCUUAUUCUUCAUAUAGUAGAUUGUAGAUAUAAUAUGUGGAUUCACACAAUACACCACAAGAGAAGAGAGUAAAAAUGUCCGAUCAUAAUGCAUAAAACCAAGAUUUUCGUUUCUGAAUUGGUCCAAAAUAUAAACCAAUGGGCUUAAUAAACUCUAGACCCAUAUCAAGCAAUAUCCAGUGUAUGAUGAUCUUAGGUUGCAUAUAAUCAGAAACACAGAUACACGUAAACAAACGAAGAAAUAUAACUAUUAAAAUAUUUAGACUUGGAGAAGUUUUAGAAACGUAUAUACAAAUAUAUAUAGAUAUAUAUAUAUAUAUAUAUAUAUAUAUAUACAUAUACACAGUUGAUCUACCGAUGAGUUCAUUUGGUUAUCUUUCUUUGGUUUAUCUAAGAGAGAAAACCAAAUAAGAGUGGUGUUUUUUUGUAAACUCUACAAAAAGAAUUGUCAAAAAGUAGAAAAUAAAACAUGUUAUUCUUCGAUAAAUAAUAUAGUGAAUUUUAUUUCAUGUCAAAUCAGGAUAUUAAAAUGGCAACAAAUAUUGAAAGAUGAUAAUAAAAUACAAGAAAUCUUUCAUGGUAAUUAUUCAAAAAUGAAAGCAAGUAAGCAUUAAAUAUCAGUUGACAAAUAAUCAUUCAUUCGUGUACCGUGAGUUUCUAAAAUUGAAAAAAUAAGAAUUUUUGAAAGCAUGUUUCCAGUGUAUUUCCACAAAUUUUCAUGAGAUUCUGAUUUCGAAAUGUUUCUGAAACAUUAAACAAUUUUUCAACGGAAUUUCCAUGCAGCAUAGAUGUUGAUGCCAAAUAGAUCAGUUUUUUUUUUAUAAUAGCUUUACCAAACAACAGCUACUGUGUAUUUACACGUACGAAAGAUUAAACAUCAAUAUGAAACCUAGGAAAGACGGAACACAGACUACUUGGGUUCUUCUAUUCAUCGUGUUUUCACUUCAGAUUUGGAUCUAAACCAUAUCUCUCUCCAUCAUAAGAUUGACCAUAUUAGAAUAAAAAUAUAUUCCAUAUUGUAGUUAUCCAUAUUAACAUAUUCCUAUUGGCAUUAGGUCAAUCCCCAUGUAUAAAUACCAUACUUUGUAUAUCAAUACAAUCAAGCUUUUCCUAAAUAUUUCAGAUCCUUGAUAACCUUGGAGCAGCUUAUGCUGAGCUGGCAGCUUAAGUAAAUACUCUAUCAGAUUCAGUCUUUGUAGUUGGAGGAAGAAUCACUAUAAAACAUGAGCUCGACGUUUAUGAGAAGACCAGCUUUGGAUUUGGACUGAGUCGAGAGACUUGAGGGAGAGUAGCUGGGUUAGGCCAGUGUUCUUGAGGAGAUUGUGCUCGGGUCAAGCCGACGCAUCUCAACCGUUCUCAUUCAGAGUUGUGAUACUUUUCUUCUUCAUUCUAUAGAUCGUUUACAAGCUUGUGAUUGAGUUUAGAGAGUUGAUUGUGAGAGAAUCUAUACUUAAACUCUAUCAAUCCGUUCAUAAGAAACCCCAUCAAAUUCCAACGCACAAGAGUCCAUCUUCCUUGACAUCCACGUAAGUAGUCACAGCACCUGGGAGCCCCAUCUUGCAUGUCUAUCAUCUCUUUAUCUCUCGUUAACAUCCAUAAUGAGCUAUUUCUUUUCUCUUAACAUUCGAAAACAAAGAUCCCAAAGUUGACAUACCUGUUCAAACUUGAUUUGUAGCUCUACGCGACGAUUCUUCUCUCGUUGACAUUUAUUUUUUUUUUUUUUUUGAAAAAGGGCUUUCAAUUAAAAUGCAUAAGAAAAUACAAGUAUGAGGUUUAACUCAUAAGUUUGAAAAAGUUUGCAACAAGCAUAGAGUUAGAGAAACUCUAGAUGAAGAUUCACAUUUGAAUCUUAAAAGGACAGAAACAGAAAGACACUAACUAGUGGUUGUGGUUCCCUCGGCCGCGACGACCUCUUUUACCUCUUCCACUAACAUUUGUCCAUUCCAUACCUUGAAACUUUUGUGUUGGUUUUAUUUCCCUUCCGCCUCUAGUUAAGUUAUAACCAGAAGGCUCUCCAACCACAUCAAAACCAGGUCCUUUUCCAUAAGUAACCGGAAUCUCCGAUUCUCUAUAGAAUUGUUGUUGAUUGUGGGUGGGAGGAGUGGUAGGGUCAAUUUGUUGCUCAUUUGCAGAAGAGCUAGGGUCUUCCACAAUGAUAGAUUGUGAUGGAAUGGCUUCCAUAAUAGGUGAAUUAGAGGGAGCAACAUUUGCAGCUGCUAACAUAGGGAUAGUGACAUCAAUCUCUGAGCAAGAAGUAGAAUGUACCUCAUGCGAAUCUGUGAAAGGAGUGACAACUGAAACCUCAGAAGGUGUAGUGAUCAAAGACUUUUCUGGAGUCUCAAGUGCUUGUUGGGUAGAGAGCGAGCCCGAACAUGGCUCCAAAUUUUCGACAAGUGUACUGAAGGAGUUCUGUGCCAAAUGAACUAUAUUCACCACUGGAAUCUCUUCGUUGGUAACCUGAGGUUCCUUAGUAACAGUAGCAGAAUCAUGAGGCUUAGGAGGCAGUAAACACCUUUUCUCUUUAUGGCCAAGUGCUCCACAUCUAUCACAAGCACUUGGAAUCCAAGAAUACUCCACCUCCACUAAAAAGAUAUUGCCUUGCUUGUCAUCAAGCGCAAUUAGCUUCGGAAAUGGCUUAUCUAACUUAACUUCAACUAAAAUUUUCGCUUCUCCCAUAUUUGUCAUAUUUGCUGGAUCUAAGCGAGGCUUGUGCGUAAGCAUUGGCUCUCCCAAACCCGAUGCUAUGUGACUAAUGCCUAACCUAGAAAAACAUGAAUCUGGGAUAUUCUUGAGGUUGACCCACACUGGUAGCGUAGAAAUCUCUGGGAUUUUGAAAGAGGUUACCGGAUUCCAAGGAGACACAAAGAGGAGGCAAUCAUCAACAUGCCACACACCUCGCUGGAUAACCCAUUUACGAGUAUUUUCAUGAGGAAUAUGGAACAAAAACGACGAGUCCCCUAACUUUCGGCAGGUUAUCCUACAUUCUCGACCCCAUAACCUAUUCAACACAGCAUGAAUAAGACCUCCAGGCGGGCUAGAACACCUAUGAAACUGUCCUACAACAUAUUCUUCCUUAUUCUCAGGUCCUAGCUUAAGUACCUUGGAGGGGAUUGUCACUUGAGGAGUUCCAUCCAGUCGGUAUGUUGGUUCAGUGGCACGAAAUAAGUUUCUAGAAGAUUGGUUCAUUCGGGCAGCCCAUGGAAACCGAAGACUACCAUCUUCCUUGAGAGCUGGAGGCGGAAUUUUAUCUACCGGCAUUUGCGUCACUGAUUUCUUAGGAAACAUCACAUGACUCUUCUUCUUAGGACCGUUGACAAUAGCUUCGCCAAUUGAAGGCCAAAAUGAAUCUAUUUGACUUUGUAGCAUCUCUGUAACUCCGAACCUUGGAGUUCCAGGUUCUGGAGGAGUCGGUGGUGGCGUGAAAUGAAGUGGCUUUGACCACGCACCCAAGGAGCGAAUAAAGGUGGGACCUUUAUCUGAAUCGUCAUCACUCGCUUCUUCAUCAGUCUCGUUAUCACCCGCUUCUUCUUCUAUGGUGUUAACAACACUGGCAGCAGCAUUACUGAGAGGCCCAGAGACAGGAGGAAGAACGAUGGCCGGAGGAGGAGCUUCUUCAUCGAUCUCGUGGCGGAGUUGGUCAACCAAAUCCGUCGGCGGAGGAGUCAUUGGAUCUUCGAUCCGGGGAGAGAGAGGCUUCAGUCGAGUCUGGAAAGUCGACGGAGGCCAGAGUCGACGGUUGUGCCGUCGAUUUGAUGCCGAGGAGACAAGGGUUUGAAGUUCGCCGCGAGAGAGAAAAAGGGUCGAGCGCGUGUAUUUAUGUUACUGAUUUGGCUAUCAACAAUUAUGUUCUCUCGUUGACAUUUAUCAUCGUAAGUUGUAGAUUGAAGGGAGUAGAAGAGCAUUAUGAAGCCCAAAGCAUAGGUUGUUGUCUUGACAUGAAAGUGAAGAAGAAGGGAAGCUUUUGUAGAGAUGGAGAGAUGGCGUUGACACCUAUAUUAUUACAUAGGCCCAUAAUAUUCAAGAUCUCAGCUCAAAUUAGUCGAAAUAUGAUCCUACCAAGAGAUGAUGACUAAAUGGACCAUUGUUACAAGUUCAGGCCCAUAAUAUUCACUAUAUCGGCCCAAAUUAAUCCAAAGACUGAUCCUAGCAGGAAGAUGAAUAGAUAGAUGACUGAUAAAUAUCAAAUAGUUUGUUCUUGAUGAAAAGUAUCUGUUGGGAACUUCGAAUGAUUCAUUGACAGAUGAAGCAUUUGACCAGACAAAGGUCAUUGGAAAGUAGUUUUUCGUUCGUUCUUUUGCGUAAAGCAAAAGUAAAGUAAUAAAAUUUUAAACAUUAAACAUUAAACAGGCACAUGAUCUUGGUUGACAAUAUUGACAGCGGAUGAAACAAACAUGACGGCCAUGAACUAAGAGCUUUGACCAAAUCUUAAGGUAAACCAGAUUUCAGAAUCAGAAGAAGAUAUGUAUAUAACUGUCGUAUCUCCAUAGCUUAUUAGCUUUGUCUAUCAAUUGUUCUAUCACUCGAUUUUUUAGUCUUUAAUUUCCACUUCUAGGUCUGAAAUUGUUCUUUUUAUGAUUAUAUGGUGUGAAUUAUUUUUCAACUUAGAACCGUUAGCAGUAGCACUGAAAAUGGUUAAAAUUAUUAAAGAGGGUUGGAUUACAAAUAUAUAUUCGAAUAUUUUCAUGAGAUUUUGAUAGAAUAUGCAAAUAGUUUUGUUAGGUAAUCCGUAAAUAAUACUCCCCUCUGUUCAUAAAUAUAAGAUGUUUAGGUAGAAACACACAUAUAAGAAAACUAUUUUUUUAUCUAGAAAGCAUCAUUAAAAUUAUAAAUCAAUGGUAUUCAACCAAUUAAAAAAUAAAUUAUUAAAAUAUGAUUGAGUACACAGUUUUAAUAAAGUAAAAGUUAUCUAGGAAAAUGAAAACAUCUCAUAUAUUAGAACAUCAAAAUUUUGUAAAAAUCCUAGGUUUAGGAACAAAAAAAAUAUAUACAAGACAAAUAGUUAUAAUCUCCACCCCUUUCUAUAUAAACUUGAUAAUACCCGUACAUAGAAAAGCUUGCAGCUUGCAGUUCAAGAAAAGGGAUUGAAUUUAUUUAUGUUCGUGCUCCUUUCCAAAAGCAUGAAAGUAUAUGAUAUCGCUUUUUGCUUGUAUAACAUACUUACAUAUUCUUUGGGAUCUAUGAACAUUUUUAACCCAACUAGAAGAACUUCAGAUAACAUUUAUAAAUUGAAAUUCCCAGAUGAUUUGAUCAUUUCAGUCCCGCUUAAUCUAGUUUUAUGCUGCUAAUAUAUACACCAUAUCUCAUUUUCUAGUGUAGAGAAAUAUGAACUACAACCGAAGUAGACUUUAGAUAACCAAUUGAAUAUAAAAAUUAAUUUAAUUGUAUAGAGAAAAGAAUGUACCACAAAGCUAUAUAAAUAUGUAGAAGUUGACAUCAAAUAACUUCUGCUUUUUUGUUUUUUUUUUUGCUUUGAGUAUAACAUCUUCUAGACAUAGAAUUUCUUGACCGAAAAAGACAUAGAAGUUCAUUUAUUGAAAGAUCUAUUUGUAGUUGUAGACAUGUCACAUGUUCAUGAUUGAUUUUGUAAAUCACGUGGUUCAAAAAACAAACAGAAUUAUUACACAAAGGUCAGUAGCCUGGACAUUUUACCGAGAUCCAAAAAUCCAAACCUAAAGUGACCCGAAAAUAUCUGAUCUGAAACUAAACCAAAAAUUUAUUACCUAUUGGAUCCAAAAAAUUUAUACCGAAACAACCGGAACCAGAAACAACCGACCCAAAUAGAUCCGACCCGAAUAGACCCGACCCGAUAAAAACUGUUUCUACCCGACUUAAACAUAUGAAUAUCCAAAACUAUGAUUUUGUGAGUUUUAUUUUCGUUAUUUUAUUUUAUGAUUUAGUUAAAAUAUAUUUUUGUUAACAAUCUUGAUUAUUAUUUUUGUAGCAUUUUCAAGUAAUAUAGAAUUUCAAUAUAAAAAUUAGAGUUUAAAAAUGUUUUACUUUAAUUAUUAAUAAUUUAUAGUAUUUUGUAAAAUUUUAGAUAGAUAUAUGACAUAUUUAGAUUAAAUUUGAUGGGGUUUGAGUAUUUCGUGUUUUUCAGAUCUUAAAUAUUUGAAUUCGAUCUGGACCUGAUAUAGAUCCGAAAGUUACGAAUAUUUUACAGAUAUUUUAGUUAUAGACCCGAAUCGAUCCAAAUCCGAAAAAAACUAACCCGAAUCCGAAUCAAAAAUUUACAAAAAAUUAUUAGAUCCAAAUGUCUAAUACCCAGAAAACUUAGACCCGAAAUAAACAGAUCCGAACCGGACCUGAAGACCUAAAGUCGAGACCUAAAGGUCGGCUUUAUUUAAAAGACCUAAAGGUCGGCUUUAUUUAAACUUCAUCAACAUAUGGCCCAUCCUUUUUACAAUUGUCGCCGUGAUGUCAUUUCCUUUUUUCUUUUUGAACAAUGAUGGCAUUUCCUUAUUUUGAUUUUUGAUAAUGAAAAUACUGUACAUGGUUUCUAAAAGGUAUCCAUUCAUCCUCAGAGGGUUAAGUAAAAUUAAAUUUACAGUUAAAAAGUUGCUACAACAACAAUGUAUUAUUUAAGUUGAACACACACACAAAAUACGAUAGAUAAUAUUUGGAAAAAAAUUGUUAAAACGGAACCAAAAACACAGCUACAUUGUCCAUUUUCCAUAAAUAUUAUUUUGGUCCAUUUUUGACAAAAAAUACUUUUGGCAUACUUUAAAAAGUCAUAAAUUAUUUUAAUAAUCAGAAAAAUGUGAAAAUAUACAUAAUAUAUAAACAAGAAACAAUCAUAUGAAAAAUAUUUUGGUUGACUAAAUAUUUGAGAACACAAUUUUAUUUUCUUGAUCUACAGAAAACAGAAAAUACAAUAUAUUGUUUAUGGCUUCGUAGAUCGUAGUUUCAGAUAACUCCAUAGAUAUCUGCAGCAUCUAGAUUGCAAUAUCUACUUAAUGGUUAAUAUUCUACCACCGCAGAAUAAAACGGCUGCAAAUUUUCCUUUGUUCUGAACUACAAUACGUAGAUUUCGAAAAUUACUAUGUACUAUUAUAUCUACUAACACGAAACCAUAAAAUCUGCCUAUAUACAAAUAUUCUACGAGGGUUUGAUUGUGUUAUAUACCAAAAUAAUAUAUUCUAACACAACAUGAUUAUAUAGUCUACUGGUGUAUUUGCAGUCUACGCAUGUCAAAACGUAUGUUCUGCCAAAUUCGUAAUGUAAAUAUUCUCUAAUUCUCUCCAAUUCUGUUAAGAGAAUAUUUACCAAAUCAUAAUUUCAAAUAUUUACGUGUCUACAUUGUUCAUUUGGCAUAAUUUUAAUAUAUUUUGUUUAUAAACUGUACAUUUAAAUUUACAAACAUAUAUUUCAAAAAUAUCAACUAAAACUUUUUAAUCGAUAUUCAACAAUUUUUAGUGUAUGUUAACUAUUUUAUAAAUUAUUUAAAUAUCUUAAACUUUGUUUAAAUAUUUUAAAUGUUUAAUCAUAUUUUAUAAAUAAUUUUAUACUUUAAACAAUUAUAAUAAGUAACACUUAUAUACUAAUAUUUUUACGAUACUUAUAUACUUAAAUUCAAUUAUCACUUUUAAUAUAUAAUGUUAAUUAAAAAUAAAAUAUUCGCUUGCAUAGCAUGGACAAUAACAUUUAUAUAUUCCCUGUGAUAUACACAAUUGAAUUUCAAAUAAUUCUAUGAAUUGUGACCAAAUAUACACGUUUUAGGAAGUUGGAAUAUUUCAAAUAUUCUUAGAAUAUUUUCUUAACUGACAUUUCCUAAAUUUUCGCAAAAAUUAGGUUUUCUUAUCCGUAGAAAGCUCUAUCUACACUGCGUAGAACGAAGACAAAAAUUCUAUAAACAGAUUCUACCUCAUAUAGCCGUUAGAGUAAUGUCUAUAUUUCACAUUUCGGGAGUUUUAGAAUACAUAAUAAAAGUAGAAGUUGCAUUCGACAGAAAAGUAGCUAUCUUUACAAUUAGUAGAAUUCACAUUUCUCCUAUUUAUAAUUUUAAGUAAAAAUAGAUUAUUCUUUCUAAAGAAAGUAGAUGAACUUGUUUAAUCUAGAAUUCACUUUCUACUAACUCAUUUUUCGUAGAAUAUGAAUUCUACUUUUAGUAGAAGAUGAAUUCUACUUUUAGUAUAAUAUAAUUUUAAAAUUUAAUUUAUCAAGUUUUUCAACAAAAAAAUACCAGUUUAUGUAUAUAAAUGUUUUAUUAAUUAUUUCCAUUUUUUACAAUUUUUUUAAUUCAUAAAACUAUUUAUUUCAUUUUUAAAAAAUAUACAAAAAAACAACCAUACUAAAUUUUUGUUCAGUUUUGUCAAUUUUUUCAAUUUUCAAAAUAAAAAGAAAGUUGUUGACGUUUGAGUAUGAGCUCAAAAUUUAUUAACCAUGAAUAACUAAGGUCAUGAUUAUCGCCGUAUAUUAAUAAGGUUCUUAAGAGAUGGGUCCCGCAGAUUUUAUUAACCGGUUGCAGAAGUCGCGAGAUAAGAGUCGCUUUUGGUAUGUUUCUUGUACUGUUGUGGACCCCACUGAUACAUGGUGGUCCGCUAUUAGUGUUUUUUUUUUUAAAUCAUACAAAACAAAAGAAAAUUUUUUUUUAAGAAACCCAAACCAAUUUUGGCGAUAAUGGUGCUCUAAGAGCAUCUCCAACCCUACUCCAAAACCCACUCCAAACUCCGUUUUGCAGUAAAAUCAUCUCCAACCCCACUCCAAAAUGGAGUAAUAGACAUGAUUACUCCAAAUAUGGAGUAAACCAACUCAUUACUCCAAAAUGGAGUUGAACUUUUUUAUUUAUAAAAUGGUCCUCCACCUUUAAAUAUUUUCAUUUUCAGUAAAAUUGUUAUAAAUAAGUAUAUUAAUAUUAUUUUACUAUAUAUAUUAUAAAAUUUACUGUUAACAUUUCUUAAUUAUAUAUAUAGGCAUCUAAUGAACUAUUUUAUGCAACAAAAUAUAUAUAAUAUAAAACAUAACAGAUCAUACAUAUAAAAAAUAAAAGAUAAGCACCAUACAAAAGAAAUAACAUAAAAUAAAUCUUAUAACAAAGAUAAUUGCUUAAUAAUCAGGUAAAUCACCUCCAUAUCCAUUAAAUUUAUUAAAGUGGUCCACUAUAGUGCAAACUAUUCAAGAGCCAGUAGGUCGAAAGAAAAAAUAUUUUGCUAUGCAACAAGAAGCAUGUAGGAAAGAUGUAGAACGCGCAUUUGGAGUUCUCCAGUCUCGGUUCGCUAUUGUGAAAGGACCUGUUCGUUUCUGGAAAAAAAAUGUACUCCAUGAUAUUAUGACUACAUGUAUCAUCUUACAUAACAUGAUAAUCGAGGAUGAACGUGAUCUCGAGGCGCCAAUUGAAGUUGAAAGAGAAGUUCCGUCUCCAGAAGUUGAAAUUGUAGGAAAUAAUAAUGCGAGAUUCCAAGAGUUUCUUUCCCGUUUCAGAAAAAUCAAAGAUAAAGAAACUCAUUUUUUACUUCGAAAUGCAUUAGUUGAUCAUUUGUGGGAAAAUUAUACUAAUUCUAAUGAAUAAUUUAAGUUGAUGUAUUAUUGUGUUUAAGCUAUGUAAUGUAAUUUUUAAUGUAAUAAAUGUUUUCUUUAUAAACCUUGUCGAGUAUUUAUAUAAUAAAAAAUUAAUUGUGGUUAAUAUUGUAUUUAAUAUAAUUAUUACAAUCUGAAAAUGGACUGUUUUGCAAAUAGUAUAAAUGAAAAGUGAUAUUAUUAAUUUUUAAAUAAAUAUAAAAUAUAAAAUAUUAGAAAUAUUCUAUUUUAGAGUGAAAAAUGAAGUAAUACAUUGGAGUAAAACUUAACUUUAUUUUGGAGUUACUCCAUUUUGGAGUAGAAAAUGGAGUAAUACAUUGGAGAUGCUGUAAUGCCCCAAGACCUAACUCGCGCGAGCCGCUUGGUAAUUCGGGAUGACUUGUGACUAAGCUAAUGGAGACUGGAGUACACGCGCGGGGUCCACCAACCUAACUCCCGCGAGCCGCUUGUAUAUUUUAUUUUUUUGAUUAACGACAAAAAUUUAUUCGGAAUAUAUUAGCUUGAUUACACCGUCGGAUCAUCUCUCAAUCGCCGGCGGCACUCAGUAGUGGACAGGUGAUUGAACUCUCUUGUUUCUAUUUGUUGAAGUUCGCUCAGUGAGAAUUGAUUGUGGCGGGAUGAUGGAGAGAUUGUGAGGUAAAAUCGGAAGGAGUGUUGAGGAGAUGGAUGGAUGAUAGAGAAGGCUCGUUCGUAGCCGUCAGGCGGAUUUCUCAGGGUCUCGAACGCGGAACCGUUUACACUUCAUCUUCUCACUCUCUUACACUGGUUUCUGGAUUAUUUGCUAUGAUAGUAUGAUUAGAUGCCUUAUCUUUCGUCUAAUGCGCUUAUAGAGAUUAGUGUUAGUUAAUUGAAUUUUAGUAAUUUGACAUAGUUUUGUAGAGUUUGCUGAUGUUUUUAUCGGAGUUUUGGAGAUAUAGAGGAGCUUGCUUUCACUUAAAAUCUGUGAGAAACAGCUAAAAGAUGUUUGCAGAGUUAGUACUACGUACUCAUCUCAUGUAAGUGCGUCAAGGUUGCUAAUAACUUCUACACUGUUGUUGGAACUUGCAGGAGGAAUGCUUGCAGAACCGUAUUGAUGUAGCUUAUGACACCACCAUACCUCUGCAUCAGGUACACAUUUCACGUCAGGGUUAUUUUUUCAUUUAAAGACAGUGGACUUGAUCCAUUAAAUUGGAGAUGGUAGAAUACUCUAGUUUUAAAAAGCGAUUGCUUUUGGCGCCAAAUGCAUGAUUGCAUCAUAAGUCCAUAUGUAACAGCUUUUAUAAUUACUUCUUUUGCUCUUAGGAAGCUCUGAGGAAUCUUUCCUUCCCUGAAUAAGAGGUUCAUGGGUUGAUAUCUGAGCAGUGGAAAGAGAUGGGUUGGCAGGGCAAAGAUCCGUCAACAGAUUUUAGGUUCAAGGCUGACUUUCCUCGCCAUUUUUUUAUUGAUAUUUAUAUUUUGCUGCUUUCAUCCUCUUUGACUUACGGUGCAGUGUCUUUCAGGGGUGGUGGUUUCAUUUCUCUUGAAAACUUGCUGUACUUCGCUAGAAACUUUCAGGUAAUACCCCAUAUGCUACCUUUGCAGACGUUUCAGAGAAGAAUCGAAUUAUUUUCCCUAAUAAUUUUCACUUUCCAUCACAGUAUUAUAUAUUUAUAUGUAUUCAUGUGCCAUCAAAUAUAACAUUUGCUCGCUCCAUAUAAUGAGCUUGUAGUUGUUUCACAGUUUAUUCACCUCGUUUUGUAACGCCGCAUGUCCAUAUGCUGCAGAAAUCUUUCCAGGACCUUUUGAGGAAGCAGGUUGGGGAAAGGUCCGUAUGGGAAUAUCCUUUUGCUGUUGCUGGUAUCAAUUUAACAUUCAUGCUCAUUCAGAUGCUUGACCUUGAAGCAGGUAUAUGGCCACAAGAAUCUACUUACCCACCGUGACUGUAACAGACACUAUUUGCAUGAGUACCUUAUUGAGACAAUUAGGGGUUUACUAACAAUAUUGUCUUUGAAACUUUUCACAGUGAAACCUCGAACAGUAACUUUUCUGAAGUUCCUUUCUGGUAAGCUCUGACAUAAUGCUGUUCCGUUGCCCCUCAUACAGUGCUUUUUGCUUUUCGCCAUAACAAUAUAUAGUUUGCACACAUGGUGCUUUGAUUGGAUUUUGACACUGAUUCAGAUAAGUUUGUGUGGAUGUAAGCAGAGAACGAAUCAGCCUUUGACAUUCUUUAUUGCAUUGCAUUCAAGCUAAUGGAUCAGCAGUGGCUUUCAAUGCACAUACAUGGAAUUCAACGUAAGUACUCUAAAACAUAUCCAUACGUUGUGUUUGCAACAGAGAUAGAUAGUGUUUUUUGGUAACUGAAUUGGUAACAUUGUAUAUGGAUGACACAGACGGUGAUGAAAUCAACAAGGAGACAGCUGGAGAGAGACCUGAUGCUGGAAGAUAUAACGCAUCUUGAAGACUUGCCCUCCUACGCUCUUCUCUCUCAAUAGUGUGUGGGGUUAGGAUGAAUCUCAAAUUGGUUGUGGUUAAAAGGAGUGUGUAGUUAGGAAAAGAAUGGGGUUCGUUUUCUAACAACGUUUGAGUUUUUUAGUAACUGUGUGUAGUGUUUUAAUUGAUGGAAGACGAUUGGGUGAUGUUGUCAGCGUGUGGUGGUAAAAACAUUUGGUUUUAUCUCCAAAGCCAAAAGCAGUCUCCUCCGUAAAAAGGAAGAUUCUUAUGGUGGCGGCUACCACUUCAUCUGUUUGUGUAAAAGCUUUUACCCAUUGGAUUACUUAUAGAGAUAACAUGUGAUGCACUCAUAAUCGGAAGAAAAGGCAAAAUAAUAAAAUAUUAUAUAUUAGACAAAUUAACAGAUUGUCUUAUUGAUGAUCAUGAUGAUGGUUCCAUUUGCAUAAAUAAAUGUUAGGGUAAAUGCUAAAUUAAUCAUAGUCGGUUCUGGGAAUAAUAAAGUGAAAUAUCAGUCUCGUGUCUCCAAUUUUUUUAUGAGUUGAUAAUAUACAUAGAAGAAAUAGGUAUUCCAAUAAUUAAAAAUUGUUAAUUUUCUUAUGAUAUUGUUUUUAGUCCCAAAAAUUUCAGAGCCAACCAUGAAAAGAAACUCAUUAGCAAAAUAACACCAGCACCAGCAAGAUCUCGACCACCAAAUAGCUCAUUAGUCCUCUAGCAUCACUUGAUGGCAGUCUGGUUGACCCUGACUCGGCUUCGUGUGUUACUUGACAACUUUCUCAAAACAUGUGAUCUCAAAGUAGAUAUAUUACUUUUCCUUGUAUUUUAAUUUGAAAACUCUUUAUUAAAAAAAAGAAGAAUAAGCUAAUCGAGAAUACUAACUACGCUAAAAUUGCAUUGCUUAAUGUGAUCUUAUAUACCAUUAACAACCACCACUAGAAUAAACAUUGUUAAGUAAUCAUUUCUUUUAGGAAUUAAUCGUUAGUCAUAGUUGUUGAUUCAGCUAUUACGCGUUUCAUAUUGACAAAGUAACAUUUAUAAACUAUAAUUGAACACGAGGGCGGGGCAUGGUGAUUGGUGGAGAAGAGCUGUCCAUGUGAGUCCAAAACCCUUAAGUUGAUAAUAUAUAUGGAGAAGACAUAUGAUAACGAAUGAUGAAAUGGUUCCACACGGUAGAAAAAGGAAAUGGAAAUUAAUAAUAAUUUUAUUAUAACAAUAAAAAAGAAGUGAAUGUGAUAAUGAUAAACUGAUAACGCCAAAUAAUAAAACCCUAAUCAUAAGAGAUGAUGACGUGGGAAACACACUCAAAUUCUCUUACAGAGUUACAACCAAAACAAAGUAGAUCAAAAGCAAAGCACUGACUCCACCCUGGCUCUCUAAACCAUUCACAUCCACAAACCAUAACCCAACACCAUCGAGACUCCGACCAAAACGUAACUCAUCACUCCCUUAGAUGCACCACUUGCCUUCGGUGGAGGAGGAGAAGUUGACCCUGAAGCCGGUGUACCUGGAGUUCCGGCAGCCGGCGGUGAUCCCGGUGUGGAAGGAGUUCCGGGAGUUGUAGACGGCGGCGUGGGGGCUGCUGGAGUUCCGGAAGAGGCGGCUACGACCGUAACGGCUAGCUUCAUGCCAUUUGCACAGUGACCAGGUGUAGGGCAGAUGAAGUACUGUGUUCCUACUUUUUCGAGAUCAAUCGUGGUGUCUCCACCAGAAUGAGUAUCGAUUGGUGUGCCUCCACAGCUGUCGUAACCGGCUUUGUUCACUUCGUUCACUGAGUGUGUAGGACCAUACUUGAACUCUGUUUUUAAAACCAACAUCCAAGUAAAACGUUAAGGAACAUUAAAAAAAACAAAAAGUAGAUAGUUUCCUUGCGUAAGAAGUUAUCUCUGUUUGGAAGUGUAAGCUGGAACCAACCUAUUGGCAAAAGAUUGUAACUAAGGAUCAUGAUUGUAACUAGAACUUAAUACUUAUAGUUACAAAACUUUGAGUUUGUGCCUAAAUAUAAAUUUCAACAGGACUGAAUAAUAACGUACCUAGAGUAUCACCAACUCUGAAAGUCUUUCCUUUAACCCAAGUCGUGUAGUCCACACCACUAUCCCAUUGAGAAGCGUCUCCCACCGUGUACGUCACAGCGCUAGGAAAAGAGCGGUUGCAGCCAUCUUUGACAAACCAUUAAUUGCCAUAUUUGUUAAGAAGAGAGAUAUAAUUGAAAAGAUUGUGAUGAGAAGAAUUGGUUAUGGUGGCUAUUAUAUAACAAAGAGAUAUGUGAGGACUAUGGGAAUUAAGUAAAUGGAACUGUGUGAAAAGUCGCCGCCCUUGCCAAAUCAUUCAACAACUUCAUCCUCUCUUUUUCAUUUCCGUUUUAUUUUUAUUCAUUUCUUUGUUUGGUAAGGCAUUGUCUUAAUGCUUACCAACUAUUUGUUCUUAUAUAUUCAAAACUAAAAGAUUAAGGAAUGGAUAACUAAUUGAAUUGUUCCGUGGCUUUCUUUUUUUUUUUGAACUGAGGCUUCAUCCGUGGCUUUCUUUGAUGUAAAUUAUAUGUACACAUCAACCUAACGAGUGGCUUCUUCUUAUUUGGUUUCUUAUGUUUUCUACCUAAAAGUGUGUUGAGAACAUGGGUUCGUUAAUAUGCUUCUAUGUAAAACGCAAAUACUAAUGUUUAUCACAUGAAUAUUGUAGUAUUUAUUGGUUGACAAAAUAAAACUAUUGAAUUUCUUAAUUAGUUAAUGUUGUAGUAUCUGCAGAUGCCAUGAUUUUCCCUAAAACUUAAUCAAAAUGUCAGCUUACGAGAGUUUUACAUAGUGCCUUACAAACAUGAUAUAUGAAGUUUAAGCUAUAUUUUCUCUGGAGAAAUUUCCUAAAGAAACAUUCUAAUUUUAUCACAACAAGUUCUUUUCUAUUUCAUACAAACUGUUUAAAGUGUAUGAAUUCAUAUAAAAUUAUUUUUAGUUCAUAUAUUUUUGGUCUAGUUGCCAAUAGCCAAUGGUAUAUCUUCUACUUAUGUUUGAUGGGGUUUUGUUUGUGUGAGUGGAGUUUGUACGUCUAACAAAGACUUUCUUUACACGGUCUUCUACGUUGAACGAAGACUAUCAAUGAAACUCCUAAAAGAUUAUUCUUUUAAUCAUAUAAAAAGAUAUGAAAGCAUUUGUGUACUGAAUCUGAUCAUUGUAUUAUUGGAAGGUUUGUUUGAAGCCAUUGUGUCAGAUUUUAUAUUUUCAACUUCUUGGGUCCAACCGGGUCAGAAGUUAUACAGAAGAAAAGAAAACAAAUAUUCAAAAUGACUUCCAAAAUGCAUGAUUAACUCAGAUCUCUUAGCCGGAGUUCUUAACUCAUGAUUUGAUAUUUUUUUUAUUUUUUUUUGUUUUUCUUUUAUGCUUUUCGGCUAAAAAAUAUUUUUUUAUAUCUUUUAUUUAAGAGACGGUUCUUAGUUUUUCUUAGUUUUUAACUAAGAAAAACUAAAAACUGUUUUUUAACCGAAGCUAAGACCGGGGUUAAUCAUGGUCUAACUCUUUUUUUAAAAAUUAAUGAGAAUUGGGUAUUAGGGGGAAGAUGCCUAGCACGCUCCAAAGGCUAUUUUAGUAUAUUUGUCAAUGAUAAAAGAUAGGUGUUGUGUUAGGUGAAACAAAUCUUUACAAUAUUCGAAACCAAAUCGUACAACCACUAUGCAUCCCUAUCAAUUCUCUGACCAAAACAAAAGUUAACUAGGAGACCGAGAAAAGAAAAACAUAUUUAGCAGAUUCAUUGUAGUGUUCAAAAAGGGGAGGUUGAUUAUAGAGAUGAAAAAAUAGUUGUUGAGUUAGAGAGGGAGCUUCUAGAGGAGGUCCAGAGCGUGUCAUGUUGGAAUUUGAUGGUCGUAACUAUUUUUUAGCUGAUUUAUACUAUUGUAGAUUACGAAAAAAUAUUAAAAGACUACUCUACAACUUACAAAUCUGCAUCAUAUUAAACCGCUUUAUGAAAUUCCAUUUUAACAGUUUUACUUGUACCAUACAUGAUACAUAAUAUCUCUUGUAAACGAUUUCUAUUAGUCUGGUAUAAUUGAUGAUAAAUCAUAUUUUUUGGAACUCUUAGUAAAACUACUAGACUAACAAAAGAUUUCCACUAUUCUAACUAUUUAAAUAAUAAAAAAAAUUGCUGUAAUUUUUUAGUUUUCAAAUUAUAAAAUUAUAAUCUGGUGAAUCCAAUGUAUAUUUCAACAGAAUUAACAGAAUUACGUUGUUGUGAAGCUAGCAAAUAAUCACUUUAGAAACGUGGUCUUCUUUUCCAAAUAGUUACCAUGACAGAUUCACAGAAUAUUUGUUGAGCUAUGCACAUCAGUGAAUGAGACGAAAGAAAAUAACAAAUUAAAAAAAACAGAAUAUACAGAAAAAGUUUAGUUGACUGACCUGGUAAUGUGAAAAAAAAGACUGACCUGGUAAUAGACUAAGAUUAUGAAUGGAGACAUUUAAUUCGCCGCUGCGGAUUUCGAAACUUUACUGAAAAACGCUUCAAUGUCACCAAUCACAUAGUUGCUCUUUUUUUUUCCGUCAUCUGAAAUUUUAAUUGAAGAACACAAACUUACAGAGACCAUGACAAUGGAGAUUACCACUCCAAACAAAAGAUCUAGAACAUAAAAACUGCCAACAAACCGGCGAUUAGAGGAUACACUAAUCCCAGAGACAGAAGCCGGAGGUUGAAUUAUAAUCAACCCCAGAGCCAAAACUAACAUAAGCAAAGUUCAUAACUACACUAGAUGAGAAUCAAACCCAAUCCUGAAAACUCGACACCAGCUCGUUAGCUUUAGGAUAACCGUCGCUGUAGAUUGCGUUUUCAUAUGUCUUCUGAUCCACUGAAACCCUCCCAAUCCAACCAAAACUCGCUAUUGGAUUUUAAGAGGGCACACCACGCGCUUUAACAGCGCCUCCUCUCCACUUAUUCCUCCAGCUCCAACUAUGACUUACCAUUGGACUCUGAAACGGUUCACCCUGCGCCUUCCACGCGCCUCCGUUCAAAAGACUCCCUCCAGAUCCAACUAAGACUAGCCAUUGGACUCUAUAAGGGUUCACCACGCACCAUCUACGCGCCUCCACACCACAGCUAAGGCCAAACAUGCAGUACUAGACACGAUCGAGCUCACUACAGCCGGUAACCAUAACCUAACCACCACAACCCAUAGAUCUGAUGAGAUCGAGUCUGUGAAGUCCGAUCUCAAGUCUCCCCGCUUCAAUCCAAAAACUAUAACUUUCGACCAGAUUUAAACUCAUCUAUACUAAGAAACAAGACUAAAACAAGUAAUAAAAGGUAUCUACCUUCUCCCGUAACCAACGGCAUGAAGCCGUGGCAGGAGAAGAUAGAGUAACGACGACGCUUCUUUUUUCUCCUCGCUCUGAUGUUGAUAUUUCUACUUAAUCCCAAAUUUCACAUAGUUGCUUCUUUUUUCUUGCGGUUUUCCAGAAGAGUUAACAAAAACGCACACGACUUUCGAUGUCUCACAGAUAUACAAUAUUAAUAUGAAUUCCGCGAAAGCAAUAGAAAUGCUGUGGUUUCUCAAAAAAUGCACACAUUUAUGUAUCUAUAUUAUUUUGACAGCAAAUAUAUUGUAACUAUAAAUGAACUAUACGUAUUAUAUGUACAUCCUUCUAAGCAAACUAAAGACACCUAUAUAAGCAUUUUUGUGUAUAGGUUCUUCAUGUAUUUAUCUCUCAAACAUGUUAACCCUAGUCUAUAAAUUUUAAAUAAAAACAAUUCAAUUAUAAUAUCAUAUUACCUAAAAUGAAAAUAAAAUUCUUAGAAAAUAGUUUAUAUUCUACAACAAUUUAUACUGUACAUUUAACAUUAAGAAAUUAAUAUUUUUUUACAAAGUUGUAUUCAUGUUUUUAUAUAGGCAAAAAUUAUUGUUCGGCAAGAUAUAUAAUUUGUUUUAUAUAAAAGCUUUAAUAUUUUUAUGAAUAUAUAUAAGGAUUUAAAAUUUGUUCUAUAGGAUUUUUAUUUGUUAUUUAACACUUUAUUUACAAUAUAUUUUAAUUUGUAUUUAUAUUUUAAAAAAUAGUAGUUAAAUUUAUAUUGAUAUAUAUAUAUAUAUAUAUAUAAAUUUUUAUUUUAGAUUAAUUUUAAUAUUUAAAAUUAUAAAAAUGAAAAUAUUAUGGCAUUGUCAAUAAGAAAACAAAUUAAUUUCUAAUUGUGUUAAUAUAUUUAUUUCAUUGUUUUUUCUAAUAAAAACCGUAUCUUUUGUCAAACCUGCACUAUUUUUUUUAACCAAAUCCGCAGUUGUCCUGCAAACCGCACAAACCGCAGUUGCACCGUACCGUACUUAAAUUCCGCACCGCUUAUAUUAUUAGAACUGCGUUUACCAAUCGGAGCCUAAUAGUCGAGGAACAUUUAAACUACUCAUAAUCAAGUUUGGAUUACUAUACGUGCCCACUAGAAUAUUCCCGCCCGUAGGACUGGGUAUUUUACUUGUGAUUUUGGUUUUUAUUUUUUUGUAUGAUUCGAUGGUUUGUAUGUAGGUUUGAAUUUGAGGGAGGAUUGUAUAAUAGUGUUUAUUGGCUAAUAGGGAAUUUUAAGUGAUGAAUGAUAUUGUAUCUAUUUUAGUUAAUAUUUGAUGUUUCCUUGUAUUAGCUUAUUGGCUAAUGUGUUUAAUAGCUUGUAGUAGCUAAUAUGUUUAUUGGGUAAUGUUUGAUGAACAAUUAGUUUGUAUUAGCAUGAUACGAUUUUAUGAUUGAAAUGGUAUAUAUUUCUUAAAUCUUUUUUGAAUAUAAUUUUAUUUGAGUUUUUAUUGUUGUGUUUAGAUUGAACAAAAUUUUAUAAUUCAGUUUCAGUUGCAUAUUGAAGAAUAGUAUAUACUAAGAUCGGACUGUGAUGAUCGUGUAGCUAACCGGGCGAGGAAAUAUUAUUAGGUCCGAUCACCAACCUAUAUACCGGUCAUCAUCUCAGCUUCCAGAAUACUCUUACCAAGUCGAGUGACCAUCAUUUUCGUACCAUUGCAUAGACCUUGCGUCUGGUUAAUGUUGCUCACCAUCAUCACAGGAGCUCCUAUUUUCAUGCAUAUUCGAUGGUUCAUACAAAAUGGUUAACAUAUUUCGUACAAAAUAAUCAUACAAAAUGUAGUUGGAGAACAGUUGAAGUUCCCUGAGUCACCAGCGACUAUGCGGAACGGGAGUUGAUUCAGGCUUUACUGGUGAAAAAUCCAAAGAACAGGUUAGGGACAAAGAGGGGAGCAAGGUGUAGUAUUCCUCCUGAAGUAUGGACCGAUUGAUCUGGUUGGAUGCGGUAGUAAUAGCAAGAGAAUGAUGGGACCACCACCACCAGUAUCAGCAAAUACAAAAUCUGGUGGUAAAUUUCUAGACUUUAAGUUUUUCUAAAGCUUUAUUUUUUCCUCCGAGUUUGUAUUUGAUCCCUGAAUUAGCAUUUUCAGUCUUAUUGUGUCGCUAUAUAUAUUGUAAAAUUUGUAACGUCUCAAGAGGCUUUUAUUAGACCAGGAGUGGAGGGGGUUUAGUUCUCAUGAACAUCUCCAUCGGAGGUUCUUUAAUUAGAAUUCCACCACUAAAAAAGGAAAAAAAAAAAUAGGAGAGAGACUGAAAAAAGGUUCUAAAACAAAUAUUUUUAGAACCACUUCUAAACUUUAACCUUCCACAUAUCAUGUAUCUAGCAUUUUAGAAUUAAAAAAAAUAAAAAAUUUAGCUAUUUAAUUAAAAAAUUUAUUUUUUUUAUUUUUUUAGAAUCCCACCUAGUUUUUAAUGGUUGGAAGUGCUCUCCUUUUUAUUUGUAUCUGAUGGAAAGCUCCUUUGGUCGCUAGGUCACUUCCAUGCAUGUUUUGGUGGUCCCAAAAGCAAAAGAUAUCAUGAUCUAAAACGAUUCAUUCAUCCCAUAUAUAUGUUUAUGUUAUUUAAAUCCCAAUACUAUACUUUACUAAGGGGCUUCGCGCAGAAUAUUGUUUUAUUAUUGCUAAGAACAUUAUUAUUUUUUGGAUAAUGUAAUUAUGUUGUCGUUUUUAUUUGUUAAGAUUAUUAUUUGAUGUUUUUAGUGUGUUAUGUAGUAGGUGAUAAGUUAAUAUAUUUUGCGUUUGUUUUUUCUGAAUAAUGUGUUGUUGUGUGUAUAGUACUUGUUAGUAGUCAAAUGAGCCUCUAACGUAAACUAAUAUUGAAUUUCAGUAACUUUGCAUCUACGCAUUUGUUGAUUCUAAAAUUAACGGUUUCAUCGUCAAAAUUGUAUUAUAUUUUUUUCAUAUUUUUGAAAAUUAUAAUUUUUAAGAUGUUUUUUUGCCCUCUCCCCAUAUUUUAAACUUGAGCCCUCACCGUCUAUGUAUUUCGUUACAUUUCUGGUGUGCAGUGCUUCUCACCAUUACCGGAAAAAGAUUCACAUUUUUCUCUUGUUCUUCCUUGCCUUCUUCACCUAUGAGAUUAUAUGGUAUUUGUUGCAGAUCGGGUCUAUGAGUUUUCAGUUGUUCGGUUGCUUCCCACGGUAUUGUAGGCUGUUCCAGUCAAUAUUGACUGCUCCUCUUCUUCCUUAGAUUUCAGCUGAUGUUAGGAACUGUAUCUCCUUGGUUGGGUCAGAAUUUAUUCGUCUUUGAUUUUGUAUUCCUCGUCGUUGGCUUACCGUCAAUAGUCUCUGAUCGUUUUGGUUUUCAAGAUCUAGUUUUUGGUGUUCUGAUUUGUAUGCUCUCUUUCAUAGCUCGAGGACGGCUCCAUAGUUUUCUGAUUUUGCUCCGUCUCCCUUUCCUUCUCUAUUCUUGCAUCUCUUUGCAGCUUUCAUCGCAUCUCUGGUGGCUCUCCCUUUCACCAUGUUUGCCACUCGAGAUUUGGAUAAUGUUUUCGUUCGUGUAUGCUAUGUGGGCUUGGAAGGUUAUUUCUGGUCUUAAGUUUAGUCUCUGAUUUUUUGGUGGUUGUCUUCCAUUCUCCCAUUUCUUUCCAUGUUUUCCUUGGUAUAGGUGUGCGGAGUUAGUCUCUUGGAGCUUUGGUCUCUUUUAUCCAGAGUUUUGUGAUUUUUCACUUGCAUGUUGUCGUGUAUGUUCUUGUUUAGUUUGUGAGAUGUUUCUUACUUUUUAGCUACUGGUUGUGAUUCCGGUGUUUUAGGCAUAUAUUUUCCUGUUUUUUGGUAGCUUUGGCCUUUCGAUUAUUAUUCUCCCUUUGGCCCGCUUUCUUAGUUUAUGCGUUGGUUGUCUAGUUUCUUAUUCUUAAUUUGAUUAUCUUAUGAUACUAAUAGUGAAAUAAAUAUAAUUUGUAAAUGAAAUAAGAAAAAUUAAUAAAAAUAAUAAAAUGAUGAAAAGUCUUGUUAUUUUUAGAUGUGAAUAAAUUAAAUAUUUAAAAUAUAUUUAUACUAUUUUAUUUAUUUCUUGAAUUUUAGACACCAAUAAGUGUGAGAAAGAUUAGAUAAUACACAAUUAGAAAUUGACAGAGAAAAUUGCAAUAAUUUAAAAAAAGAAAAAUUUAAAUACAAAAAAAAACAUGAGAACACAUGUCAAAAAAACCUCUCAUUCCACAUGUCAUAAGUUGAGAAAAAACCAACUUUAUAUAUAUAUAUUUGACAGUUUGCCUCCAAAAUGUACAUUAUAUCAUGUGUAUUAAUUGCUUUUGUUAACCUAAUAUUAGAUAACAAAUUGAGCCAUGAUUGUUUUUGUUAACCUAAUAUUAGAUAACAAAUUGAGCCAUGAUUGUUUUUGUUAACCCUAAUCUACCAAGAAGAAACCACCAUGUGCUUCAGACAAAGAAGGAAGAAAUGAUCAGAACUGUCAGAGAUCGUAUCUAUUUCUCAGGAAUCCUAUGAUAAAAUAGACCCACUUUGAUACAUUUACAACACCGACCAGUUCGAGGCAAGCCCUAGAUUAUUACUUACUUUAUAUAUCACACGACACGACUAAUGAAAAAGCAAGGGAACGUUCUUUAUUCAUGUCCUGGAAUUUCUUUAGAACAUGUAGCUGAGAAUUACAUGAACAAACAAAAACAACCACAUUUCAUACAUAGAAAUCAAAACGCCAAGUCCUACAUGUUUUAAAAAUAGACUCCAUAAUAUAUACAUUUUCUCUUCAGAAAUAAAACAUUUAUCCAAACAACCAUCCCGAAAUAAAUAAGAGACAUACCCAUAGGAAAUUUCUAGCUCUGGAGCCCUUUUACCUCAUCAAAAACUUUAACUAUAUAGUAUUUGUAUCCUUUUCAAACUAUAUAGUAAUAAUAUAGUGGUGGGCUAUUUGAUGGAGUAUGAGCGAGUGCAUACCGUUUGUAAGGACUCCGUGAACAUAGCUGAGAAACUGGUUAAAGCUUGGAACACACCUGGCAAACCCGUCUGUAAAUUAUUCAAAGUCAUGGCUCUUGUCACUUCUAUUGCCUUUGAAUGUUUCAGCAUCUCUUCCUCCACUCUUCUCUGACAUGCUCCUAGCUCUAACUUUUUCUCCGUGAGGGGGUCACGAGCGUCUAGCCCGUGUCCGUUGUCUGGUCCUGAAUCCGGGAGACCAAACCCGACCGUGGAGUAUGACUGGUAGUACUUCCUUUCGAUGUUCCUAAGCGAUGAAGCUUUCUUCUCAAGCUCCUUUGAUGCUGAUUCGGUUCGUUUCUUUAUCUUUAGCUCCUCUGAUUGUUUCGCGGAUAUCACGUGGACAACGUUGAUGAAGCUCUUGAUUGCUUCUGAAGCCACUGUGUCUGGGACUCGGUCAAGAGUAAGCUUCCACUCAUCGCAAAACGCGUAGGCAUCUACCGGCUCUUUGUGACCGGGGUUCUCGUCGUGGCAAACUGGGAGGAGAGUUAGCUUGAACCAGGCUUGAACCGAACGUAUGAACUCCCGUUGGAAUUUAAUCAGCCGACAGAAACUGGAGUGCCAUAGAGACACGGCUGUUUCCAAGUCGCGUGUUGCUUGUCGGUGUAGUUCAGAUGUUGAUUCCCCUUUGCCUGACCUGUUAAUGAGCCCCUGAACUUGCUGCACGAUGUUGUUCUGAAUCUCGUGGAACUGAUGCAUUGCUUUCCACAUGUACAUGAAGCUGCACAAGCAUAAUUUCAGAGGUUAGUGUGUAACUCUGAUGUUCAAAGCAAGUGCCUAUCUGCUGGAACCAAAGCAAUUAUAACAGCAUAGUCUUAGGCUCUUCACAUGAAUUUGUCAAAAAAAAAGGUUUUUGGAUCUUUCUUUUUUCUUUGGCAUCACUACAACUACAACACUUGAACUUGGGUGGGGACCUUUAAAUGCAGGUUCCAAACCACCAUGCUUCACACUAGAAUCUCUAAAAAAAAACACGAUGAAUACCAAAAGGUAGAUGAUCUUUCAUUUCUACGGAACUAGAUGUUAGCCAAUAAGCAUGAUCUUAAAACUAAGCCUUACUUAUUAGUUGUCAAGAUAAGCUAUAAGAACCCAAAAUGCAAUAUAUGAAUUAGUAGUCUUUAUCCCACUCUAACAAGCAGCCAAUCAUAACCGGGAAUCUACAAAUCUAAAGAAUGGCUUCAAAAAGGCAUGAGGAUUUUUUCAUUAAAUGUUCACCCACUUGGCAAGUCCACACGAUGAUGAUGAUACGUACGUCUACGAGUAAGUUAUGAUGACACAGACAAGUCAAUGCAACUAACAGCGCAUUCAAUAUCGGAUAAUCAUUGAUAUACACAAUAAUAAUAAAAAAGAAAUUUUACCCGUGACAGAGUUCAACGAGCUGCGGGACAAGAUCAGUAUCUCGAAGGCGGACAAUGGCAGUAGAAGUUGUGCUGACGGCCUGGGAAGUAACAAUUAUAAGAGACUGCAACCUAGUUAUAGACCCCUUUGUCUUGUCCAGCUUAGUCUCAUUAUCCCCCUUGUACUCUUGACUUUGAAGUUUCGACAACUUUUUUUCGUGUUCAAUCUUAAACCCUUCUCUAGCCUGCAAUAUCAUCCGUAUCUCCAGUAAUUAGUAAAAACAUAACCAUAACCUGCGGGAAAUGGCAUAAAACUGGUUUGGAUAAAAAGCAGAGACCUUGACUUCCUCAUAGAGUUUCUUUUCCCAUGCCAAGAGGCGGUCUAGACUGGAACAAAGGCUCUUGGGACCUCCCGGUUGUUCAAGUGCGGUUGUGUCAAGCCUGUACUUGACUUCCAAUGGCGGCUUAGAGGUCCAGGUUGAGCUCAGGUUGCUCAGUACACUACUCGAAUGAAUCACCGUUUCUGUCAAAAUCAAAACAUAUGAUUAAAAUGAUUCAAAGUAAUGAUUUUUAGAUAUAUGGCUGAUUCAAAGUGUAUCAAGCUUUACUCUUCAAGUGGCUGAAACUGCGGUCGAGCUGAGCCUUGCCAAUAUUGAGCAUCUGAGAGACUUGUUCUCCGGCCUCAGCCGCCUUGUCGAAGUUCUCCUUGAUGGCAUCCACAAUCUCCUUCAAAUCUCUGUGUCUCACCACCAUCUUCAUGUCAGAGACAUCUCCUCUCCCGCUGUAACUCGUAGCCGCGUCGUCUCCUUUCCCGUACUUGUCUUGUCCACCGCUAUACUCCUGCGCCAUUGGUGCGUGCUGCCGUCUCAUCGAACUAGUCUUCACAGAAGAUCCGAAGUCAGAACGCGUUCCAACUUCGGAGAUUGAAUCUCUAUCAUCCUCCUCCUCCUCCUCCUCCUCCUCAUGGGCGGCGUCCGAUGAGCUAGUGAUGCUGUAAUGAUCGUGAUCCUCCCAUUCGCUACACUGCACUUCCUCUCUCUCUGCUUCCUCCAAGCUCUCAAACUGCUUCUUCUGGUUCCUCGAGUGGGCUGAUCUCUCUGUCUCCGUAUCAAACUGCUUCUCCUUCCUCGAAUCGAAGAAAUCAUGCUCAGAUCUCUCGGUUUCCGUAUCGCUAAACCGGUUAUGUAAGUCGUGUUGCCUCUCUUGAUCGCUAAACCGGUUAUGUUGCUGCCUCUCUUGAGAUUUCCGGUUAAAGAACUCGGAAUCGGGAGGGGACGGAGGGUAGAAGUUCUCCCAGUUCCAGACCGAGGAGGCUUGAGAAGGCGUGGCGGAGUAAGUCGAGUUCUGGUAAGCCCUAGGGUAGAAACUCGACGGCAUGAAGUUAGAUCUCUCGCUUGACGAUGGGCUCGAGAGUAUAUGAGGCAGCUUCGGCUGCUGCUGCUGCUGCUUCCGUCUCCGAUUAGAGUGUGGAGCCGUAACGAUCGGAGGCAGCUUGGUGUUGGAGCUAGCUACGGAAGGAGGAGCCGGCGGCGGAGGAGUGUAGACAGAAGGCGACGGAGGUAUAAAAUUGGAGGAGGAGCGUUCGCUCGGAGUGUGGAGAAACACGGCGGGAGUCUGAUCCGAUACGGCGAGAGGCUCGCCGGCGGCGAAAGAGGAGAGAGCAGAUCCAGUGA
rnacentral:lncRNA from 1 species